CUACUUUCAGUUUCUAGUCAAAGAAAGGUCCAGGCGCAGGCGCAAAGAAUAUUGCGAGGUGCAGUCUAAUGGAUAGGACUGAGGGCUCGACUGAAAGGAGAGAAGGCGCAAUGAAAUAUGCGAGGUCCAUAUUCCGACUGAGGAACUGAAACUUCCGCGUAGUGCUUCCCUUGUUCAUUGAUAGUAAUCCUGAAGUUUCUUCUUGGCAUCAAAAUAGAUCAAUGAAAGAGGACUAAAAAUAAGACGAAAGUACUUAUGACGGCUUUCCUUCCCAACAAAUCUUCGUUCUUAGUUAUUUGAUUCCACUUUCAAACUUUCUGGGAGUUGUCUUCUCCUAGGCUUUCUUCUUUCUGGCAGUCUUCUGCCUUGCCGUAGGGAGUAGGUUCAGGAGAACCAUAACCAUAAAUCAGAGAGACGGAGGCAUCAAUCACGCAAUAUUCUUUGCACCUCUUCCUUUAAGCUAUAUUUUUUAGGCUCCGGAGGCUCAAAGACAGGGAUAUUGUUGAAUACUAUUAGUUCGAGUCGCAGAGAGCAAAGAAUUUUCUCUUAAUGGAACUUAGCGCGGGUUAAUAUGGAUAGGACUGAGGUCUUAAGACUCCUAACUAUUAAUGGAAAGGACCCACGGAGCGGUGCAAAGAAUAUAUAGAAGGGCAGACAGGUCCGGAGGACCUGUCUGUCCUUCGGUCUUAAUACUCCUAACGUCGAAUAAGAAGCUGGAGGCUGGGUCCAGGUGCAAAGAAUAUUGUGUCCAUUAGAUCCAUUGAAUUAGGCGAAGGAUUUUAUCAAGCUUAGCUUUCUGGAUUCUUCGGCGGAGUGGGGCUUUCUCUAGUAGGUCUGGAGGCUCAAAGAAUGAUCAAAGGCUCCGAACCAUAAAGAAGAGAGUCGGAGGACAUCCAUUGACUUUUUCUUCCUUUCACUUCUAACUUCAAACCUUUCAUAUUCAACCUUGAAAAUAAAGGAGGGAGCGGACUACGGAGGCCAUAAGUUUGAGUUCCUCAGAUGUAUAAAAACAAGUCCUCCGGACGACCUAUCCACUGAAAGUAGCUACGUAGUCUUGUCUCCUUCCCCGCGUAGUGGGCAUUGACUUCUUCAUUGAUUUUCUUCUAUCUCCCACGUAGCGGUUGAAUAUGAAAGGAAGCCCACAGAGCUGAAGAUGGAGCGGGAUAAUAAAGAAGAAAGCUCAAAAGGAGGGAGCGGACCUCAAUGAACAAGGGGAGGACUCGUUUUCAUCCUUAUGGAAGAAAAAUCUCUUUUUUUUAUCUAAAAGACGUAGAAGGAGGCUCAAUGUCUAAUCUUUCUCUCAAAUCAAUAUCCCCAGUGCAAAUAUUCCAGCAAUAUUCUCAAUAUGAAAAGAGCCUUUCUUCUUUUCUUAGAUAAAUGCGCUUCGUAGAUUAUGCUGAAGGAGGAGUGGGCCAUGAUCUUUGCUCCUUAAUUUCCCUAAUGGAUAGUCAUCUGGACCUUUCUUUUUAGUUCUUUGCGCUCGUCAACGCAUAUUUCAUUGCGCCUUCGCCUUCAAUGAAAUCCAUAAAUAAAUAAGGGUAGAUUUCAGACUCAAGAGGAGGGUUCCUUAUCAAUAUCAAUGAGACGGAUAGGCUUUCUUUUACAUUCCACAGGUCCGAAGGACUAUCCAUAUUAACAUGUCUGUCCUUCGCCUAACUAGUUCAUAUAGACCUUUGUUUUUCUUCCGCAGUCACUAAUAUGGAUAGUCCGGAGGACCUCCUUCAGCAUAAUCUAUGAAUGAUCGGAGCAAAGAAUAUUGCGGAAAAGAAGAAAGGAGUGCAAGCGAAAAAUAAUGGAUUGAAUAGUCCUUCGGACGAACUACCGCACUUGGGGGAUAUUGUUGAGAAAGAAUAUUGAAAAAGAAUGAUCGAAGAAUAUUGAAAAAGGACGGAGGAUAGGCUUUCUUUGAACAAUGUGGAUGUAUCAAAGAUUCCACAGGUUAAUAUGGUAGAUUUCAGACUAGUCCUUCACCUUGGAUCUGGGGACUAUUCUCUGUUCUAAUAGACAUAGAGGAGAGGUUCAAAGAAUAUUGAGAAUACUCGUGCAAGCGCAAUCAAUGAACAAGGUGAAAAGAAUAAAAAAAAGGCGGUCGAUGAUCAGGAAGAAAAAGUCAAAAGUCUAUCCCAUCUUCUUCGUUAGGCGCAAAGAAGAAAAACAAGGUGCAAAGAUCUAUGGCCCAAUUAUAAGGGGUCCAGAUGCACCAUAAGACUGGUCCGAAGGACUAUCCAUAUUAACCGGAGUCUUCAACAAGAUUUCCAACCCUGAAUAUUAAGCUACUGAGGCCCAAUAUUGCGAAGGAAGAACUGCGCCAUAAGACAGGUCCGAAGGACUAUCCAUUAGGGAAUGAGACGGAGGUAACGUUUGGUUUUUUGGAAAACUUGUUGGUCGCGGAUUAGUGCGUUUUUUUUGGAAAGUAACAAUUCUCUUCAGUUUGGUUUCAGAAAACUUGUUGGUCACGGAUUAGUGCGUUCUGCGCCGCCUGGUGUCACGAACAUAUUUUUCCAAAGUGUGUUUACCUUUGGUUAUAUGCUCCGAUUACCCCCAGUUUAUCUCAUCUUUAGUUUGCAUAACUAGUUUAGCUGAUUGCUUUUCAUUCUAGGUCAUAAAGCUUGGGUGUGACGUUUCGGCAUUUUCAUAUGCAAGCCUGCCAGAGAGGAAAAUGUUCAAAAUGUACUAUAGGGGAGGCAUACCAGUUGAAUCCCCGCCCAAGCAUUAGUUGUACUCUUUGCAAGCAACCCUUUUUCCUUGCAAUUGACAGUCUUUAAUGCUUAUUGUAACGUCUAUUUCAAUGUAUUUCUUUCUUUCCCGUGUUUUAUAAAUAAAAUGUCCCUAAAACGCAAACGAAGGUUACGACAUACAUCGACGUUACCCACAACUCUUGGAUAUUGAUCGACUGACUUGUUCAUCGAGUUAGAACAAGUGCCGCACAAUCGUCCGUCUCGAGGUUGAAACGCUACGAUUGUGACAAGUGGUAUCAGAGCCAAAGUUGGCUGAGUGACAGUUUUGACAAAAAUAAAAUGUCGACUGCAAAACGAGCGAGCAAGACCCAUGAAGAACGGUUGGUGGGGAUCGAAGUGCAGAUGCUCCACCUGAUGGAAGUUCCUGAUUCCAUCCGGUUCUUGGAAUAGCGGCUUGAGGAUAUUGCCAAGAAAGCUGAUGGCAUUGAAGCCGUGUCCGGUCGCCUUGACGGACUACCCAUCCAAGAGUUACUGACUAGAGUCGACACUCUAGAGUCCCGAGUUAUGAGAACGGGAAAUGUCACCUACGAGCGUGGGGACAGUUCAUCGGGCUCUGUUGCCCAGAUGGAAGAACGAGUUAUGGAGCUUGAUAACUCGCAAAAGAACAUGUUGGAGAUGAUCAGCGCAUGACAAAGGAUUUUCGAGCAACCCUCGAUGUCGUGAGGAAUGAGCUCGCAGAGGUAAGCACGAGGGUGAACCUUACUAUGCGAGCACUAGAAAAUCAGGCUCUAGCUGGAGGAGCCAUUCCUGUGGGCAGAAUCAAGAUUCCUGAGCCCAAGCCCUUCUGUGGGGCGAGAGAUGCCAAGGCGUUGGAAAACUUCAUCUUUGAUGUCGAGCAGUAUUUCAAAGCCACGAACACAAUUACUGAAGAGGCCAAGGUGACGUUGGCAACCAUGCAUCUGUCAGAAGAUGCGAAGUUAUGGUGGAGGUCCCGAUACAUGGACAUUCAAGAAGGGCAUUGCACAAUCGACACGUGGGAUGCCCUAAAAGGAGAACUCCGUUCGCAAUUUUCCCUGAGAAUGUCGAAAUUCUGGUCCGACGGAAGCUGCGUGAAUUGAAGCACACGGGGAACAUUCGGGACUACGUGAAACAGAUUGCGGGGGUAAUGUUGGAUAUACGCGACAUGAUCGAAAAAGAUAAAAUAUUCAGCUUUGUUGAAGGGUUGAAGCCAUGGGCAAGGACUAAGCUAUACGAGCAGAAAGUCCAAGACCUCGUGUCAGCCUAUGCAACAGCUGAACGUUUGUUUGAUCUGUCUAAUGACGUUCAAGAGACAAGACAUCAUUGAAGCUCUUCACCUGGAAGAGACAGAAACAGCCGACUGAAUUCUCCCGAAGCUGUCAGUAGAAAUAAAAGUCCCGGCAGAGACCGCAAGCCCUUCCAGUCAAAUACGGGGAACACCAGGCAAAGGCCCACUAGUCAAAGGACCUCCCACACUCCUAUCAGUUGCUACAUUUGUAACAGGCCACAUCGGACAAGGGAAUGUCCGGAUAAAGCGGCCUUCUACGCCUUCCAGGCCUCUCUGGCUACAGACUUAGGUGACAAGUUGGGUCAACCAGAGAAUGAAGGUGGGUAGGUGGAGGAAGUCCAAAACGUUAGAGUAGGGGCCAUAAGACUCUUGUCGUUCCUUCAGAAUAAAGCAGGGGAGACAAGUGGUCGUACAAAAGGGGGCCUAAUAUAUGUGGACACCUGGAUCAACCGAAGGCAUGCAAAGAGCACUAUGGUUGACUUCAGUGCAACCCAUAAUUUUAUAACGGUGGCGGAAGCCAGACGAUUGAACCUUCACUAGAAGAAGGAUACAGGAAAGAUGAAGGCCGUAAAUUCUACAGCUUUACCCGUCGUCGGAGUAGUGAAACGAGCGGUGAUACAGUUGGAAAGAUGGAACGGCCUUGUUGACUUUGUGGUUGUGGGCAUGGAUGACUUUGAUGUAGUUCUCGGAAUGGAAUUCCUUCUUGAACAUCAAGUGAUCAUGAUGCCUGCAGCCAAAUGUCGGUGAUCACGGGAUCUACCCCCACCGUUAUGCAGAUACCCCCACCAUUAUGCAGAUAGAACUCCGGCAACCCAAAGGAUUGAGAAUGGUCUCGGCCAUGCAACUGAGGGAGGGCCAUAUUCAGGAAGACACAAGGCGUGUCGUGGAGAGACGUUGUGAUGGGAAACAGGAUAGUUUGCCCAUGUCAGAAUCGCCUACGAGAAAUGAUCAUCGUAUGGCGCAAUCAAAAUCAUCUGGACUCAGGAGACAGUCAAGGAGACUGUCAGGUGCAGGAUCCACUAGACCUGCGAGAGAUCCGUAUCAAGCACAAGACUUCUUACGGAAGGAAGAGAAUGGACAAUUGUGUGUCAACAACCGUGUCCUAAAGCAAGCCCCGAGGAGAGGGCCAACUUUUGAGUCCGUGAGUGGGACUCAGCCUGUUGAAGCUUACGCUAAGGCAUAUGGUCCUGUGUCAGGUGGCAUCCUAAUGCAGAAUGGACACCCUGUCAAAGCUGAGAGUCAGAAACAAAGUGCCGCAGAAGGUAGUUAUACGAUGUUUGGAAAAGGAAUGCUGACCACGAUACGUAGUCUGAAGGAUGGAAGACAACAUUCCCAGGGGUCUACACAUGGAAGAGAGACGAACAACAUUGCGACCAACCGCUUUGAUACUCGGCCGAAGUGGGCUUUGAGUCAAGAAAAGUGGCAGAGGGACGUGUCAAGGGAAUCCUUGCAGAAAAACUCUGUCAUUGAAGUUGAUGUAAGUCUGGCGGAGACCAGUCAGGUGGAAGAAAAGAAUGGAGUUCAAUUGUGGAAGCUAACCCAAUCUUAUGUUAAUGCUGCAAUGAGUUCGUCAAUGGAUGGAAACCAGUUUGUGGGUGUUUGUGGCGGACAUUCUGUACAGUCCCGCCUUGUUGGUCCCUCCUAUGUUGGUAAGAAUCCUCAAGCUUGCAACAGUACCAAGAGGUGGAAGCUGGAGUCAGACAUCGUUCGGACCGAUCGAGAGGAAGCCUCGAAGUGGCCAGAAAAGUGGGCAGAUAAGAAGCAUCGCCUCCGUGAUUCCCGUGGGGAGACCAGGUCAUCGUCAAACGGCGAUCUGAACUGACUCCGUUUUUGAAGAAGACUUCAAGAUCACCGCCUCAUGAGAGAACGCGAGGGACAAACAGAAGUUCAAGAAGUCCUUGCUAAAGAAGCAAGGAAAGAAGAAGAAGACCCAUGGGGGAUACACAAGUUCGUGGUGAAGCAGAGGAGCCUCCUCAUGGAAGAAGCCUGUGGAAGACGUACCAAGACUGUGAAGCGUGGAGGUAGAAGAUCGAAGGAUUCCAGCUUUGCCAGUCGACGGGGACGUCAACUGUUUAAGUGGGGAGUGUGUCACGGACAUAUUUUUCCAAAGUGUGUUUACCUUUGGUUAUAUGCUCCGAUUACCCCUAGUUUAUCUCAUCUUUAGUUUGCAUAACUAGUUUAGCUGUUUGCUUUUCAUUCUAGGUCAUAAAGCCUUGGUGUGCGUUUCGACAUUUUCAUAUGCAAGCCUGCCAUAGAGGAAAAUGUUCAAAAUGUACUAUAGGGGAGGCAUACCAGUUGAAUCCCCGCCCAAGCAUUAGUUAUACUCUUUGCAAGCAACCCUUUUUCCUUGCAAUUGACAGUCUUUAAUGCUUAUUUUAACGUCUAUUUCAAUGUAUUUCUUUCUUUCCCGCGUUUUAUAAACAAAAUUUCCCUAAAACGCAAACGAAGGUUACGACAUACAUCGACGUUACCCACAACUCUUGGAUAUUGAUCGGCUUACUUGUUCAUCGGUUAGAACAAGUGUCGCACAAUCGUCCGUCUCGAGGUUGAAACGCUACGAUUGUGACACCGACGGCCACAUAGAAUUGAGAAAAGCCUAUGGUUGAGGCAGCAUUAAUUUAUGAAACUUUACACGUGGGAAGGGAUGACUCUUUCUAUUCAAACCUGUAAACAUAGAAGACCGCCUCAAUGAACAAGGGAUCAUUCACAUAGAAUAAAUAUGAACAACGAGAAAGGGAAUAUAAGGUUUGAAUUCAGAGGAAAGCCUAGCUUGAAUGAACAAGGUGAAAAGAAUAUUGACAGCUGCACUUACGAGUCUUUCAGUUACCUUUCUGCCUCUUUAAAGAGAGUUCAAGGUUUUCUAUUAUCGGAAGAAUCAGAAUAAGAAGAAAAUAGAGGAAGACAGAGAGAAGAGAGCUCAGGAGGCGCAAUGAAAUAUGCGUGAGAAGCGCAUUUCCUUAGUGGAAUACUUUGAUAGCGGAAUAAGAAGUCGGAGGCUCGGUCAAGACGAUCUUUUGAUCUAUUCUAAUGGUCUCUAAUGGAUAGUCCUUCGUUUUAGAGUCCUACAGAUAAAUCCUCCGGACUGGUCCGAAGGCUAGGUUCAUACGGAUAGUCAGGAGGACGGUUAGUUGGAGCCUUGUUUUUCGAAAUCUUCUUUGAGCCUCAGUCGUCUCAUUGAUAAGGACAUCUUUGCAAAUGAAGAGCGGGAGGUGCAAAGUGCGGCUAUUACUUUGAAAAGAAUAGGAGCUCCGCGGUUUGAAUUGAAUAAAAAGGAUAGGCUGAAAUUCAAAGUGAAUAAGAGGAUAUUUUCAGAUAUAAUAUCUAAAGUCAAUGAACAGGGGCUCCUAACCUCUGAUUUAUGGGGAGCCUACUACGUCCAUUAGUUCCGAACUUGGCUCCACUCCUAGUAGUUCGAACUUGGCUUUGCUCCUUCGCUUUUUCUCUUAUUGAUCUCUCUUGUAAUGCUUUCUACUAAGAAUCAAGAAAGCGCAACUUCUAUUUUGUCCGAACGACCUUGAUUAAAAAACGAUGCUUCCUUGGUCGUGUAGAACAUGGAUUAGCAUUAUUUCAUUCCUACAAGCGAUCCCCCAUCCAGGAUUGGAAGAAGUGCUAUAUGAGGACUUUGAGAUCAAAUAGAAUAUAUUUCUUUCAAGACCUCGUGAGCCACUUAUUUCUCUGAAACAAGAGAGAAAAGUGAUUUUCCUCCUUUUUCUCAAUAAGUCGACGACCUUACACCAUUGGGAUACUUCUUCUUUGAAACUAGAGUACAUAUAGGAUACACCGGUGCUAAAACCUUUUCUCAAAAGAUCUUCCAAACUGUUGGGGUCCUUGCUCCGUAUGUUCUUCCCCCGGUGUGAAAGCAGUUGGUUCCAUAGUUUGAGAAUUCUACUACUGAUCCCAAGUACUCCAUCUCCAUCAUUGCAUAUGGGAAUAUAGAAAAGUCAAGAAGAAAAGGCAUGAGCAGAAGAAUUGUGUGAAAUAAGUCAAUUUAUCCAAUUGAGGCAUUCUUUCUUUUUCUUAAGAAAAUUCCCUCUAGACAUAAAUCCUUUCUGUACGAGUAGUGAAGAACUAUAGAGAGUAGUGGUUGGUUGUUGACCAACAAAAAGCAUGGGAGAAAGAAAGAUGUUGGCAAGGAAGCAUCAAAAUAGAUCAAUGAAAGAGGCUCAAAGAAUGAUCGAGGACUAUUUUAGUCCGACUAGAAACUAGGGAAACUAAAGACUAACGAAAUCUAGAUGAGAAUCCGUACAAUUAGUCUCGAGAAAAAGAAGAAAGCAAUAAAAAAAGUGAAGACAGAAAAUGAACCGAAAAUCUUCUUCUCUCAUAUUGAAUUCAUCCUUCUACGCAUCUCCAUGGGCUCGACUGAGAGUGGAGGAGAGGACGGGAAGAAUGAGAAAAAUAGUAAGGCGAGAAGACAGGUUCGAAGGACUAUCCAUCAGGGAGUUUGGACCCCGUAGUUAGGAGCAAAGAAUAUUGCGAAAGAGUCAUAAUAGGUACAAAUCUUCUUAUAGAUUAUGUUGAAGGAGGCGGCGCAAUUCAAUAUGCGAAAGUCAUGAUCCCUUUAAAGCAGACGUUAGGCGCAAAGAAAGAAGCUCAUUAACGAGAAUGAAAGAAUAAUUCACUCAUUAACGAGAAUGAAAGAAUAAUUCUGAUUUCAUCACCUUGUUUUUACGGAGUUCAAUACUAGAUUGAAGACGGAGGGAAAUCCCAGAUUUUGCUAGGUUUUGGGCCUAUAAAGUAGCAAGAAAUCAUGAAAAAUCAGUCAAAAUUAGACAAUUAUCGUAGCAUAUCAAUAUGAGAAAAAGUAUGAAAAAGAAGCAAAAAAGUCGGGAAAUAGCAAUUCAAGAAGAAAGCCUAGGACAGGGAAAAGAAAUGAACACUUCUAGUUUGAGUUUAUGGUCCGGAUACUGACAGGUCUAUUCUUUAUUCCGCUCCUGAAUAUGGAUAAUCCUACUUCGGUUAAUUACGGAUAGUCCUCCUUCGGUUAAUUACGGAUGGUCCUACGGAUAAAUCCUCCAGACUACUUCCUUCCAUAUGGAUGGUCCUACUUCGGUUAAUUACGGAUGGUCCUACUUCCAUAUGGAUAGUCCUACGGAUAAGAAUCCUGCGGACUCCGGACUACUUUGGUUAAUUACGGAUGGUCCUACGGAUAAAUCCUCCGGACUCCGGAUAAAUCCUGCGGACUCCGGACGUACGACGUAGGAUAAAUCACCUGGACCUUUCUUUGGCACUACGGACUACUUCGGUUAAUUACGGAUGGUCCUACGAAUAAAUCCUCCAGACUCCGGGUCGUAAGACGUAGGAGAAAUUCCUGCGGACUCCUUCCUUCCAUAUGGAUGGUCCUACGGAUAAAUCCUCCAGACUACUUCAAUUAAUUACGGAUGGUCCUACUUCCAUAUGGAUAGUCCUACUUCAAAUGGAUAGUCCUCCGGAUAAAUCCUGCGGACGUAGGACCCUGGACCUUUCUUUCUUUAAUGGAUAGUCCUCCGGAUAAAUCCUGCGGACGUAGGACCCUGGACCUUUCUUUGGCACUCCGGACGGAUAAAGAAAGGAUAAAUAAAGGCGCAAAGAAUAUUGCGAAGCGAAGCGCAUUUAUCUAAGAAAAGAAGAAAGGAUAAAUAAAGGCGCAAAGAAUAUUGCGAGAGCGGGAAUUACCUUUUCUCUUCGGGUUAGCUAAGAGUUGCCGGAGGCUUGAAGUCGGAUAAUUACUUUUACUUAAAGGUUUCACAAACCUGCAAAAUCUUCUCCAAAUUAGCGUUAGCGUUCUGAGCUAGCCAAGCAGUAUAUUUAAAAUAUAGAAAGAAGAAAAAUCCAUGCAAUCUAAGUACACUAAGAACCUACAGCAUCGUCACCGCUGCGUGGGAAGGUUAAUUCUUCUAACUCUGGUAUUAUCGUUGAACAAGCAGUUCACAUCCGACUGCCCGCGUAGUGGGGGAAGCUCGCUCGCUAACUUUGCACUUCGGCCAAAAUGCCGAAAAAAGGCUAAGGCCGAAGGAGGUCUGACUCCUUCGCUCAAGGAAGAAUUGCCCGAUUGGAUAUAUAUCUUGGUGCGGAGAGAGGAAAGGAUCACGGAAGCCUCAGUCUCAGUACGAAAGGGGCAAAAAGCUGGAAAAAGCAUACUGGCUUCACCUUGCCCUAGGAUGGGGUCCGCCGGAUCUUUUAAGGCAUAGGCUUAAUGCUGAGACGCACGGGGAUAUCCGGUCCAGGAUGGAUAUUCAAGACAAGGACGAAGGCUCUCCGUCACGCAAGAUGAUUACAAGUCUUAGGAGUGAACUUCCGCUUUACCCCUUCCGGUAUCAGGAAGCGAAGGGCAGAGAAAGCGAGCGAGAAAACAUAAAUCAAGGCGGUCGAUGACUUAAAAUAGGCAAAAAGAAAAGACAGAAAGCCUACGGGUUUCUCGGUUUACCCUUCUUUUAGGAUAGAAAAAGGCACUGCCUGUGUGACCACUACAAGCGGACGUGACGAGCGACGCAGGGCCACCCACGACCGCUAGCAAUACGAGGUAAAGCGGCCAGAAAGCAUACCAUAGGAUGCGUCCUGAGGGCAUUCACAUAAACAUUCUUCGAAUUGUUCACAUUCGGCGGGAUGUUCUUAGCCUUGUCUCCAGGUGAAUAAUUGAAUCGGCACCGGCGAUCGGACCUAUUGCAGCCUUCGGUUGACUGGUGGCAUUCGAUGGUAUGCUUGAGGCCUUCCCAACCCGCUCCGUGUAAAAGAGGUAGAAGGAGGCUCAAAGAAUUAUCGAAGAGCAAGACGAAAGAAAAUAGCGACUUCCAGUCGGUGAUGGGAAAUCUCAAUGUUAUCGCAGAUUCAAAGGCGCAAAGAAUAUUGCAUUGAGGCUCGACUGAAAGGAGAGGCGAAUUUGAGAAGAAAGAACUAUAUCGGCUAAAUACUCAACUGCCUCAGACGUCACUGGGACAAGAGCCGGAGAUUCCGAAACCUCUCGCAGCUUCUUUGCUUCCUCUGGUCUCGAUAUUUGAACCGCCUCAAUAAACAAUAAAUAAGGGUCCAAAAAAUCAAGGUCAUCUUCAAACCCUUUUUUUUAUGCGCCUCAGUCCUAUCCAUUAGAACGUCGGCCCUCACCCUUUUUCUUCUUAGUGCGCGCUUGAGCUUUAGUCUUCUGAGUUCUCAAAUUCUUUGACCCUCUGUCUCAGUAUUCGGCAGAGAUGCUGAUGUUAACAAGAAAUGCAGGCUGAAUGUUGUAUGGAAGGAUGAUCAUUUCGGCUUCUUGUAGCCAUUGAUGCUGUCUAAUGCUUGGAGAGACAUUGUUUAAUGUGACUUUGGACAAGGUUACUGAAGAUAGAACUAUCUGGCCUCAGAGGUCAGUUUUCAGUUGCUAAGACAGUGAAGCUCUUUCAUCUUCCUGGUAAUACUGUCCCUUGGUUCAAGCUUCUUUGGGGUAAGAAGCACAUCCCUAGUCAUGCUUUUCUUUCCUGGAUGGCUAUGAAUAAGAGUCUGAGAGUCAAAGCUAAACUGUACAAUCUUUAAGUGCUUUCGUCUGAUUUUGAGGUUUGGAAGCAAAGAAGCAGAGCGGAGUUUGAUUCCUUAUAUCAGAAAAAGAUAUAGGAAGACUCCCAGAAAGAAGAAAGCCUAGGAGAAAGCAAAGAAAGAGUAAGGAUCAGAAAGCUCCUAACCCCUAUUUAUUUAUGGAUGUGAAUUGAGCGAAGGCGCAAAGAAUAUUGCGAAGGUUCAAAGAAUAUUGACUUGAUAAACCUCUAUUUAGCUUCUUAUAUCUGAAGACGAUAAAGUCAGAUAAUCAGCCUCCGGCUGGGUCGGAUCGUCCAUACCUAGUUGAGUAUCUUGUCCGUCAUAACGAAGUCACUCUUUGAAAAAGGGUCGGGCUUUGUUGGAGUUGACUCGGUGAGUACACUUUCAUCUUUACGAGAAGAAGCGCGAACAACAACUAUAUUAUUCAGCAGAGACCUGAUUUACCCGAUGAGUGGAACGGCUCGACAAAAGUCUUAGGACUCGGGACGACGCGCCUCCUUCCUGCUAGAACUCAUAGGUCUACGGGGUUCUUUCGGUAGCGAGAAUAGUGGUCCCAAACGGAAUAGAAGUACUUUUGAUUCACUGAAUCGGAAUCUUUGAAAGAAGAAAGGGGGACGGAGGAUCAAUGAAAUUUGAUGAUGAUGAGUAAGCUCUUGCUUUUCUUGCUCCUCUUUCUGAAGUUGCGAGAGGUUCAAAGAUCCUUAUCAAUGAUUGGAGUGGCUGUUCCGGUUGCAGACGUUGCUGUUGGAGUAGAAGCUGUAGCCCUUUCGGUGAGGUGCGAAUGCUCGACCUCGACCCAUUGGCAUUAGUUGAGGAUGCACCAUCCCUGAUUAUUUUUUAGGAGAAAGCCUCUUUCGUCGGGUUCAAGGGAAAAGACUAAGAAUGAGGUCCCCUCCCCCCAGUUGAGGAACGAGGGCAAAAGCGAAGCCUAUGAAGUGAGUAUGAGCUCGCUCGACCCCCACGUAGCGGGAAUAGCACCAUCUUCUCUCUUUCAUGAGUAGUUCACUGCACUCAUUAGUAGCUGGACCAAGAGGUUAUUCUCUCUAUGAUCUCCUGGACUGGAAUAGCGCUCUCCCCAUAGCAAGAGGGAGCUCGACGUAGUCGGUCUUUCGGCAGUCACAAUAAUUAAGAGAAGCAGCUGCUCGGGAGAGGGAGGUAUCAGAUGCACGAAGAGAGGAUUGGUCGAAUCGACUGUAAGAAGAGGCAUCUGUUCUUGUGGCUGUAGCAGUUGCAGAAGUUGAAUCGUCUGUGGCUGUUCUUGUUUAAGAAAUAGCUGCAGCUAUUCCCACCAAGGCCUGACGAUAGGCUGAUUUCAGGAUUUCCUAUCCAUCCUCAAAUUCUUUGAGCCUUUGUUACAAGAAAAUACUCUUUAGUGACUCAAGAAUGACCCUGUCUUAUGGCACCUCUCAUCUGGAGCCUUUGUUUUUGAAACAAGUCAAAUUCUCUAAUGGAUAGGCCUGAAUUCAUGAAUAUUGAAUUGAACCUACUAAAAUCAAAGGAAUAAAGAAAGAGCUCAAAAGGAGUCAAAAUGAGAAGUCCGAAACCUCAUCACCUACUCCCGGAGGCAAGGUGAAAUUCAAUAUGACGAAGUCUUAUAGUUGGGUCUCAUCCCCCCAUAAUCAAGUAGCGUCCACUAAAAAGAAGCGGAGCGCGGAAGGACGAGGCGCAAUGAAAUAUGCCUUGAAUGAAUCUACCCUUUUUAGACUCGACUACUCCGCUACGUGGGCUUACUAGUAAUGCUGAAGUUUCCUCCUUUUCUAGCUUUCUUUCUAAUGCCCUUCUUUAUGGUCAAUGGUCACUUCCCCGAGGCGCGGAUCCCACUACACGGGAAUAUAUUAUGAUAUAAUGAACUAUCUUCUUUCUAAUAGCUAGUUUCAACAGCCACCGGGGAGGAGACAAGAACUCAAUCUACUGAAACAAGGGUUUCAACCACAGCGAGAGCAGACCUCAAAAAAAUAAGGAAGAAAAAGAUAAAGGCGCGAAGCGAAGCCUAUGAAGUCAUAAGGGCAAGGGCUUUCCGUGAACUUUCUUAUGAUGGGAAAUCCUUGUUUUCAUUUGCGAGACACAUUUCAUUCGUAGAAAUACCACUUCCUACUUCCUCAUCCCGACAAUAAAUAAAGCACUACGCGGGACAAAGUAGAUUCCCAAACUUAAAAGGAAAGACUAAAAUCAAAGCUCCAGAUGAGUUGAAUUGAGGUGCAAUGAAAUAUGCCUUUCUGCAGUGUGCGAAUUCGCUCUUUCGGCUGAUAACCUUUCGAUCCAGAAAGCACUACGCGGAAGUUCCCCACUACGCGGCGUGAAGUGACUGCCCACUUUUUGAAAAGAAAUAAAGAGCGCAGAACAAGGUUCAGUUAAGCUUGAUAAAUCAGUCCUUCGCCUAAGAAUAAGGUGAAAAGAAUAUUGAACUCAUGAAAUCAAUAUCCCUGUCUUAUGGGGCCUUUGUAGCUUAAUAAUGGGGAUCUGGUUCAAUUAUAAGGCUCAAAGAAGAUUGAGAAAGAAUAUUGCAAAAUCAAGGCGGCAAAGAAAAGGUGAAUAGGGAUUCGUACGAUUAGACUUGACUGAGAAUGGAAUUGCUUUAGCUAUCUUUUUUUUUCCGUCUUUCAAGGUGGAAGCUAAAUCAGAAUAGUUUCUAGUUGAAGGCAAGCAAGCUAGGGUUGGUUCGUAUUGACAAAGAGCUGGACUUCUAAACUUUCAAUGGGUACUGGAGUACUUUCUUUGUCAAUCGAUGCUUAAUACUAUCUUUACGCAAAUAAAGGCCGAAGAAUGAGGCUAAGUCUUCUAUUUAGUGGUCUCGCAAUAUUCUUUGCACCUUGCUGAUCUCAUUUCAAAAAUGCUUCGCCUGCCUCUUCUUUGAUUCCGUGCACGAGUAAGUACCCGUAAAUCGUAAAGAAAGAGGGGGGUAGUUACCUGCUCUUUCAUCGAGAUUGGCGAAUUACGGUAGAAGAUAGAAGAGGUUCGAGGAUCAAAGUAUUUGAGCUUUGCUAUUACUUUCAUGCUCCUCUUAGAAGGAAGAUAAGCACGAUAAGCUGGCCUAUAUCAUUGCUUAAUUCAUGCUUUCUUCGUACUUCCGGAAAGAAAUCUCACUCAUUUCAUUCUAUCACAUAAUGAGAACUCUAGAAAAGAAAUUGCUUACUUCAUGCUUUCUUCGUAUUUAUUUAAGGACCCAAUCCAUCUUUUGUCUAUGACGAUCGGUACGAAAGGAAGGCAUGCUCGCAGGGGAUUCUUAUUACUAAUAGAUGAUAAGAUAAUACGAGAAUGAAAGAGGUCGAGCGCCUCACCUCUGAGUCUGAUUGUUGGAAGUAUGAUGACUCCCACUGGUCGUCUUUCAACUCAUUAAAUCCCCCUAUCUUUUAUGGCGGUCUUACCGGAAUAUCUACUUUAUAGAAUUCCUAUGAGACUAAGAAAACAAACUGAGACCUCGUAGUCUUCCUGUUCCCGGUCGAUCCUAUGAUCGAUCUCAUACAAAGAUCUUCUAUGAUUCGACUAAAAAGACUCUUUCUUCUUAGUUUGAGCUUGAGGCGCGUCCAACCCACUACGCGGUAAGCUUUUCCUCUUUUCCUCUCACUUCAAGACUCAAGACCUUACCCGCACCGAGUCAAUCCGAUCGCUACCUUUCCAGGUCGUAUUCUAGUAAUUAAUUUCAUUAAUAACUCAGAGCGGCGAUCUAAAUACUUCUUCAGCAAGAACUUUCGAAGAAGGUAGAGGAACUGAAAUGGAUUCAGCUUCCGCAGGCAGCAUCCCUUUCAACGACGACUCCCCGAGAGACUCGCUUCAAACUUCCGAUUUAGAAAGAAGGUAUCUCAGUCUCUUACCGCGUAGUGGGCUGAUCGUGAGAGAUGGAAUCUUCAACCUCUUAUGGAAAUGUGUCCAGCGGAAGUAUUUACGUAAGAAAUUGAGAACCAGGCGAGAGGAGAGGGGUGAGGAUCGAGCGCAUUCCCUAUCGAUCAGCAUCCUCAACUCUACUUCAAGAGUAGAAAGGUUUCGGAAUUCAGAGGCAAGAGCAUUCCUUCCUCUUUCUUUAGUCAAGUCAUUUCAUUCCUUUUCUCACUAGGUCUAUAGAAAUAGUUCAUGGCCAGGACUAGGUCUCGUCAUAUUCUUUUCUCAAGAGAUGAGAAGAAAGUUCUCCUAAUAGAAUAUGUUUGAAUAUCUCAACUAGAAAGUCUCGGACUAACUCUUCCCAUAGCGUAGCCUACGGAGCGGGGAAAAGGAAGAUUUUCAACAGUCAAGAGAUCAAUCAGAAGGGAGCGGGAAGAAUGGAUAUUGUCUUCGAUCUUGCGAUAAAAUGAGUCAGACCAUAUGCGAUCUCGUCUCAAACAGAGAAUUAGUAAUCUGAGUCGCACGGGGAAUAGGUUGGAUAGUCCGGAGGACGGGAAGACAGAAAGAAAAGAGAGGCUCCGGAGGUUCAAAGAAUAUUGACAAAGAAUAUUUCAUGAAUUGAGGUGCGGUAGUCCGUCCGAAGGACUAUGAAAUCCAUUAGUUUUCGUUUGCACUCCUUUCUUCUUUUCUUAGAUAUUCUGGGAUUGAACUCCGUCUGAAAUCUAGCAGAUUCAUUUUUAGCUUCUUUCAUUCUCGUUAAUGAGCACUUGAACCUGUCUUUCUCAGGCGCAAAAAAUAUUGCGAGAAGAGCAAAGAAGAGAAUGGCGAUCAGAAUUUGAGUCCUUUCAUACUUUCGUUGAGGAGGAGGAGUUUUCUUCUUGUAUCAUAAUAGGAUAUUUUAGUAGAAUAAGAAGAAGAAGAAGAUAAGACUACGUAGCGUAGUGGGCUUUUCUUAUGGCGGAGCGGAGGAUUCCGACUAUCCACUGAAGAAAGUAGGAAAGCCUAAGGAACCUAAAAAGGGCUAAUAGGGGAAGGAAGAAAGCCUAUCCCUCCAGAAUCUUUGAGGACCGAAGGACUUCUUUAUAUCCCUAUUUAUUUAUUUAUGGGACUCCCAGAAAGGUUUAGUUCCAUAAAUCAGUCGGCUAAUAUAUAGGAUGAAAGUAGAUAGAAAGGAAAAGAAAAAAGUCGUCACUCUUAAGGAGUGCAAGAAGGAAUCUUUGAACCUUUUAUCCUGAUCUCUCUCAUUCUACAACUCAGUCGAGCCACUAUUCAACCUUCUUUUCGAUGGGACAUCAUGUCCUCUUAUCUUAAUCCCAUAAAUCAUUUAAGGCGAUACGGAAACAAGAAAUCCAGAAACUUAAUCCGGUAGAGUCAAUUCGAGACUAAGACGAGUUGGGGUUUCGACCAUAGGCUUUCCUUCCAAACCUACUAUACUAAACCUACCCCCGGACUCAAGGCGCGAAGUGAAGCGGCUGCCCACUUUUUAGAAAUAAAGAGCUGAGAUAAUUCUUUUCACUCAUUGAGGUCGGCUAAAUUCAAUGGAUAAAGAAGUCCUUUGCUUCAUUCUAUAUGUCCUUAUCAAUGAGACCAUUAAUCAGUCCGAAGGACUAUCCAAAGAAAAGAAUAUCCCUGUCUUAUGGGGCCUCCGUAGCUUAAUAUGGAGCGCUCCGGACGAGUCUUAACUAAUAUUCCCAAUCAAAGAAUUAUCGAAAGAAUGAUCGACGAGUCUUAUUCCACUAAAAUAGUAGUCCUUCGGAGCAGUCUUAUACUAAUCUCCUAAAAUCAAAGCUCCAGAUGAGUUUCAUUCCACUAAAAGACGAAAGAAGGUAUCUCAGUUACCAAAGAGAAAGAGCUUCCACAAACCACUUCCACAUAAACUUCUGCUAAGUCUACUUCUGUUAUUGAUUCAACUUAGCCUUUAAUCAGAUUAGGACCUAGCUAGCCAACCUUAUUCCUUCCUCUUCCUUACUUUGUUCUCGCUUGCUUCGGCAGGCACACACUAUCUCUGGAUACUGGAUAAGAGAUCCUUUGGUCAAGCUGCAAGAGAAAGACUUCUUCUCCGAUCGAUCAGCUACCCGAUUCCUCCUUCCCCGAUGAUAAGGUUAGCAGGCCCGAUCCUCUCCUAUUGAAAAAGAAAGCAGAAAUCUUUCAGUCUAGAGGAUUUAUCCGUAGCCCGGAGGAUUUAUCCGUAGCCCGGAGGAUUUAUCCGUAGGACCAUCUGUAAUUAACGCGAAGUAGUCUGCAGUCCGGAGUCCGCAGGAUUUAUCCGGAGGACUAUCCAUAUGGAAGUAGGACCAUCCAUAUGGAAGGAAGUAGUCCGCGAGUCCGCAGUCCGCAGGAUUUAUCCGUAGGACUAUCCAUUUUCAGUCGGACUAUCCAUAUGGAAGGGAGCGAAAUCUAGCUAUGAGGACUCUUUGAGCUCUUCUUUGAGUCAGUGGCUCUGCCACUUGCAGAAGGAGCAGCGAAGUCCGCGGUUUCAGAGGUUUAUGUAGCAGUUCUUCUUUAAUAAGAUGCUUACUUUCUUUCGGGUAGAAAGGUUCACUCGUGAACGGUACACCUCUUAUAUGAUGCCUGGGGACUUUGUCCCUUCUUCUACGGAUUUCUCUUAUAUGAUCUUAUUCAUCUCCGUAUCGUUCAUAUAUUCAUUCUAUAAAAUCCCUAGCUGCCACAGAUGGUCGAACUUGCCUCUUAAGUGGCGUGGGUCGAUCCUCUUGUUGACUUUUUACCUAGGAGUGGGGGGGAAGAAGUUCGAGAAUAAUUUAUCUUCUUUCCUUGUCCCAGUUCUUCUUUCCACUUCUACUUAAGUCACCACGACUGAUACAGAUGCAAGAACAUCAGGGCGAGCAGGGAAGAGGCGGAGGGAGUUUGCACUCUUUUCAUGCGGGUUUGAGUGAGACUGAUGCGCCCUAGGUCAAGCCAUUGCUUCGUCUUGUUCAUCACAUUCAUUAUGUUCACAAUUCCGGAAUCAAAGUAGAAAUACGAGAAAGCGCUCCAGCGGACUCUGAUUCAUUGGGAAUUCUAUCUUCCCGCCUCAAUGAACAAGGUGAAAAGAAUAUUAAAUGAAUCAUUGAGUUGAGGCGGUGGAACCUAGGAGUGGGACCGGGAACAUGAUAGGCUUGAAUCUAAGAAGUGAAUAUAGUAUUGAAAGAGGCCCACGGAGCGGUGUCCGACUAUCCUACUAUCGAAGCCUUGAAGCAUGAGUCUUGAGGUUUUCAAAGUCUACUCAGAGGACGAGGUUGAAGUUUCAUAGGGAAAGGUUUCAUAACAAGCAGUUGUUUUCCGUAUCGAAUGCUCUUUCAUUCCUUAUUCGAAAGAAGGCAAAGAAAGUGGAAACUAAAUCCUUGGAUUCUUUCCCGCUUGAACCAUGAAAGGUUAGGCCUUAGUUACGAUCUCAUUCAAUGCCCUAGCAUACUCAAAGGUUCGGGGGCGUAGUGGAUGGAGCUAGAAGACUACUACUUGGACGAGGGAUUUCCUUUCUCUUAUUGUAAUACUCCUAACCACCCCUUUUUGAAUGGGCAGGCCCCUCUGGUCGAGUUUACCCUUUUUAUUCAGGCCUAUCUGCCUCCGUUCAUGAAGGACAAAAUCGGACUGAGCCCUUGUUCAUUGAGGCGUAUAAGCCCACGUAGCGGUGCCAUAAGACAGGUCUGAAGGCGUCACAGGUCCGGAGGACCCGUCUGUCCGAAGGACGAGAUAUUUAUAAUGUUGAGAGAAAGAUUAGACUUUGUCAGGACCCUUAUUUCCAUUAUUUUUCACUUUCAAUAUUCUUGAGAAUAUUCAUUCAUCCGACAGAGCAAAGUUCAUCCAGAUCCCCAUAUGAAUUAGGCGAAUGACUGAUUUUCAAAGUCAGAGUUAUCCCUCAAAUUCUUUGAGCCUUUGCACUCAAAUUCUCUAAUGGAUAGUCCUUCAGACCGCUAGGAGUAAAGAAUAUUGUGUGGAACUGAACUAAUAGGGAAAAGCAUUUCCUAUUGAUUUGUCCCCUGGACUGGACCUAUUCUGAUUCUGAAUUAUCCGUCGCUACGUUGUUCCCAAGGACUAGCAAAAUCGAAAUAGCGAAAUUCUUGGGUCAUCUCAAUGGGUUCAGAAACCACACGUUUCUCUGGAUCAUCACAGCGUACUUCCACAUAUCCACUCAGAGGAAGGUCUUUUUGUAAUGGAUGACCCUCGAAACCAUAAUAUGUUGAUAUACGGCGUAGAUCCGGAUGAUUGAUGGAAGAAACACCAAACAUAUCCCAAACUUCUCGCUCCCACCGGCCGGCUGAUGGAAAUAGACUGACUACCGGAGAGAUUCGUGUUACUUCGUCUGCACUGGUUUGUACACGAAUGCGUGAGUUAUACCGAGUACUCAGUAAAUUAUAGGCCACUUCAAAUCUGAGUUUUCUAUAUAUAUUUAUAUUGAUGUUAAUAUGUUACCUUGUAAUUGGAAUGGUGAUUUGAAUAAUCUAAUAGGAUUAUGUGUUUGGAUCAAAAUAUGUUGCAAGAGAAAUAGCUAAAUGUGUGGAUUUAGUGACAAAGAGGGUAUUCAUGUGUUUAUUUUAGUUUUCUCAGUGAGGACUCGAUUUUUAGAAGAAACGACCACUGUUCGAAUCAUUCAAAACUUUGUUCCGAACAAAAAUUUUGGACUUUGUCAUUGUCCUCUUCACCGAAUGUGACAAACUUGAAGACAACGAUGAAACAUUGAAAGAUUACUUGGAUCGAAAAUGUCUUGUGGGGUUGAAAGAUACCAUAGCCGCUAGCAAGAACUGUUGCUUGGUUUUCAAUAACAAAACCGAUAAUGAAACAAAGAAGAUUGAAUAAGUGGAUAAACUUAUAAAGAUGGUGCAUGAAGUUGUACAACAAAAUGAAGGAAAAGCAUACACUCAUGGCUUGUUUUCUAAUGUCAAGUUUGAGACCAACUUGCAAGAUGAUGUGAAAACCAAGCUUGAACACACAAUUACAGUUCAAAACACAAGCAAAAUUUAAAGCAUAACAAGGAGCACAAGAAGUUCAACAACAAUCUAUGGAUCAAAUUCGAGUCCUCAAAGACCAUCUAUGCAUCAAGACUUGAAAGGUCACUGUCACUACCAAUGCUUCCACAAAUUAUUCGUCAUGGUCGCUGCAUGAGAAAAGGUUGCAUUAUUGUAUGACUUUACUGUGCAUGCAUUCAAUAAAUAUGUACAAGUAAUUAGUAUAAUGAAUAUAUACUAAAUAAAAAUAUGAAAAAACUGUGAAAAAAAACUUAUUUGAUUAACUGCUAUAAAAUUAAUAUUUGAAAAUUGGCAUGUGUUCUCGAAACUAAUAAAAGCAAGUUUGGAAAUGCCUUUAUUUUGUCUUUGUUGAGUGUAGUGUAAAUUGGGAAAUAUAGAAUGCUUAAUUAUGUUGUUAAUUAAUAAGAAAAUUAUUUUAGAAGUUUUGAUGAAUGUCCAACUACAUGUGGAAAGAAUUAUAAAGGAUUGAAAAAUGAUUCUAUAAUCUAGCCCAAACAAGAGGUGGGUUAUUAUAGCUCACUUCACUUCUAUUUAGUUUGGGACCCAAAUAGCCUCUUAAAAUUAGGUUAACUCCAUAACUAAUAAGGGUCUUUAACUCAUAUAGUCUAAAUUGCUAUAUGAUAUUACAUGAAUGAUCCAAAUUACUAAUAAAUUUCAUAAAAGUCCUAAAUGGACUAGUAUAUUACAUAAAUGUAGGCUCAAAUUACUUUAAUACCAAUUUAUAUUAUUUAAUUGAUUUAUAACAAAUAUCUAAAUGAAAAAAACCGUGGGAUAUAGUUUUGGAAAGAAGUGGGGUCCAAAUUAAUUUAAUAUCAACUUCUAUUAUUUAAUUUAAUUGAUUUAUAACAAAUAUCUAAAUGGAAAAAAUGGUGGAACACCGUUUUGGAAAUAAGUGGGGUCCAAAAUAAUUUAAUACAAAUUUUUAUUAUUUAAUUGAUUUAUAACAAAUAUCUAAAUGGAAAAAAUAAAGAGAUACAGUUUUGGAAAGAAGUGGAAAACUUUUCAUGCUUUCCUUCCACGAAAAUGGUUGUCUACUCCUUUCAACGUGGAUUACGAUUUUUACUUCAAAAUUUUAGAGAGUUCGGAGGUGAAGAAGAAGACAGUCGACGACCGACAAAUACAAAACUUCUCGAACAUAAUCUAGUUAAAAACUUUGAAGUUAGUAUUGUAUAUAUUCAACACAUAUGAAACAUUAGAUAUAUUAUGUAUAUUUUAGACAUUCAAUUAAAUAGUCAAUCAAAUGAAAAUGUAGUUUUGAAUGUGAUACAUUUUAGGGUUUAUUGAGAUUUCGGCGGUGAAGAAGAAAACUUUUGAUGGCCAAAAAAUACAAAACUUAUCCGACAGAAUCUAACUAGAAAAUUUGUGCUUAAUAUUAUAUAUAUUCAAAACAAAUGAUUAGAAACAUUUAGUAUAUUAGGUAUAUUUUAAAUAUUCGAUUAAAUAGACAAACAAAUGAAAAUAUAUGAAACAUUUGGUAUAUUAGGUAUAUUUUAAAUAUUUGAUUAAAUAGACAAACAAAUGAAAAAUUAGUUUUGAAUGUGAUACAUUCUAGAGUUUAUUAAGAAUUCAACGUUGAAAAAGAACGGUCAUCCUAUCAAAAAAAUAAUAGAACUAUAUAUAUAAUAUGAGGUAUAUAUAUAUAAAACAUAGAACAUAACUAUUAUAGAUUACGGAUAUAUUAAAGUAUAAUGUAAUCAAAUACAUUUAUAAAGGAAAAAUAUGUAUGUAUGAUCAUGUCGUUUACUACCGUUUUAGUAAUAUUUAUUCUACAAACACAAAUUCUGUAGGAAUUAUGUAUAAGGUAUUAUUGUAUAUAAUAUGAGGUAUAUAUAUACUAAAUAACAUGUAUGAAUUAAGUGUACAUUUUAUUAGUGAAAGGUUCUUAUAUCAAUUUGUUUAUGAUUUUUAUUUAAAUAUUCAUAUAUUAUGUAGUAAGUAAUACGUUAUGUUUGAAAUAAUAUUGAUUAUGUAUUAAAGUUGCCAUUAGACAGUUUUUUAACAAAAUAUACCUAUUAUAUUAAUAUAGAAAAUGGGAGGAAAUCGUGCAACAUUAAAAUAGGAAACUUCUUUACCAUUUUCUCACUUUCCAUAUUCAACGAAAAGCUUGCCAUUUCGACAGUCAAUGACAUAUACAACAUAUUAUAUAAUGCGAUAAUAUUAUAAAACUAGUAUAAUCAUAAAUAAGAUGUGAUAUAUAUUUAAGGGAAAUAUUAAAAAACUGAUAAAUUCAUAAUAGAAUAACGUUAAAAUAAGGAGAAUAUUGUUAAUAUAAUAUAUAUACGCAUAUGAUAUACUCAUAAUGAACUAAUUUUAAAUGGGUAAAAUAACAAAUGACAUAUUUAUGUUAUUCUUCAUAUAAAACAUCAACUAAAAUAAUAAAGUAUUAUAUCUCACGGUUAAUAUAUAAAACUAUUAUAAAUGUAAACAAGAUGUGAUAUAUAUAUAUAAUAAAUCACAUAUACAACCUAUUAUAUCAUGCGAUAAUAUUUAAAACUAGUAUAAUCAUAAAUAGUAUGUGAUAUAUGUUUAAAGGGAAUAUUAAAAAACUGGUAAAAUCAAAAUAGAAUAACAUUAAAAUAAGAGGAAUAUUGUUUAUAUAUACUAUAUCUCAUAUAUAUACUCAGAAUGAACUAAUUUUAAAUGGGCAAAAUAACAAAUGACUGUGGAUUUUAUCUUAUCUUUAGGUGAUGGACAAUUGUAUAUGACGGCGAUUUGUUAAGAUUCUGCAGCUUACGGUUAUGAUAAAUUUGAAUACAAAUUUAUAAAACAAUGUAAUAAGAAGUUCAAAUGAUGGAGAAGAAUAGCAAAAAACAGUUGUCGGCGAUGGAGAAGAUAAUGUAAUGGCUGCCAGAGAGAGUGAACAAUUAGGUUAAGUUAUAUUUUUAGAAAGAAUAAUUAAAUAGUUUAUUACAAAAUAAAGUAAAAUUACAAUUAUUAUAAUAUAUUCUGAUUUAUAAUUAAUUUAAAAGAUACUUGAAAUUUAUUAACAUAUUAAGGUCUUUUGUCUAAAAGUUUCAACUAAUAAUAAUGAUAGUUGUAAAGCCCCAAAGGUAAAAAAAAAAAAUGUAUAUUUUACAUUUUCUUUUUAUAUAUUUUUAUAUAUAUAUUUUAUUUUAUUAAUUUAAAUAAAAAGAAAUGAAAAAGAAAAUCCUUAUUUAUAUAUUUUUUCUUUUCUUUUCUUUUUUUUUCUCUCUUCUUCUUCCUCCGUGCGCCGCGACCCCCACCCGUCCUCUUCUCCUUCCCGUUCGCAUCAAUCGCCGCCCCAUCCGUUCUCUUCUCUUUCGUUCGCAGCAGCCGUCGGCCGCCGCGUCUCCCCUACUGAAGCCGAGCGCCGCGACCAUUCCUUUCUCCUCUUCUCUUCAGUUCGCAAAGCAGCUGUACGCGUCCAAAUCUGUCGUCGUCCAGAUCUGCACCGCAAGACCUUCCGUCGUUGCGACCGUUGCUCUUUCUCCGCUGCCCAGCCGUCUCAGCCGGUUCUGUCUCCGUCGAAGCCACGGUUCUGCAACCGUCUCCGCCGGUUCUGUCUUCGUCGAAGCUAAGGCCCCCGCGUGAACCAGUAACCGCUACGCUCUCCGCUCACAACCGCCGCUCCACUUGCUAUCGACGUCGGUCGACUAGUUGCUGUAACCGUUCAGAUUUGCUGUAACCGUUCAGAUUCGCGGUCUGUUCGCGACGGUCUCCAUCCGUGAAGCCCAGCCGCCACGUUCCCUUUGGCCGACCGCUGACCGACCCACACUUAGGAUUUUGCUGCAAGUUCGACAGUCGUGCGUUGAGGUGUUGGGAGUAACGUUAGGCUCCCUUGCAUUCACAACCAGUUUGUGAGUUGUUGAGGGUUCAGUUCGCCAAUAUAUCGGUGAGUUGGAACUUACGUUGAGGAAAGUAAGUGAGAUAUGUAUCGUGAAAGUAAUUGAAUUUUGUGUUGUUGUGCUUAGGAUUGUUUCGAGGACGUUAGUUGAUUAAGGAGCUUCCCCAACUUUGAGGUAAGGGAUUUUCUACUGGACUCAAUUGUGAUUGUGAACUGUGAUUGUGAACUGCAUGUGUGUUGAAUGUAUACUGUGGGCUAACUGAAAAUAUAUAUGAAUGUAUAUGAAUUGAAGUAGACUUGACGUCAAAUGUAUAUCGUGAUUGUCAUGGAAUCUAUAUAUAAAUGUGUGUGUGUGGACAGGACGGAGAUUGUAGAUUGUGUUUGUAUGAGAUGCAGAUGUGAAUCUUGUGAUUUUCGUUUAGAUUGGGUGUAUGAUUACGCUAAAGUAUGACUGUGUGCUGGUGAACUGAGGGGUGCAUUGACUGUAUAGUGGAUUGACUGUAUAGUGGAUUGACUGAUGUAUUAGCAUAUUAUUGACAGACAUAUGACUGUAGUAAAAUAAGUUGACUGUUAGGAUGUUGAAAGAAAGAACUUUGUGACUUGAAGUAACUGAAAGAUGGGUUGAAUGGAAUGAGGGGAUAAAUUGUUAGAUUGUAUUGGGAUGUUUACCUUGUAGGUGUCCCACGGGAUCACCAAUUUAUUGUGCACCUUCAAGAGCAUUUGACUGAUAUGUGUUUCUGCAGAACACUAGACUGAUAUGUACGUCCCUCGGGGCGUUAGACUGAUAUGUACGUCCCUCGGGGCGUUAAACUGAGAUCUGUAUCCUACGGGAUCACAAGACUGCGAAUGUACAGAGUGUCCCAAUAGAACUUUAACAAUUUACUUUCCCCUGACGAGACCAGUAGAGGGUCUCUUACUGAGUAUUGUUAUACUCACCCUUCUUAUGUUUAAUUUUCAGGCAAAGGUAAUAAAGGCGGCAAACCGGCGAAGGGCAGGAAGGAAGCGUGAUUGACAUAGGAAAUGUGUCAUUUUGCUUCCGCUUAUGGUUUCUUUUGAGGUUUAAGAUGUACUAAAACUUAGUUUACAAACUUUUAUUUGUAAAUAGUGUUAUUUUUAAGUUUUCUUGAACAUUUGAAAAUCAGGCCUGACAUAAAUUGUUUUUAAAUUGACUUACGUUUCAUUUUGUAUCAACCAAAGUCUUUUGUUAAAAAUUAACGACCUCGACUUACCUAGAAAAGUUGGGUCGUUACAAUAGUUCUCAUUAACCAAUUGACAAAUGAAUGAUAUUGUCAAAUGAUCGAUAUUGUCAAAUGAUCGAUAUGUGCAAGUGCACAUUUCAAUUAUAUUAUAGUAAAACGUUCUUAGAGAUCGAGCUAGUAUCCUUUUAAGAGGGAUCAAAUUAACAAAUUAAUUUAUUGAUUUUAGGAUUAGGAUGUGUUUUAAGGAUAAAAACAAUGAUUAGAAACUAAUUAACUACAAGUUGUUGACUUUUGAAAAGAAUAUCUUUCCAUUCAAACAUAAUUGUUCCUAAUCUCUUCCAACUAAGUUAAAUAUUAUGGUAUUAAACAGAUACAUAGUUUGGUUGGUAGUUUCUCUUCAAAAUUAUUAUUUUGAGAAAACAAAUACAAUUUCUUUUUAUGUAAUCCAAUAUCCUCAAGUAUAUUUAUAAAUAUGGAAAUAUUAUUUCCAUAUUAGAAGAGAUACUAAAAGAUCUUAUUACAACAUCAUUAGAGUCCCAUCAUUUUCUCUAAAUAUCUCUUUUGUGGUGAAAGAUUUGGAAUUGCACAUCAAUCAUUUUGGAGUGGGUAAUUGAUCACCCUAUUUUUCAAAAAAUAAGAAAGAUAAAAAAUAGUUAUUUUUUUAAAGAUAUAUUUGAAAGUGUUGAGUUUAUGGAAGGUAUUAGUACUUAUACAACCACGAAACAUUUGAUUUUUGUUAUCUAAAUUAUUUUAAUAAAAAUGUUUUUUUUUUUUUUUGAAGUUUAUGCUUAUUAAAAAUGCUUAUUUAAAAAAUGUUAAUGAAAUUUUAAAAAAUAAAAUCUAAUUAAACACUUCUGAGAUAGAGAGGUUUCCCUUGACUACCCGAGCGUAGAUAAACACUUCUGAGAUUUGGUUGGUAAUCCUAAGUUCGUGUGCAGUUGAUUAUUUUUUAAAUUUUGUAUAGUUGAAUAAUAUUUGAAUUUUAAAUUUUCAUCUAUGUGAUAUUUACUCAUUUCAAACUUUUUGAAUAUGCAUGUUUAUUUAUUAUUCUGUCGUCUCUCUAUUGUAUUUUAAAAUAUAGAAUAUGUGUAUUUAUAUUAUUUGAAAUUGAAAAUUUAACUUUUACUCUUAGAGUAGGCUUUAACUCUUUGUUUGUCCGUGUUGUAGGUGAGCGAGAAGGAAAAGUUCCAUUGUUUGAUUGAAUUGGAAUUGUUUCCUGCAUGGGGUGUCAUACAUAAUUCCACUUAUUACUAGUUGAAGGUCUUCUUUGCCUCUGUCUUCUUCCCCAUCUCCCCAAGUUGUUCUAACCUUUUUAUAUCUACCUAUUACAUGUCAAAAGGUUCGCUCUUCAAUGUUUUGAAACAAGUUCAUUAUGAAAAUCUCUCACAAGCAAACGUAUGUGCAUUAUGAAUAAUUUCAUCUCAAAAAAAUUGUUUGAGAGGUUUCAAAAGUGUAUCGAAACUAAUAAUUUUAAUGAAUAAAAAAAUAAUUCUUCGUUAGAUUCUUACAUUUUAUUUCAACGAACAAAAUUUAGGAAAAUUUUUAAAAAUAGCAAAUUUUACAAAAAUAUUUACAAUUUAUAACAAAUUUAUAGUCAUUGAUAUGAUAUAACGAUAGUUACUAAUAAAUAUUUUAAUUUAUUUUGUUAUUUUUAAAAAUGCUCAUAAAAUAUUAUAGUGAGGGAACAAUGAUGAAUCACAUAGUUCUUGUGGUGAUGUCGCUUUUUCUCCCUCUUUACAUUCUAAAAUCUCAAAUACAAAUCAUAAAACAAGUAGAUAUACAUUCAAUUAGCAUGAUUUUGAUUCUAAUAAAUUAGAAAGACAAAAAUAACUAACUAAUUAUGGAAAAGUAAUAUUUUAACAUGAAUUAUUGAUUUUUAAUUAGAGGUAAUUUUAAAAUAAAUAAAAUAAAAGAAAAUAUUACAAAUCAAAUCUAAACUAACUUUGAUUUUACUUCUUUAAUUGCAAUAUAACAUAGAUACAUUGGCUAUGAAGUGCAAUUUCUUAUAUUAUAAUAUUUAAAAGAUUUAAAUUUAAAAAUAAAAAUAAGUAAUCUCAAGUCCAAUAUUGGACCCGUGGGCUUAGCCCAUCAAUUUAAAAAUUCAAAAUGCACACUCAACCGUCACAUUUUCCUAGGAUCAUCCUAUUUAAUGCCCUUCUACUUGUCAACUCCAUCGAAAUCCUUCAUUUCUUGUGGCACCGUCUAAAAUUUGCUUCGAUUGAAGAAAUUUUGACGCCCAUGACAGCGUUGAAAUUUCUUCAAUGCAAACAAAUUUUUUAUCUUCCUUUCAUCGAGGAUUUUCAUACCAUGUGAAGGAGAGAUCAGUUCCAUCCGUUCCAAGUCGUUCGUGAGUCAUCUUCUUUCCUGUGUAGUUUUCAUCUCUUGAUUUUGGAUUGCUUGUUCAAGAUUUAUUUUCGAAUUUUGGAUUGUUUGCUAUUCGGAUAGGCAGAAGGUUUGCACGAUGAUAGAUCUGGAGUACCUGAAUCGUUUAUUGAUUCUGUAGUUUAAUCUUAUGAUUUUGGUGAUUUCGAAGCGUACAAUAUAAUCGUACUGUGUUAUGAAGUAAAUAAGAUUUUGUAGGGUUUUUGAAAGUUAAUUUAGAUAUUUCCUGCAUUUUAGUCUUGAUAGAUCUGGGGUACCUGAACCGUUCAGGUUUGCAUGCUGUGAUUGUGUUGUUCUUUUUUGAUUUUGGAGAGAGUCCUUGGGUAAUUUUGAGGAUUGUUCUUUUUUUAGUUUUUUUUUGCAUGCAUUCAAACACACGCAUGGUUUUUAAACUGGGGUUCUUGAAUAUUUGUUGGUUUUCUCGAAUAUUUGCCGGUUUUUUUUUCUCAGAAGAAUUGAUCUUAUAUUUGUGUAUCUCUCUGUGCAACUUUAAUAUAAAGUUAUUAAGGAAGAAGAGAAAGGAGGAAGAAGGGAGAGAGAAAAGGUAGAAACGACCUAAUAGUAGGCAUGAGUAUUAAGAUGCAGCAGAGCCACCACUUAGUGGCGCUAAGGUUUAAUGAGCAAAUUGACAGUAGAAAAGGGUCCACAUCCAUACCUAAGUUACUAUUGCUCUGGGUUCUGUUGGUGGCAUUCAUUAGUAUGUUAAACUACAAAGAAAUGGAUGGGUGGGUGUUAACAAAGUUAGAAGAAAGUAAGUUCUGGGAAGUAUGUGUGACCAGACGACAAAGAUGUUUCUUAGUGUCAGUGUCAAACUAUGUCCAGGCUUUGGCCAUUCUCAUUUCCAUUUUCCAGUACUUCAAAAUCGUAUCAGCAAUUGAUCAGGAAAAUGUGUUUCGAUUUCUGUCUUUUAUUAGUCUCGGUUAGUUAGGCUUAAGAGUAAGGGAUAUAAUUCAUUUUUCUUGUUUCAGCUAGAAAUUACGUCGAUGUCUUGAUUUUUAGUUUUUUUAGGGCUGUUUGGUUGUUUUUUUAGGGGUGUUUGGUUAGUUAGGCCUAAGAAGUAAGGGCUAGUGAAAGAGAAGCAUUUGAUUGUCCUACAAGUAUCUGAAUCGCCAAUGAAAGCAGAGGUUAUUUCCUCUGAAUUUCCACGAAUUGUUCAGGUUUGGAUUCUGUGAUUGUGUUGUUCUGUUGUUCUCUUCUUUAUUUUGGAGUGUUCUAGGAAAUUUUGAGGUUUGUUAUUUUUUAGUUUUUUUGGCUUGCCUUUAAUCACGCUCGUUUGGGAAUAGACAGGCUUCAGAGAAUGAAUCUCCUUUUUAAGGGUUCGUUGGGGAGCGAAGUGACCAUAUGGCAUCCCUUUCUGCACCUGCUCAGUCUCUCUCUUGCCUUUUUCAUACUACAUAUUUUUGUUUCUCAAUUUAGUGUCAGUGUCAACCAUGUCUAUGCUUUGGCCAUUCUCAUUUCCACUUUCCACUACUCUAAAAAUGUAUCUGCAAUUGAUCAGGUAAAAGUGUUUCAAUUUUCUGUCUUUGGUUCAUCUCCGUUAGUUAGUCUUAAGAGUAAGGGAGAUAAUUCGUUUUUCUUGUUUCCCUCCAUGUAUUGAUUUUUAGUUUUUUAGGGAUGCUUGGUUGGUUUGAAUGCACGAAACAUUUGCUGGUACACGAUUCAAACAGCUUGCCCAGUCAUGUUUUUCUAUUUUUUUUUAAUAUUUUGGAAUUUUGCAUGUGUGAUUUCUGUAUAUAUUAUUCUUGCCCUUUUCCUUUAUCAUCAUUUAUUUUGAUUUUGGAGAGGUCUCUUGGUUAUUUGUUAUUUGCACAUAUACAAGGGUUGAAAAUUUCAAUCCCACCUCUCUUUUAUAUUACAUUCAUUUAGUUUUGGCUGUUAUCUAAUUGAACUAUUUGAUCAUCAAAUAAUUGUGUUACCUUUUCUUCUAGAUGUUUAGAUUCAUUUUUCUCACUCUUUUAGUUUUCUUAAUGUGUGACAGUCUUUGUUUUUUAUUGAACUAUUGUGUGGCAGUCUUUAUUUAUUGGUUAUCUUUAGUUUCACUAUUGUUCUUUUUUUAAUGUUUUCUUAGUUUUUAAUAAGUGUGACAAAAUAUGAAUUAAUUUUUUUCUUUGAACAAAUGUGGAAUUUAUUUUCUUUUAAUGUAGUUGUGUCCCCAAUAAAUUUAUUUUGGCGAUUUAACAAUCCAUCAUGUUCUUUUUCAUUUUUCUGUUGUAUUUUCUUCGGUUCUUUGUUGUGGUAUGUCUAUUUUUGAGACAUUCUUAAUUUAGUUUUAUUUCUUUUAGCUUCCUGCAUCAUUUUGUAUUAUGGAUUGUUAUGAAAUUUUGAGAUUAUGCUUUAUUUUGUUUUUUGGUCCUUUGCUGUGAUGUCUUUUGAUUAUUUAUUUUGAGUGAACAGUUCAUGUAAGAUUUUCUGCAUGAGAAUAAAUUGAUUAUUUAAUUUGGUCAAAGAAGUUCAAAAUUUACAUGUGAAAUUUACACUCAGUGGCUGUAAGGUUUAAUGAGAAAAUUGGAAGUAGAAAAGAGUCCACAUUAAUUCAUUCAGCCAAGAGGGCUUGGCAUCCUAAGUUUGCUCUGGGUUCUGUUGGUGGCAUUCAUCAAUAUGUUAAUCUAUUAGGGAAUGUAUGGUUAUAACAAAGUAAGAAGAAUGGAAGUUCUGGGGGAGUAUUUGUGACAAGAGGGCAAGGAUGCUUCUGCAUCAAUUUAGUGUUAGUCAAUCAUGUCUAUGCUUUGGCCCUUCUCAUUCCACUUUCCACUACUACAAAAAUGUAUCUGCAAUUGAUCAUGUAAAAGUGUUUCAAUUUUCUGUCUUAGGUUCAUCUCAGUUAGUUAGUCUUAAGAGUAAGGGAGAUAAUUCAUUUUUCUUGUUUCAGCUAGAUGUUACCCUCCAUGUCCUGAUUUUUAAUUUGGCUUCCUAAGUGUGCUCUAGGUUCUGUUGGUGGCAUUCAUCAGUAUGUUAAUCUACAGGUGAAUCUAUAGUUAUAACAUAGUAAGAAGAAUGGAAGUUCUUGGGGAGUCUUUAUGUGUGACGGUCUUUGUUUUUCAUUGAACUAUUGUGUGGCAGUCUUUAUUUAUUGGUUAUCUUUAGUUUCACUAUUGUUCUUUCUUUAAUGUUUUUCUUAGUUUUUAAUAAGUGUGACAAAAUAUGAAAUUAUCUUUUUCUUUGAACAAAUGUGGAAUUUAUUUUUCUUUUAAUGUAGUUGUGUCCCCAAUAAAUUUAUUUUGGCGAUUUAACAAUCCAUAAUGUUGUUUUUCAUUUUUCUGCUGUAUUUUCUUUGGUUCGUUGUUGUGCGAUGUCUAUUUUUGAGACAUUUUUAAUUUAGUUUUAUUUCUUUUAGCUUCCUGCAUCAUAUUGUAUUAUGGAUUUUUUCGAAAAUUUGAGUUUGAUCUUGUUUUCCUGGUCCACUGCUGUGCAGUUUUUUUUUAUGAGAUAUUUUUAUUUAGAUUUAUUAUCUUUUAGCUUGUUUUGCAUUUUGCAUUAUAGAUUAUUUUUUAAAAUUUUGAGGUUGUUUUUUUUCUUUGAUCUUUUGUUGCGGUGACAAUUUUAAUUUAGAUUUAUUAUCUUUUAGCUUGCUUGCAUUAUGGAUUGUUAUGAAAUUUUGAGAUGAUGCUUUAUUUUGUUUUUUGGUCCUUUGCUGUGAUGUCUCUCUAUAAGACAUUUUUAAUUUAGGUUUAAUAACUUUUAGCUAGCUUGCAUUGUGGAUUGUUAUGAAAUUUUGAGUUUCUGCUUUCUUUUGAGUUUUGGUGAUGCCUUUUUACGAGACAUUUUUUAAUUUAGGUUAAUUUUUUAGGUUGCUUGCAUUUAUGGAUUGUUCUGAAAUUUUGACUUUCUGCUUUUGUUUUUUAUGUCAUUUGUUGUGUGAUAUUCUCUUUAUAAGAUAGAGAUAUUUUUAAUUUAGGUUUACUAUUUUUUAGCCUGCUUGCAUUUGGUAUCAUAUAUGAAUUGUUCUGAAUUUUGAGUUUCUACUUUUUCAGUCAUUUUUUUAGGGCUGUUUGGUUGUUUUUUUAGGGGUGUUUUGGUUAGUUAGGCUUAAGAAGCAAGGGCUAGUGAAAGAGAAGCAUUUGAUUGUCCUACAAGUAAUAAGCUUCUCCUCAAUCAUUCAACCAUUUUUUUAGUAAAGAAAGAGGCUUCUCCUCUGGCAACCAAAGUCCGUCCCUCGUUAACAGGUAAGUCUACCUCAUUACUUUUUAUGUCCUUUUAAUUAAGAUAUUUGGGUCAAUAUAUAUCAAAAUAAAUAAGAUCCAUCUUUGGUAAUUUUUAAAAAAAUUAAAUCUAUAAAUACUCAUUUCAUCUCUAAAAUUAUGUGAUUUGUACUUUCUAAAAUUCCCUCGAUGGUACUAAUACACUCUUAUAUUUGUAUUGUAAUUAUCAUGUCCUUUUUCUAUGGUUUUUUAAAGUUAAUUUAGAUCCUUAUUCGCUCUAGGUAUAAGUUGAAUGGAAGAGUUUUUUAGCCUUGAUGGAUCUUGAGUACCUGAAUCGCCGAUGAAACAGAGGUUAUUUUCUCGAAAAUUCCACGAAUUGUUCAGGUUUGGAUUCUGUAAUUCUGUUGUUCUUUUUUGAUUUUGGAGAGUGUCCUGGGUAAUUUUGAGGAUAUUAUUUUUUUGUUUUUUCGGCUUGCAUUUAAUCACGUGCGUUGGGGAAUAGACAGGCUUCGGAGAAUGAAUCACCUUUUUAAGGUUUCGCUGGGGAGCGAAUUGGCCAUAAGGCAUCCCUUUCUGUUCAGUCUCUCUCUUGCCUUUUUCAUACUAUAUGGUUGUUUGAUCUGGGGUUAUUGAAUGAUUGUUGCUUUUAUUUUCAUAAGAAGUGAUCUUAUAUUUUUGUCUCUCUGUGCAACUUUAAUUUGAGGUUAUUAAGGAAGGAGAUAAAGGAGGAAGAAGGGACGGAGAAAAGGAAGAAAUGACUGGAUUGUUGGGAUGGGUAUGAAGAUGCAGUAGAGCCACCACCUAGGUAAGGUCUAAUGGGCAAAUUGAAAGUAAAAAAGAGUGCACAUCCAUUCAAGCUAAGAGAGCUUGGGUUCCUAAAUUACUACUGCUCUAGGUUCUGUUGGUGGCAUUGAUUGGUAUUGUUAAUCUACAAGGGAAUUGAUGGUGUUAACAAAGUUAGAAGAAAGGAAGUUUUGGGCGUAUGUGUGACCGGAGCACAAAGAUGCUUCUGCAUCAAUUUACUGUCAGUGUUAAACUAUGUCCAUGCUUUGGUUUAUUUUCUAUUUUCUACUUUCCACUCCUCUCGAAAUGUAUCAGCAAUUGUUCAUGUAAAUGUGUUUCGAUUUCUGUUUGAUACUUCUCAGUUAGUUAGGCUUAAAAGUAUGAGAGAUAAUUCAUUUCUCGUCUCAUAUAGAAAUUAUCUUGAUGUCUUGAUUUUUAGGGUUUUUUUCAGCGGUUUUUGGUUUUUUUUUUUUUUUUUUUGGAUUUUGGCUAGUUAGGCUUAGAGGUGCAAGGACUUGUGAAAGAGAAGCAUUUGAUUGACCAACGAGUAAUUAGUUUCUCCUCAAGCAUCCCACCACUUUUCUAUUAAAGAAAUACAGGUACGUCUACGCUAUUACUUUUCAUGUCCUUUUACUUAAGAUAUUUAUAUAAAUAUAUAUAAAAAUAAAUAAGAUCCAUCUUUGGUAAUUUUUUUUAAAAUCAAAUCUGUGAAUAUUCAUUUCAUCUCUAAAGUUUUGCGUUUUGUUACUUUUUAAAAUUCCCUCCAUGUUACUAUUACACUCCUAUAUUUGUGUUGUAAUUAUGAUGUCCUUUUUCUAUGGUCUGUUAAAGUUAAUUUAAAUCCUUUUUUGCUCUUGGUUUAUGUUGAAGAAAUGGAAGAGUUUUUUAGCCUUAAUAGAUCUGGAGUACCUUAAUCGCUCUUGCAUUUUGUGAUUCUGUUCUUUUUCUAUUUUGAAGAGUGUCCUGAGUAAUUUUUAGGAUUUUUAUUUUAUAGUUUUUGUCGCUUGCAUUUAAACACGAACUUGGUUGUUGAACUGGGAUUCUUGAAUAAUUGUUGGUUUUGUUUUCUGAAGAAGUGAUCUUAUAUUUGUGUAUCUCUAUGUGCAACUUUAAUAUGGGGUUAUUAAGGAUGGAGAUAAAGGAGGAAGAAUGGAGAGAGAAAAGGCAGAAAUGACUUAAUUGUUGGGAUGAGUAUGACCCCAUGUCUAGUAGUUCCCAAGUAUGAUAUAGGAAGGCAGAGAGUCAAGGCCUUGUCUGACUCUAAUAGAAGUAAGUAGCUAACGCAACGCAAUAUUCUUUGCACCUUCAGUCUGUGAAUCUGAGGAGCAAGAGUUUGGCCAGAGGAGCUAGUCUCGUAACUGCGGGCGCAGUUCUAGUUCUUUACAAGACAGAUGGGAACUGUAGCUAACAAGUGUGCCCUGAGUGGAAUCCUACCACUACUCUUUCUACUAUAUUGGCAGGACGGGUGCCAAGUUAUUAGUAGCUAGGCAGCUAAGCCAGUAGUAGUUCAGUUCAGGUGCUGUUCUCAAACCUAGUUGACUACGUUGUAGCGUAGCGGUACGGGACAGAAAAAGAAUUGAUAGCGGUACACUGAACACAAAGAAAUUUGAUAGACAUAUGUUGAGAGUUCGACAAGUAGCACUGAAUCUACUAUCAGUAGUGAUUUAUAGAAGUUGACUCGCUUAAACGAAGAGAGUGAACAAAGCAUAGCGGAGUGAAGAGAGAAAUGGUUUCAUUAGAUAGCUCUCUCGAUGUCCUUGUUAUCUUUCCUAGGUAGAUUGUGACUUAUUCAUUCUUUCUCGCUGACUCUAGUUUCCCCGCCGUGGAUCCUUUCUCGGUUAGGGCUGUAAUUUAGAAUUCAGAAACGUAUCUGUCUUAUUAUCUUUGAGUCAAAGCAAUGUUACAUAUUUAUAUAGAGAAUAAACUAAACCCUAGAGACUAUGUAAAAUUACAAUAAAGGACAUAUGUGUAUAUAUAUAUAUAUAUCAUAACACUCCCCCUCAAGCUGGAGCAAAUAUGUCGAUCAUGCCCAGCUUGUUGCACAGAUAGCUUAUCCUUGUUCCAUUUAAAGCUUUAGUUAGAAUAUCUCCCAAUUGUUCUCCGGUCUUCACAUAUCCUGUGGACACCAACCCAUCUUGGAUUUUCUCACGAAUGAAGUGACAAUCCACCUCAAUAUGUUUAGUUCGUUCAUGAAAUACUGGAUUAGAUGCAAUAUGAAGUGCAGCUUGAUUAUCACACCAUAAUUUAGCUGGCACGGUAAUACUGAAGCCUAUCUCAGAUAAUAGUUGGUGAAUCCAUACUAUUUCACACACAGAUUGUGCCAUAGCUCUAUAUUCUGACUCAGCACUCGAACGAGAAACAACAUUUUGUUUCUUACUCUUCCAUGAAACUAAGUUUCCACCUACAAAAACACAAUAUCCAGAAGUCGAUCUCCUAUCCUCACGAGACCCCGCCCAAUCAGCAUCAGAAAAACAUUCAACUCUCGUAUGUCCAUGAUCUUUGUAUAGGAUCCCACGUCCAGGAGCAGCUUUUAGAUAACACAAAAUCUGCUCUACUGCAGCCCAAUGAUCCACUGUAGGGGAAGACAUGAAUUGACUUACAACACUUACAGAAUAUGCAAUGUCUGGUCGAGUCACUGUUAAGUAGUUCAACUUCCCAACUAAUCUCCUAUAUCUCUCAGGAUCUUUACAUAAUUCUCCUUCUUUAACAAGUUGCUGAUUUGGCAUCAUUGGAGUGCCACUUGGUUUGGCGCCUAAUUUUCCUGUUUCAGACAACAAAUCAAGUACAUAUUUUCGUUGAGACAAAUAAAUACCUUUCUUGCUUCUCAUCACUUCAAUGCCCAAAAAAUAUUUCAAUUGGCCCAAAUCUUUUGUAUAAAACUGACCCUGAAGGAAAGUUUUGAGAGACGAAAUACCCAAUGCAUCAUUUCCAGUAAUAACAAUAUCAUCAACAUAUACAACUAGUAGAACUAUACCCUUCUCAGAUCGGCGAUAGAAAACUGAAUGAUCAGAUGUACUCUUCUUCAUACCAAAGCAUACAAGGGCUGACUAAACUUACCAAACCACGCACGAGGACUCUGUUUCAAACCAUACAGAGAUUUUCGAAGGCGACAUACUUUAUCACUCUCCCCCUGAGCAACAAACCCUGGUGGUUGUUCCAUAUAAACUUCCUCUUGAAGAUCACCGUGAAGAAAAGCAUUCUUAAUGUCAAGUUGAUGCAACGACCAUUUAUUGGUAGCAGCCAUGGAAAGAAAUAGGCGAAUGGAAGUUAACUUGGCAACCGGAGAGAAUGUAUCUGAAUAAUCAGUGCCAUAGAUUUGAGCAUAACCUUUGGCAACAAGGCGAGCCUUUAAACGAGCCACUGUUCCAUCAGGAUUCAUCUUGACAGCAAACACCCAUUUACAACCAAUGGCCUUCUUUCCUGCAGGACGAGAUACCAAAUCCCAAGUAUCAUUAUCAUCUAAAGCAGUCAUCUCCUCAAUCAUUGCAUUUUGCCAGCGAGGAUGAGACAAAGCUUCAUGAACAGAGUUAGGAAUAGAUGUGGACUCAAGAGACGUAAUAAACGCAUAUGUGGAGGGAGAUAACUGGUGAUAGGAAAUAAAGGAAGAAACGGGGUAAGUACACUUGCGUUUACCUUUGCGAAGAGCAAUGGGAAGAUCAUCACUUGGCGCUGGAUCACAUGAUGAAGGAAGCAUUGAUGGAGGACAUGAGUCUGAAGGUUGUGGUGGAGGUCGUCGGGAGUAGACUUGAGAAAUCAACGGGCGGGAAGGAGGCACAUCAGUAGACAAGGAUGGUGUGGGAGAGGUAACCUCAUAUAUAAAAAGAUUGUCAUCCUCCCCCUGACACAAACUCGAUGGUGAUGAAGUAAAGGGUGUAUCUUCAAAAAAGACAACAUCAGGCGAAACCAGAUACCUUUUAAGGGUAGGACAAUAACAACGAUAACCCUUUUGAACACGUGAAUAACCCAAGAAGAUACACUUCAAGGAUUUGGGAUCUAACUUAGUAUGAUGAGGACGAACGUCACGAACAAAACAGACACAACCAAAUAUCUUAGGAGCAAUAGGAAACAAAUGCUUGGUAGGAAAAAGAACACGAUAGGGAAUCUCACCAUUAAGAACAGAGGAAGACAUUCUAUUAAUCAAAAAACAAGCUGUAGAGACAGCAUCAACCCAAAAGAUUUUUUAAACAUGCAUUUGAAACGAUAAAGCACGGGUAGUUUCAAGUAAAUGCCUAUUUUUCCGCUCUGCAACACCAUUUUGAGAUGGAGUGUCAGCACAGGAAGAUUGAUGAAUAAUGCCAUUUUCACACAAGUAAGAGCCAAGAGAAUGAGAAAAAUAUUCACCCGCAUUAUCAGUACGCAAAGUUUUGAUAGAGACAUUAAAUUGGUUUUUUAUUUCAGUAUGAAAGGCACAAAAAUGAGAUAAUAACUCAGAACGAUUUUUCAUUAAAUAUAACCAAGUUAGACGAGAAUGAUCGUCAACAAAAGUAACAAAAUAACGAAAGCCUGUUUGAGAUACAACUGGACACGGACCCCAAAUAUCAGAAUGAACUAACUCAAAUGGAGCAAUUGCUCGUUUAUCGACUCGAGGACUCGAACUAAGACGAUGAAAUUUCGCAAAUUGACACGAAUCACAAUUUAAAGAGGACAAAGACCUAAAUUCUGGAUAAAGUUUCUUCAACACGAACAAAGAUGGAUGACCUAAACGACAAUGGACUUCAAAAGGAGAGGGAACGACAGGACACGCCACAGCUUGCGAUACUUGAUGAUCAAAGAGAUAAAGGCCUCCUGACUCAUAUCCUCUACCAAUAAUCUUCUUCGUCACACGAUCCUGAAACAAGCAAUAACCAGAAAAGAACAUGACAACACAAUUUAGGUAGGUCAUGAGUAAGUUGACUAGUAGAAAUUAAAUUAAAGGAUAAGUUAGGCAAAUGUAACACAGAAGAGAGUGAAAAUGAUGGGGUAAGGUGAAUAGUGCCAGAGCCAAGAACAGAAGAUGUGGAGCCAUCGGCCAAUGUAACCGAUGGAAAAGGGGCAGGGGACAACGGUCUAGAAAAUAGGUGAGAAUUACCUGUCAUAUGAGCUGUGGCACCAGAGUCUAUGACCCAUUUGGUAGAUGAUGUAAGAAGACACUUUAUAUUACCUGGGGCAACAGUGGAUGCAAUCAGAGUAGAGGAAGAUGACGCUUGUAAUGACUCUUGGUAAUUCUGAAACUUAGCAAACUCAUCUGCCGAAAUAGUAACUGACGCCUCUGGUAUAUCACAUGUGGAGGCUAUCUGAGCAUGUUGAGAUCGUUGACUAUUCUUAUAUAGCAAUUUCUGACAAUCACGUUUCAUAUGGCCUGGCUUACGACAGUAGUUACAAACAAUCUCUACAGACUCUGGUUUUCGAUGAUCAGUACUAUUCCUCUGAGGUGCCCGAGGGUUAUUGUUAUUGUUCUUGCUAAAGAGAGCACUACUGGGUUGAGGAAUAGACACACUAGUCGGAGAGCUUUCAAUGCGAAGGACUCGAGUGAAGGCAUCAUCUAAUGAUGGAAUCUUGGAGUCAGAGAGAAUCUGUGUCUUUGCCAUUCCAAAUUCAGGUAAGAGUCCAUUCAGGAAAAUCAUAACAGCCAUCUUCUCUCGUUGAACUUGUUGAACUUUAACAUCAGGACUAAAAGGUAACAACAAGCCAAGCUCGACAAUGAUCUUCUUAAGCCGCAUAAAGUAGCUGGUGACAGACUCAGCUUUCUGUUCCGCACGAGAAAAUUGCAUACAAACUUCAAACAUUCUAUGCACUUGCUCUUUACCUGAGUAUAGAAAAUCCAAAAAUUCCAAAAGUUCUUUAACAGACUCACAGUGAUCAACCAAUCCAAUUAUCUCACUCUCAAUUGAAUUCUUGAUCUGAAGAUAUAAACGGGCAUCAUCACGAAGCCAAUCCUUCUUCUGCUUUGCAUCUUUUGGGAGAUCGAGUUUCAAACCUUUAUACACAAAAUUGAAACUCAAAAUUCACUUCCUUCCUUCCGCAAGGCCGAUAUCUUUCAUAGCAAGCAAGGAUGAGUCCAUUAGGUUCUUCGAUUGAUUCGGAAAAGAAAUGAGAGACAAGAAAAGAUCUUUGAUGGAGAUGAAAAGGAAGAAUCUCAAAUAGACCAAGAUCCAAUUUCGGGUCAUUUCUUGGUGAACAUGAUCUGCCAUAAUCUCUUCGAUCCCUGAAUUUAUGUGCCAGAAUAAAGAGAGAUUUGGUAGGAAAGUGGAAGAGACCUUGUGGUAUAUAAUAAUGAGAGGGAGUGGGAAAGCUGCUGUAAUUCUUUGGAAAAGCCCGGUUCUUUUUGUCUUCGAGCUUGAAUUCCUCAAUCCACUCUUUCGUUCUUUCAUAUACCUCCCCACCAAUAGAUAGAGACAAAUAGGAAUAACCGAACCACGUCUACAAAAUGCCAGUACCAUGCAGCUGCUUCAAAGCCAAUGUGAUGCUCCUUGGUCGGAUGACCUAGAUAUUGGCGAAUACCACAUACGAUCAAGAAAAGAGUACCUAUAAUCACAUGAAAACCAUGAAAGCCAGUUGCUAAGAAAAAGGUAGAACCAUAAAUACUAUCCGAAAUAGUGAAGGGUGCUUGAUAAUAUUCCAUUCCUUGAAAGCCUGUGAAUACUAGAGCCAGUGAAACGGUAGCUACUAAAGCGUAAACAGCUCGUUUUUCCUUCCCCGCGAGUAUAGCAUGAUGAGCCCAAGUUACGGCUGCUCCGGAUGAAAGGUGAAUAGGGGUGUUAAGAAAAGGGAUUUCCCGAGGAUCUAAAACCCCAAUCCCUUUUGGGGGCCAAAUAUCUCUGAUCUCUACCGUAGGUGCCAAAGAAGAAUGAGAAGAAGCCCGAAAGAAGCAAAAAGGAACAUAACCUUCGAUACGAUAAAGAGAAUAAAACCAUAUCGAAGUCCUAUUUUUACGACUUUGGUAUGAUGUCCUUCCAACGUGGAUUCACGUAGAACAUCGCGCCACCAUACGAACAUGGUAUAUAGGAGAAAUAUGAGGCCCAAACUGAGAAGUCUUGCACCCCCUUGAAAUGAGUGCAUGUACAUCACACCUCCUACGGUGGUUGCCAAAUGAUAAGAAUGCCUCUGAGAUUCAAUCAUAAACCACUUUGCCUCGGUUGUAUGUAAACCCCCCCUUCACCCCCACCCGCUAAAGUGGUAAAGAAGGGCUCUUUGGGGUCUCAUUUUCUUUCUAUCUGACAGGACUCAAAAAUAGGAAGGGAUGGUUCUUUCAUUGCAUUGAUAGAAGUCUAACUAGAAAAAGAUCUCGUUGCUUUGACCGAGCCCUAGGCUUUCCUUGGAUAGAGCCCUCUAUAUUCCGACUGAUUUAUGGCGUAGAAGGCGGGAAUAGGAAUCACUCAUAUUGCAUUGAGCCUUAACAGUCCGGAGGACUAUCCCGCUCCGUGGGAUUCUUUGAGCCUCACAAUAUUCUUUGCACCUAUCCAUCCACGGCAAUAUUCUUUGCACCUUCGCUCCAAAUAAAGUAAUAGCCGCAACUCAAUUCAUUUCAGCCUUCGCCUAGAAAUUCACUUUGCGACCCACUCUGUAAGCCCACUACACGAGAAGAAAGAAUAUCCUUAGCUAUUUAUCUUUAUUAUCUCUUCUCUGAGAAUAUCCUCUUAUUCUACUAUUAGAAGAAUAUCCUACUUUCAGUUUCUAGUCAAAGAAAGGUCCAGGCGCAGGCGCAAAGAAUAUUGCGAGGUGCAGUCUAAUGGAUAGGACUGAGGGCUCGACUGAAAGGAGAGAAGGCGCAAUUCAAUAUGCGAGGUCCAUAUUCCGACUGAGGAACUGAAACUUCCGCGUAGUGCUUCCCUUGUUCAUUGAUAGUAAUCCUGAAGUUUCUUCUUGGCAUCAAAAUAGAUCAAUGAAAGAGGACUAAAAAUAAGACGAAAGUACUUAUGACGGCUUUCCUUCCCAACAAAUCUUCGUUCUUAGUUAUUUGAUUCCACUUUCAAACUUUCUGGGAGUUGUCUUCUCCUAGGCUUUCUUCUUUCUGGCAGUCUUCUGCCUUGCCGUAGGGAGUAGGUUCAGGAGAACCAUAACCAUAAAUCAGAGAGACGGAGGCAUCAAUCACGCAAUAUUCUUUUGCACCUCUUCCUUUAAGCUAUAUUUUUUUAGGCUCCGGAGGCUCAAAGACAGGGAUAUUGUUGAAUACUAUUAGUUCGAGUCGCAGAGAGCAAAGAAUUUUCUCUUAAUGGAACUUAGCGCGGGUUAAUAUGGAUAGGACUGAGGUCUUAAGACUCCUAACUAUUAAUGGAAAGGACCCACGGAGCGGUGCAAAGAGAUAUAUAUAGAAGGGCAGACAGGUCCUGAGGACCUGUCUGUCCUUCGGUCUUAAUACUCCUAACGUCGAAUAAGAAGCUGGAGGCUGGGUCCAGGUGCAAAGAAUAUUGUGUCCAUUAGAUCCAUUGAAUUAGGCGAAGGAUUUUAUCAAGCUUAGCUUUCUGGAUUCUUCGGCGGAGUGAGGCUUUCUCUAGUAGGUCUGGAGGCACAAAGAAUGAUCGAAGGCUCCAGACCAUAAAGAAGAGAGUCGGAGGACUUCCAUUGACUUUUUCUUCCUUUCACUUCUAACUUCAAACCUUUCAUAUUCAACCUUGAAAAUAAAGGAGGGAGCGGACUACGGAGGCCAUAAGUUUGAGUUCCUCAGAUGUAUAAAAACAAGUCCUCCGGACGACCUAUCCACUGAAAGUAGCUACGUAGUCUUGUCUCCUUCCCCGCGUAGUGGGCAUUGACUUCUUCAUUGAUUUUCUUCUAUCUCCCACGUAGCGGGUUUGAAUUAUGAAAGGAAGCCCACAGAGCUGAAGAUGGAGCGGGAUAAUAAAGAAGAAAGCUCAAAAGGAGGGAGCGGACCUCAAUGAACAAGGGGAGGACUCGUUUUCAUCCUUAUGGAAGAAAAAUCUCUUUUUUUUUUAUCUAAAAGACGUAGAAGGAGGCUCAAUGUCUAAUCUUUCUCUCAAAUCAAUAUCUCCCAGUGCAAAUAUUCCAGCAAUAUUCUCAAUAUGAAAAGAGCCUUUCUUCUUUUCUUAGAUAAAUGCGCUUCGUAGAUUAUGCUGAAGGAGGAGUGGGCCAUGAUCUUUGCUCCUUAAUUUCCCUAAUGGAUAGUCAUCUGGACCUUUCUUUUUAGUUCUUUGCGCUCUCGUCAACGCAUAUUUCAUUGCGCCUUCGCCUUCAAUGAAAAUCCAUAAAUAAAUAAGGGUAGAUUUCAGACUCAAGAGGAGGGUUCCUUAUCAAUAUCAAUAUGAGACGGAUAGGCUUUCUUUUACAUUCCACAGGUCCGAAGGACUAUCCAUAUUAACAUGUCUGUCCUUCGCCUAACUAGUUUCAUAUAGACCUUUGUUUUUCUUCCGCAGUCACUAAUAUGGAUAGUCCGGAGGACCUCCUUCAGCAUAAUCUAUGAAUGAUCGGAGCAAAGAAUAUUGCGGAAAAGAAGAAAGGAGUGCAAGCGAAAAAUAAUGGAUUGAAUAGUCCUUCGGACGAACUACCGCACUUGGGGGAUAUUGUUGAGAAAGAAUAUUGAAAAAGAAUGAUCGAAGAAUAUUGAAAAAGGACGGAGGAUAGGCUUUCUUUGAACAAUGUGGAUGUAUCAAAGAUUCCACAGGUUAAUAUGGUAGAUUUCAGACUAGUCCUUCACCUUGGAUCUGGGGACUAUUCUCUGUUCUAAUAGACAGAGGAGAGGUUCAAAGAAUAUUGAGAAUACUCGUGCAAGCGCAAUCAAUGAACAAGGUGAAAAGAAUAAAAAAAAAGGCGGUCGAUGAUCAGGAAGAAAAAGUCAAAAGUCUAUCCCAUCUUCUUCGUUAGGCGCAAAGAAGAAAAACAAGGUGCAAAGAUCUAUGGCCCAAUUAUAAGGGGUCCAGAUGCACCAUAAGACUGGUCCGAAGGACUAUCCAUAUUAACCGGAGUCUUCAACAAGAUUUCCAACAUUGAAUAUUAAGCUACUGAGGCCCAAUAUUGCGAAGGAAGAACUGCGCCAUAAGACAGGUCCGAAGGACUAUCCAUUAGGGAAUGAGACGGAGGUAACGUUUGGUUUUUUGGAAACUUGUUGGUCGCGGAUUAGUGCGUUUUUUUUGGAAAGUAACAAUUCUCUUCAGUUUGGUUUCAGAAAACUUGUUGGUCACGGAUUAGUGCGUUCUGCGCCGCCUGGUGUCACGAACAUAUUUUUCCAAAGUGUGUUUACCUUUGGUUAUAUGCUCCGAUUACCCCCAGUUUAUCUCAUCUUUAGUUUGCAUAACUAGUUUAGCUGAUUGCUUUUCAUUCUAGGUCAUAAAGCUUGGGUGUGACGUUUCGGCAUUUUCAUAUGCAAGCCUGCCAGAGAGGAAAAUGUUCAAAAUGUACUAUAGGGGAGGCAUACCAGUUGAAUCCCCGCCCAAGCAUUAGUUGUACUCUUUGCAAGCAACCCUUUUUCCUUGCAAUUGACAGUCUUUAAUGCUUAUUGUAACGUCUAUUUCAAUGUAUUUCUUUCUUUCCCGUGUUUUAUAAAUAAAAUGUCCCUAAAACGCAAACGAAGGUUACGACAUACAUCGACGUUACCCACAACUCUUGGAUAUUGAUCGACUGACUUGUUCAUCGAGUUAGAACAAGUGCCGCACAAUCGUCCGUCUCGAGGUUGAAACGCUACGAUUGUGACAAGUGGUAUCAGAGCCAAAGUUGGCUGAGUGACAGUUUUGACAAAAAUAAAAUGUCGACUGCAAAACGAGCGAGCAAGACCCAUGAAGAACGGUUGGUGGGGAUCGAAGUGCAGAUGCUCCACCUGAUGGAAGUUCCUGAUUCCAUCCGGUUCUUGGAAUAGCGGCUUGAGGAUAUUGCCAAGAAAGCUGAUGGCAUUGAAGCCGUGUCCGGUCGCCUUGACGGACUACCCAUCCAAGAGUUACUGACUAGAGUCGACACUCUAGAGUCCCGAGUUAUGAGAACGGGAAAUGUCACCUACGAGCGUGGGGACAGUUCAUCGGGCUCUGUUGCCCAGAUGGAAGAACGAGUUAUGGAGCUUGAUAACUCGCAAAAGAACAUGUUGGAGAUGAUCAGCGGCAUGACAAAGGAUUUUCGAGCAACCCUCGAUGUCGUGAGGAAUGAGCUCGCAGAGGUAAGCACGAGGGUGAACCUUACUAUGCGAGCACUAGAAAAUCAGGCUCUAGCUGGAGGAGCCAUUCCUGUGGGCAGAAUCAAGAUUCCUGAGCCCAAGCCCUUCUGUGGGGCGAGAGAUGCCAAGGCGUUGGAAAACUUCAUCUUUGAUGUCGAGCAGUAUUUCAAAGCCACGAACACAAUUACUGAAGAGGCCAAGGUGACGUUGGCAACCAUGCAUCUGUCAGAAGAUGCGAAGUUAUGGUGGAGGUCCCGAUACAUGGACAUUCAAGAAGGGCAUUGCACAAUCGACACGUGGGAUGCCCUAAAAGGAGAACUCCGUUCGCAAUUUUCCCUGAGAAUGUCGAAAUUCUGGUCCGACGGAAGCUGCGUGAAUUGAAGCACACGGGGAACAUUCGGGACUACGUGAAACAGAUUGCGGGGGUAAUGUUGGAUAUACGCGACAUGAUCGAAAAAGAUAAAAUAUUCAGCUUUGUUGAAGGGUUGAAGCCAUGGGCAAGGACUAAGCUAUACGAGCAGAAAGUCCAAGACCUCGUGUCAGCCUAUGCAACAGCUGAACGUUUGUUUGAUCUGUCUAAUGACGUUCAAGAGACAAGACAUCAUUGAAGCUCUUCACCUGGAAGAGACAGAAACAGCCGACUGAGUUCUCCCGAAGCUGUCAGUAGAAAUAAAAGUCCCGGCAGAGACCGCAAGCCCUUCCAGUCAAAUACGGGGAACACCAGGCAAAGGCCCACUAGUCAAAGGACCUCCCACACUCCUAUCAUGUUGCUACAUUUGUAACAGGCCACAUCGGACAAGGGAAUGUCCGGAUAAAGCGGCCUUCUACGCCUUCCAGGCCUCUCUGGCUACAGACUUAGGUGACAAGUUGGGUCAACCAGAGAAUGAAGGUGGGUAGGUGGAGGAAGUCCAAAACGUUAGAGUAGGGGCCAUAAGACUCUUGUCGUUCCUUCAGAAUAAAGCAGGGGAGACAAGUGGUCGUACAAAAGGGGGCCUAAUAUAUGUGGACACCUGGAUCAACCGAAGGCAUGCAAAGAGCACUAUGGUUGACUUCAGUGCAACCCAUAAUUUUAUAACGGUGGCGGAAGCCAGACGAUUGAACCUUCACUAGAAGAAGGAUACAGAAAGAUGAAGGCCGUAAAUUCUACAGCUUUACCCGUCGUCGGAGUAGUGAAACGAGCGGUGAUACAGUUGGAAAGAUGGAACGGCCUUGUUGACUUUGUGGUUGUGGGCAUGGAUGACUUUGAUGUAGUUCUCGGAAUGGAAUUCCUUCUCGAACAUCAAGUGAUCAUGAUGCCUGCAGCCAAAUGUCGGUGAUCACGGGAUCUACCCCACCGUUAUGCAGAUACCCCCACCAUUAUGGCAGAUAGAACUCCGGCAACCCAAAGGAUUGAGAAUGGUCUCGACCAUGCAACUGAGGGAGGGCCAUAUUCAGGAAGGACACAAGGCGUGUCGUGGAGAGACGUUGUGAUGGGAAACAGGAUAGUUUGCCCAUGUCAGAAUCGCCUACGAGAAAUGAUCAUCGUAUGGCGCAAUCAAAAUCAUCUGGACUCAGGAGACAGUCAAGAAGACUGUCAGGUGCAGGAUCCACUAGACCUGCGAGAGAUCCGUAUCAAGCACAAGACUUCUUACGGAAGGAAGAGAAUGGACAAUUGUGUGUCAACAACCGUGUCCUAAAGCAAGCCCCGAGGAGAGGGCCAACUUUUGAGUCCGUGAGUGGGACUCAGCCUGUUGAAGCUUACGCUAAGGCAUAUGGUCCUGUGUCAGGUGGCAUCCUAAUGCAGAAUGGACACCCUGUCACAGCUGAGAGUCAGAAACAAAGUGCCGCAGAAGGUAGUUAUACGAUGUUUGGAAAAGGAAUGCUGACCACGAUACGUAGUCUGAAGGAUGGAAGACAACAUUCCCAGGGGUCUACACAUGGAAGAGAGACGAACAACAUUGCGACCAACCGCUUUGAUACUCGGCCGAAGUGGGCUUUGAGUCAAGAAAAGUGGCAGAGGGACGUGUCAAGGAAUCCUUGCAGAAAAACUCUGUCAUUGAAGUUGAUGUAAGUCUGGCGGAGACCAGUCAGGUGGAAGAAAAGAAUGGAGUUCAAUUGUGGAAGCUAACCCAAUCUUAUGUUAAUGCUGCAAUGAGUUCGUCAAUGGAUGGAAACCAGUUUGUGGGUGUUUGUGGCGGACAUUCUGUACAGUCCCGCCUUGUUGGUCCCUCCUAUGUUGGUAAGAAUCCUCAAGCUUGCAACAGUACCAAGAGGUGGAAGCUGGAGUCAGACAUCGUUCGGACCGAUCGAGAGGAAGCCUCGAAGUGGCCAGAAAAGUGGGCAGAUAAGAAGCAUCGCCUCCGUGAUUCCCGUGGGGGAGACCAGGUCAUCGUCAAACGGCGAUCUGAACUGACUCAGUUUUUGAAGAAGACUUCAAGAUCACUGCCUCGUGAGAGAACGCGAGGGACAAACAGAAGUUCAAGAAGUCCUUGCUAAAGAAGCAAGGAAAAGAAGAAGACCCAUGGGGGGAUACACAAGUUCGUGGUGAAGCAGAGGAGCCUCCUCAUGGAAGAAGCCUGUGGAAGACGUACCAAGACUGUGAAGCGUGGAGGUAGAAGAUCGAAGGAUUCCAGCUUUGCCAGUCGACGGGGACGUCAACUGUUUAAGUGGGGGAGUGUGUCACGGACAUAUUUUUCCAAAGUGUGUUUACCUUUGGUUAUAUGCUCCGAUUACCCCUAGUUUAUCUCAUCUUUAGUUUGCAUAACUAGUUUAGCUGUUUGCUUUUCAUUCUAGGUCAUAAAGCCUUGGUGUGCGUUUCGACAUUUUCAUAUGCAAGCCUGCCAUAGAGGAAAAUGUUCAAAAUGUACUAUAGGGGAGGCAUACCAGUUGAAUCCCCGCCCAAGCAUUAGUUAUACUCUUUGCAAGCAACCCUUUUUCCUUGCAAUUGACAGUCUUUAAUGCUUAUUUUAACGUCUAUUUCAAUGUAUUUCUUUCUUUCCCGCGUUUUAUAAACAAAAUUUCCCUAAAACGCAAACGAAGGUUACGACAUACAUCGACGUUACCCACAACUCUUGGAUAUUGAUCGGCUUACUUGUUCAUCGAGUUAGAACAAGUGUCGCACAAUCGUCCGUCUCGAGGUUGAAACGCUACGAUUGUGACACCCGACGGCCACAUAGAAUUGAGAAAAGCCUAUGGUUGAGGCAGCAUUAAUUUAUGAAACUUUACACGUGGGAAGGGAUGACUCUUUCUAUUCAAACCUGUAAACAUAGAAGACCGCCUCAAUGAACAAGGGAUCAUUCACAUAGAAUAAAUAUGAACAACGAGAAAGGGAAUAUAAGGUUUGAAUUCAGAGGAAAGCCUAGCUUGAAUGAACAAGGUGAAAAGAAUAUUGACAGCUGCACUUACGAGUCUUUCAGUUACCUUUCUGCCUCUUUAAAGAGAGUUCAAGGUUUUCUAUUAUCGAAAGAAUCAGAAUAAGAAGAAAAUAGAGGAAGACAGAGAGAAGAGAGCUCAGGAGGCGCAAUGAAAUAUGCGUGAGAAGCGCAUUUCCUUAGUGGAAUACUUUGAUAGCGGAAUAAGAAGUCGGAGGCUCGGUCAAGACGAUCUUUUGAUCUAUUCUAAUGGUUCUAAUGGAUAGUCCUUCGUUUUAGAGUCCUACAGAUAAAUCCUCCGGACUGGUCCGAAGGCUAGGUUCAUACGGAUAGUCAGGAGGACGGUUAGUUGGAGCCUUGUUUUUCGAAAUCUUCUUUGAGCCUCAGUCGUCUCAUUGAUAAGGACAUCUUUGCAAAUGAAGAGCGGGAGGUGCAAAGUGCGGCUAUUACUUUGAAAAGAAUAGGAGCUCCGCGGUUUGAAUUGAAUAAAAAGGAUAGGCUGAAAUUCAAAGUGAAUAAGAGGAUAUUUUCAGAUAUAAUAUCUAAAGUCAAUGAACAGGGGCUCCUAACCUCUGAUUUAUGGGGAGCCUACUACGUCCAUUAGUUCCGAACUUGGCUCCACUCCUAGUAGUUCGAACUUGGCUUUGCUCCUUCGCUUUUUCUCUUAUUGAUCUCUCUUGUAAUGCUUUCUACUAAGAAUCAAGAAAGCGCAACUUCUAUUUUGUUCGAACGACCUUGAUUAAAAAACGAUGCUUCCUUGGUCGUGUAGAACAUGGAUUAGCAUUAUUUCAUUCCUACAAGCGAUCCCCCAUCCAGGAUUGGAAGAAGUGCUAUAUGAGGACUUUGAGAUCAAAUAGAAUAUAUUUCUUUCAAGACCUCGUGAGCCACUUAUUUCUCUGAAACAAGAGAGAAAAGUGAUUUUCCUCCUUUUUCUCAAUAAGUCGACGACCUUACACCAUUGGGAUACUUCUUUGAAACUAGAGUACAUAUAGGAUACACCGGUGCUAAAACCUUUUCUCAAAAGAUCUUCCAAACUGUUGGGGUCCUUGCUCCGUAUGUUCUUCCCCCGGUGUGAAAGCAGUUGGUUCCAUAGUUUGAGAAUUCUACUGAUCCCAAGUACUCCAUCUCCAUCAUUGCAUAUGGGAAUAUAGAAAGUCAAGAAGAAAAGGCAUGAGCAGAAGAAUUGUGUGAAAUAAGUCAAUUUAUCCAAUUGAGGCAUUCUUUCUUUUUCUUAAGAAAAUUCCCUCUAGACAUAAAUCCUUUCUGUACGAGUAGUGAAGAACUAUAGAGAGUAGUGGUUGGUUGUUGACCAACGAAAAGCAUGGGAGAAAGAAAGAUGUUGGCAAGGAAGCAUCAAAUUAGAUCAAUGGAAGAGGCUCAAAGAAUGAUCGAGGACUAUUUUAGUUCGACUAGAAACUAGGGAAACUAAAGACUAACGAAAUCUAGAUGAGAAUCCGUACAAUUAGUCUCGAGAAAAAGAAGAAAGCAAUAAAAAAAGUGAAGACAGAAAAUGAACCGAAAAUCUUCUUCUCUCAUAUUGAAUUCAUCCUUCUACGCAUCUCCAUGGGCUCGACUGAGAGUGGAGGAGAGGACGGGAAGAAUGAGAAAAAUAGUAAGGCGAGAAGACAGGUUCGAAGGACUAUCCAUCAGGGAGUUUGGACCCCGUAGUUAGGAGCAAAGAAUAUUGCGAAAGAGUCAUAAUAGGUACAAAUCUUCUUAUAGAUUAUGUUGAAGGAGGCGGCGCAAUUCAAUAUGCGAAAGUCAUGAUCCCUUUAAAGCAGACGUUAGGCGCAAAGAAAGAAGCUCAUUAACGAGAAUGAAAGAAUAAUUCACUCAUUAACGAGAAUGAAAGAAUAAUUCACUCAUUAACGAUAAUGAAAGAAUAAUUCUGAUUUCAUCACCUUGUUUUUACGGAGUUCAAUACUAGAUUGAAGACGGAGGGAAAUCCCAGAUUUUGCUAGGUUUUGGGCCUAUAAAGUAGCAAGAAAUCAUGAAAAAUCAGUCAAAAUUAGACAAUUAUCGUAGCAUAUCAAUAUGAGAAAAAGUAUGAAAAAGAAGCAAAAAAGUCGGGAAAUAGCAAUUCAAGAAGAAAGCCUAGGACAGGGAAAAGAAAUGAACACUUCUAGUUUGAGUUUAUGGUCCGGAUACUGACAGGUCUAUUCUUUAUUCCGCUCCUGAAUACGGAUAAUCCUACUUCGGUUAAUUACGGAUAGUCCUCCUUCGGUUAAUUACGGAUGGUCCUACGGAUAAAUCCUCCAGACUACUUCCUUCCAUAUGGAUGGUCCUACUUCGGUUAAUUACGGAUGGUCCUACUUCCAUAUGGAUGUCCUACGGAUAAGAAUCCUGCAGACUCCGGACUACUUUGGUUAAUUACGGAUGGUCCUACGGAUAAAUCCUUCGGACUCCGGAUAAAUCCUGCGGACUCCGGACGUACGACGUAGGAUAAAUCACCUGGACCUUUCUUUGGCACUACGGACUACUUCGGUUAAUUACGGAUGGUCCUACGAAUAAAUCCUCAAGACUCCGGGUCGUAAGACGUAGGAGAAAUCCUGCGGACUCCUUCCUUCCAUAUGGAUGGUCCUACGGAUAAAUCCUCCAGACUACUUCAAUUAAUUACGGAUGGUCCUACUUCCAUAUGGAUAGUCCUACUUCAAAUGGAUAGUCCUCCGGAUAAAUCCUGCGGACGUAGGACCCUGGACCUUUCUUUCUUUAAUGGAUAGUCCUCCAGAUAAAUCCUGCAAACUGCGGACGUAGGACCCUGGACCUUUCUUUGGCACUCCGGACGAAUAAAGAAAGGAUAAAUAAAGGCGCAAAGAAUAUUGCGAAGUGAAGCGCAUUUAUCUAAGAAAAGAAGAAAUGAUAAAUAAAGGCGCAAAGAAUAUUGCAAGAGCGGGAAUUACCUUUUCUCUUCGGGUUAGCUAAGAGUUGCCGGAGGCUUGAAGUCGGAUAAUUACUUUUACUUAAAGGUUUCACAAACCUGGAAAAUCUUCUCCAAAUUAGCGUUAGCGUUCUGAGCUAGCCAAGCAGUAUAUUUAAAAUAUAGAAAGAAGAAAAAUCCAUGCAAUCCAAGUACACUAAGAACCUACAGCAUCGUCACCGCUGCGUGGGAAGGUUAAUUCUUCUAACUCUAGUAUUAUCGUUGAACAAGCAGUUCAUAUUCGACUGCCCGCGUAGUGGGGGAAGCUCGCUCGCUAACUUUGCACUUCGGCCAAAAUGCCGAAAAAAGGCUAAGGCCGAAGGAGGUCUGCUCCUUCGCUCAAGGAAAAAUUGCCCGAUUGGAUAUAUAUCUUGGAGCAGAGAGAGGAAAGGAUGACGGAAGCCUCAGUCUCAGUACGAAACGGGCAAAAAGCUGGAAAAGGCAUACUGGCUUCACCUUGCCCUAGGAUGGGGUCCGCCGGAUCUUUUAAGGCAUAAGCUUAAUGCUGAGACGCACGGGGAUAUCCGGUCAAGGAUGGAUAUUCAAGACAAGGACGAAGGCUCUCCUUCACGCAAGAUGAUUACAAGUCUUAGGAGUGAACUUCCGCUUUACCCCUUGUGGUAUCAUGAAGCGAAGGGCAGAGAAAGCGAGCGAGAAAACAUAAAUCAAGGCGGUCGUUGACUUAAAAUAGGCAAAAAGAAAAGACAGAGAGCCUACAGGUUUCUCGAUUUACCCUUCUUUUAGGAUAGAAAAAGGCACUGCCUGUGUGACCACUACAAGCAGACGUGACGAGCGAUGCAGGGCCACCCACGACCGCUAGCAAUACGAGGUAAAGCGGCCAGAAAGCAUACCAUAGGAUGCGUCCUGAGGGCAUUCACAUAAACAUUCUUCGAAUUGUUCACAUUCGGCGGGAUGUUCUUAGCCUUGUCUCCAAGUGAAUAAUUGAAUCGGCACCGACACGAUCGGACCUAUUGCAGCCUUCGGUUGACUGGUGGCAUUCGAUGGUAUGCUUUGAGGCCUUCCCAACCUGCUCCGUGUAAAAGAGGUAGAAGGAGGCUCAAAGAAUUAUCGAAGAGCGAGACGAAAGAAAAUAGCGACUUCCAGUCGGUGAUGGGAUAUCUCAAUGUUAUCGCAGAUUCAAAGGCGCAAAGAAUAUUGCAUUGAGGCUCGAUUGAAAGGAGAGGCGAAUUUGAGAAGAAAGAACUAUAUCGGAUAAAUACUCAACUGCCUCAGAUGUCACUGGGACAAGAGCCGGAGAUUCUGAAACCUCUCGCAGCUUCUUUGCUUCCUUUGGUCUCGAUAUUUGAACCGCCUCAAUAAACAAUAAAUAAGGGUCCAAAAAAUCAAGGUCAUCUGAAACCCUUUUUUUUAUGCGCCUCAAUCCUAUCCAUUAGAACGCCGGCCCUCACCCUUUUUCUCAAAUUCUUUGACCCUCUGUCUCAGUAUUCGGCGGAGAUGCUGAUGUUAACAACAAAUGCAGGCUGAAUGUUGUAUGGAAGGAUGAUCAUUUCGGCUUCUUGUAGCCAUUGAUGUUGUCUAAUGCUUGGAGAGACAUUGUUUAAUGUGACUUUGGACAAGGUUACUGAAGAUAGAACUAUCUGGCUUUAGGUCAGUUUUCAGUUGCUAAGACAGUGAAGCUCUUUCAUCUUUCUGGUAAUACUGUCCCUUGGUUCAAGCUUCUUUGGGGUAAGAAGCACAUCCCUAGUCAUGCUUUUCUUUCGUGGAUGGCUAUGAAUAAGAGUCUGAGAGUCAAAGCUAAACUGUAUAAUCUUUAAGUGCUUUCGUCUUAUUUUGAGGUUUGGAAGCAAAGAAGCAGAGCGGAGUUUGAUUCCUUAUAUCAGAAAAAGAUAUAGGAAGACUCCCAGAAAGAAGAAAGCCUAGGAGCAAGCAAAGAAAGAGUAAGGAUCAGAAAGCUCCUAACCCCUAUUUAUUUAUGGAUGUGAAUUGAGCGAAGGCGCAAAGAAUAUUGCGAAGGUUAAAAGAAUAUUGACUUGAUAAACCUCUAUUUAGCUUCUUAUAUCUGAAGACGAUAAAGUCAGAUAAUCAGCCUCCGGCUGGGUCGGAUCGUCCAUACCUAGUUGAGUAUCUCUGUCCGUCAUAACGAAUUCACUCUUUGAAAAAGGGUCGGACUUUGUUGGAGUUGACUCGGUGAGUACACUUUCAUCUUUACGAGAAGAAGCGCGAACAACAACUAUAUUAUUCAGCGAUAGACCUGAUUUACCCGAUGAGUGGAACGACUCGACAAAAGUCUUAGGACUCGGGACAGACGCGCCUCCUUCCUGCUAGAACUCAUAGGUCUACGGGGGUUCUUUCGGUAGCGAGAAUAGUGGUCCCAAACGGAAUAGAAGUACUUUUGAUUCACUGAAUCAUAAUCUUUGAAAGAAGAAAGGGGGACGGAGGAUCAAUGAAAUUUGAUGAUGAUGAGUAAGCUCUUGCUUUUCUUGCUCCUCUUUCUGAAGUUGCGAGAGGUUCAAAUAUCCUUAUCAAUGAUUGGAGUGAUUGUUCCGGUUGCAAAUGUUGCUGUUGGAGUAGAAGUUGUAGCCCUUUCGGUGAGGUGCAAAUGCUCGACCUCGACCCAUUGGCAUUAGUUGAGGAUGCACUAUCCCUGAUUAUUUUUUAGGAGAAAGCCUCUUUCGUUGGGUUUAGGGGAAAAGACUAAGAAUGAGGUCCCCUCCCCCCAAUUGAGGAACGAGGGCAAAAGCGAAGCCUAUGAAGUGAGUAUGAGCUCGUUCGACCCCCAUGUAGCAGGAAUAGCACCAUCUUCUCUCUUUCAUGAGUAGUUCACUGCACUCAUUAGUAGCUGGACCAAGAGGUUAUUCUCUCUAUGAUCUCCUGGACUGGAAUAAGCGCUCUCCCCAUAGCAAGAGGGAGCUCGACGUAGUUGGUCUUUUGACAGUCACAGUAAUUGAGAGAAGCAGCUGCCCGGGAGAGGGAGGUAUCAGAUUAGGCACUAAGAGAGGAUUAGUUGAAUCGAUUGUAAGAAGAGGCAUCCGUUCUUGUGCCAGUAGCAGUUGCAGAAGUUGAAUCGUCAGUGGUUGUUCUUGUUUAAGAAAUAGCUACAGCUAUUCCCACCAAGGCCUGACGAUAGGCUGAUUUCAGGAUUUCCUAUCCAUCCUCAAAUUCUUUGAGCCUUUGUUACAAGAAAACACUCUUUAGUGACUCAAGAAUGACCCUGUCUUAUGGCACCUCUUAUCUGGAGCCUUUGUUUUUUAAACAAGUCUAAUUCUCUAAUGGAUAAGCCUGAAUUCAUGAAUAUUGAAUUAAACCUACUAAAAUCAAAGGAAUAAAGAAAGAGCUCAAAAGGAGUCAAAAUGAGAAGUCCGAAACCUCAUCACCUACUCCCGGAGGCAAGGUGAAAUUCAAUAUGACGAAGUCUUAUAACUGGGUCUCAUCCCCCCAUAAUCAAGUAGCAUCCACUAAAAAGAAGCGGAGCGCGGAAGGACGAGGCGCAAUUCAAUAUGCCUCGAAUGAAUCUACCCUUUUUAGAUUCGACUACUCCGCUACGUGGGCUUACUAGUAAUGCUGAAGUUUCCUCCUUUUCUAGCUUUCUUUCUAAUGCCCUUCUUUAUGGUCAAUGGUCACUUCCCCGAGGCGCGGAUCCCACUACACGGGAAUAUAUUAUGAUAUAAUGAACUAUCUUCUUUCUAAUAGCUGGUUUCAACAGCCACCGGGGAGGAGACAAGAACUCAAUCUACUGAAACAAGGAUUUCAACCACAGCGAGAGCAUACCUCAAAAAAAUAAGGAAGAAAAAGAUAAAGGCGCGAAGCAAAGCCUAUGAAGUCAUAAGGCAAGGGCUUUCCGUGAACUUUCUUAUGAUGGGAAAUCCUUGUUUUCAUUUGCGAGACACAUUUCAUUCGUAGAAAUACCACUUCCUACUUCCUCAUCCCGACAAUAAAUAAAGCACUACGUGGGACAAAGUAGAUUCCCAAACUUAAAAGGAAAGACUAAAAUCAAAGCUCCAGAUGAGUUGAAUUGAGGUGCAAUGAAAUAUACCUUUCUGCAGUGAGCGAAUUCGCUCUUUCGGCUGAUAACCUUUCGAUCCAGAAAGAAAUUACUUACUUCAUGCUUUCUUCGUAUUUAUUUAAGGACCCAAUCCAUCUUUUGUCUAUGACGAUCGGUACGAAAGGAAGGCAUGCUCGCAGGGGAUUCUUAUUACUAAUAGAUGAUAAGAUAAUACGAGAAUGAAAGAGGUCGAGCGCCUCACCUCUGAGUCUGAUUGUUGGAAGUAUGAUGACUCCCACUGGUCGUCUUUCAACUCAUUAAAUCCCCUUAUCUUUUAUGGCGGUCUUACCGGAAUAUCUACUUUAUAGAAUUCCUAUGAGACUAAGAAAUCAAACUGGGACCUCGUAGUCUUCCUGUUCCCGGUCGAUCCUAUGAUCGAUCUCAUACAAAGAUCCUAUGAUCGACUAAAAAGACUCUUUCUUCUUAGUUUGAGCUUGAGGCGCGUCCAACCCACUACGCGGUAAGCUUUUCCUCUUUUCCUCUCACUUCAAGACUCAAGACCUUACCCGCACCGAGUCAAUCUGAUCGCUACCUUUCCAGGUCGUAUUCUAGUAAUUAAUUUCAUUAAUAACUCAGAGCGGCGAUCUAAAUACUUCUUCAGCAAGAACUUUCGAAGAAGGUAGAGGAACUGAAAUGGAUUCAGCUUCCGCAGGCAGCAUCCCUUUCAACGACGACUCCCCGAGAGACUCGCUUCAAACUUUCGAUUUAGAAAGAAGGUAUCUCAGUCUCUUACCGCGUAGUGGGCUGAUCGUGAGAGAUGGAAUCUUCAACCUCUUAAGGAAAUGUGUCCAGCGAAAGUAUUUACGUAAGAAAUUGAGAACCAGGUGAGAGGAGAGGGGUGAGGAUCGAGCGCAUUCCCUAUCGAUCAGCAUCCUCAACUCUACUUCAAGAGUAGAAAGGUUUCGGAAUUCAGAGGCAAGAGCAUUCCUUCCUCUUUCUUUAGUCAAGUCAUUUCAUUCCAUUUCUCACUAGGUCUAUAGAAAUAGUUCAUGGCCAGGGCUAGGUCUCGUCAUAUUCUUUUCUCAAGAGAUGAGAAGAAAGUUCUCCUAAUAGAAUAUGUUUGAAUAUCUCAACUAGAAAGUCUCGGACUAACUCUUCCCAUAGCGUAGCCGACGGAGCAGGGAAAAGGAAGAUUUUCAACAGUCAAGAGAUCAAUCAGAAGGGAGCGGGAAGAAUGGAUAUUGUCUUCGAUCUUGCGAUAAAAUGAGUCAGACCAUAUGCGAUCUCGUCUCAAACAGAGAAUUAGUAAUCUGAGUCGCACGGGGAAUAGGUUGAAUAGUCCGGAGGACGAGAAGACAGAAAGAAAAGAAAGGUUCCCGAGGUUCAAAGAAUAUUGACAAAGAAUAUUUCAUGAAUUGAGGUGCGGUAGUCCGUCCGAAGGACUAUGAAAUCCAUUAGUUUUCGUUUGCACUCCUUUCUUCUUUUCUUAGAUAUUCUGGGAUUGAACUCCGUCUGAAAUCUAGCAGAUUCAUUUUUAGCUUCUUUCAUUCUCGUUAAUGAGCACUUGAACCUGUCUUUCUCAGGUGCAAAAAAUAUUGCGAGAAGAGCAAAGAAGAGAAUGGCGAUCAGAAUUUGAGUCCUUUCAUACUUUCGUUGAGGAGGAGGAGUUUUCUUCUUGUAUCAUAAUAGGAUAUUUUAGUAGAAUAAGAAGAAGAAGAAGAUAAGACUACGUAGCGUAGUGGGCUUUUCUUAUGGCGGAGCGGAGGAUUCCGAUUAUCCACUGAAGAAAGUAGGAAAGCCUAAGGAACCUAAAAAGGGCUAAUAGGGGAAGGAAGAAAGCCUAUCCCUCCAGAAUCUUUGAGGACCGAAGGACUUCUUUAUAUCCCUAUUUAUUUAUUUAUGGGACUCCCAGAAAGGUUUAGUUCCAUAAAUCAGUCGGCUAAUAUAUAGGAUGAAAGUAGAUAGAGAGGAAAAGAAAAAAGUCGUCACUCUUAAGGAGUGCAAGAAGGAAUCUUUGAACCUUUUAUCCUGAUCUCUCUCAUUCUACAACUCAGUCGAGCCACUAUUCAACCUUCUUUUCGAGGGGACAUCAUGUCCUCUUAUCUUAAUCCCAUAAAUCAUUUAAGGCGAUACUGAAAGAAGAAAUCCAGCAACUUAAUCCGGUAGAGUCAAUUCGAGACUAAGACGAGUUGGGGUUUCGACCAUAGGCUUUCCUUCCAAACCUACUAUACUAAACCUACCCCCGGACUCAAGACGCGAAGUGAAGCGGCUGCCCACUUUUUAGAAAUAAAGAGAUGAGAUAAUUCUUUUCACUCAUUGAGGUCGGCUAAAUUCAAUGGAUAAAGAAGUCCUUUGCUUCAUUCUAUAUGUCCUUAUCAAUGAGACCAUUAAUCAGUCCGAAGGACUAUCCAAAGAAAAGAAUAUCCCUGUCUUAUGGGGCCUCCGUAGCUUAAUAUGGAGCGCUCCGGACGAGUCUUAACUAAUAUUCCCAAUCAAAGAAUUAUCGAAAGAAUGAUCGACGAGUCUUAUUCCACUAAAAUAGUAGUCCUUCGGAGCAGUCUUAAUACUCCUAAAAUCAAAGCUCCAUAUGAGUUUCAUUCCACUAAAAGACGAAAGAAGGUAUCUCAGUUACCAAAGAGAAAGAGCUUCCACAAACCACUUCCACAUAAACUUCUGCUAAGUCUACUUCUGUUAUUGAUUCAACUUAGCCUUUAAUCAGAUUAGGACCUAGCUAGCCAACCUUAUUCCUUCCUCUUCCUUACUUUGUUCUCGCUUGCUUCGGCAACACAUCUCUGGAUACUGGAUAAGAGAUCCUUUGGUCAAGCUGCAAGAGAAAGACUUCUUCCGAUCGAUCAGCUACCCGAUUCCUCCUUCCCCGAUGAUAAGGUUAGCAUGCCCGAUCCUCUCCUAUUGAAAAAGAAAGCAGAAAUCUUUCAGUCCAGAGGAUUUAUCCGUAGCCCGGAGGAUUUAUCCGUAGGACCAUCUGUAAUUAACCGAAGUAGUCUGCAGUCCGGAGUCCGCAGGAUUUAUCCGGAGGACUAUCCAUAUGGAAGUAGGACCAUCCAUAUGGAAGGAAGUAGUCCGCAGUCCGCAGUCCGCAGGAUUUAUCCGUAGGACUAUCCAUUUUCAGUCGGACUAUCCAUAUGGAAGGGAGCGAAAUCUAGCUAUGAGGACUCUUUGAGCUCUUCUUUGAGUCAGUGGCUGCCCUUGCAGAAGGAGCAGCGAAGUCCGCGGUUUCAGAGGUUUAUGUAGCAGUUCUUCUUUAAUAAGAUGCUUACUUUCUUUCGGGUAGAAAGGUUCACUCGUGAACGGUACACCUCUUAUAUGAUGCCUGGGGACUUUGUCCCUUCUUCUACGGAUUUCUCUUAUAUGAUCUUAUUCAUCUCCGUAUCGUUCAUAUAUUCAUUCUAUAAAAUCCCUAGCUGCCACAUAUGGUCGAACUUGCCUCUUAAGUGGCGUGGGUCGAUCCUCUUGUUGACUUUUUACCUAGGAGUGGGGGGGAAGAAGUUCGAGAAUAAUUUAUCUUCUUUCCUUGUCCCAGUUCUUCUUUCCACUUCUACUUAAGUCACCACGACUGAUACAGAUGCAAGAACAUCAGGGCGAGCAGGGAAGAGGCGGAGGGAGUUUGCACUCUUUUCAUGCGGGUUUGAGUGAGACUGAUGCGCCCUAGGUCAAGCCAUUGCUUCGUCUUGUUCAUCACAUUCAUUAUGUUCACAAUUCCGGAAUCAAAGUAGAAAUACGAGAAAGCGCUCCAGCGGACUCUGAUUCAUUGGGAAUUCUAUCUUCCCGCCUCAAUGAACAAGGUGAAAAGAAUAUUAAAUGAAUCAUUGAGUUGAGGCGGUGGAACCUAGGAGUGGGACCGGGAACAUGAUAGGCUUGAAUCUAAGAAGUGAAUAUAGUAUUGAAAGAGGCCCACGGAGCGGUGUCCGACUAUCCUACUAUCGAAGCCUUGAAGCAUGAGUCUUGAGGUUUUCAAAGUCUACUCAGAGGACGAGGUUGAAGUUUCAUAGGGAAAGGUUUCAUAACAAGCAGUUGUUUUCCGUAUCGAAUGCUCUUUCAUUCCUUAUUCGAAAGAAGGCAAAGAAAGUGGAAACUAAAUCCUUGGAUUCUUUCCCGCUUGAACCAUGAAAGGUUAGGCCUUAGUUACGAUCUCAUUCAAUGCCCUAGCAUACUCAAAGGUUCGGGGGCGUAGUGGAUGGAGCUAGAAGACUACUACUUGGACGAGGGAUUUCCUUUCUCUUAUUGUAAUACUCCUAACCACCCCUUUUUGAAUGGGCAGGCCCCUCUGGUCGAGUUUACCCUUUUUAUUCAGGCCUAUCUGCCUCCGUUCAUGAAGGACAAAAUCGGACUGAGCCCUUGUUCAUUGAGGCGUAUAAGCCCACGUAGCGGUGCCAUAAGACACGUCUGAAGGCGUCACAGGUCCGGAGGACCCGUCUGUCCGAAGGACGAGAUAUUUAUAAUGUUGAGAGAAAGAUUAGACUUUGUCAGGACCCUUAUUUCCAUUAUUUUUCACUUUCAAUAUUCUUGAGAAUAUUCAUUCAUCCGACAGAGCAAAGUUCAUCCAGAUCCCCAUAUGAAUUAGGCGAAUGACUGAUUUUCAAAGUCAGAGUUAUCCCUCAAAUUCUUUGAGCCUUUGCACUCAAAUUCUCUAAUGGAUAGUCCUUCAGACCGCUAGGAGUAAAGAAUAUUGUGUGGAACUGAACUAAUAGGGAAAAGCAUUUCCUAUUGAUUUGUCCCCUGGACUGGACCUAUUCUGAUUCUGAAUUAUCCGUCGCUACGUUGUUCCCAAGGACUAGCAAAAUCGAAAUAGCGAAAUUCUUGGGUCAUCUCAAUGGGUUCAGAAACCACACGUUUCUCUGGAUCAUCACAGCGUACUUCCACAUAUCCACUCAGAGGAAGGUCUUUUUGUAAUGGAUGACCCUCGAAACCAUAAUAUGUUGAUAUACGGCGUAGAUCCGGAUGAUUGAUGGAAGAAACACCAAACAUAUCCCAAACUUCUCGCUCCCACCGGCCGGCUGAUGGAAAUAGACUGACUACCGGAGAGAUUCGUGUUACUUCGUCUGCACUGGUUUGUACACGAAUGCGUGAGUUAUACCGAGUACUCAGUAAAUUAUAGGCCACUUCAAAUCUGAGUUUUCUAUAUAUAUUUAUAUUGAUGUUAAUAUGUUACCUUGUAAUUGGAAUGGUGAUUUGAAUAAUCUAAUAGGAUUAUGUGUUUGGAUCAAAAUAUGUUGCAAGAGAAAUAGCUAAAUGUGUGGAUUUAGUGACAAAGAGGGUAUUCAUGUGUUUAUUUUAGUUUUCUCAGUGAGGACUCGAUUUUUAGAAGAAACGACCACUGUUCGAAUCAUUCAAAACUUUGUUUCGAACAAAAAUUUUGGACUUUGUCAUUGUCCUCUUCACCGAAUGUGACAAACUUGAAGACAACGAUGAAACAUUGAAAGAUUACUUGGAUCGAAAAUGUCUUGUGGGGUUGAAAGAUACCAUAGCCGCUAGCAAGAACUGUUGCUUGGUUUUCAAUAACAAAAACCGAUAAUGAAACAAAGAAGAUUGAAUAAGUGGAUAAACUUAUAAAGAUGGUGCAUGAAGUUGUACAACAAAAUGAAGGAAAAGCAUACACUCAUGGCUUGUUUUCUAAUGUCAAGUUUGAGACCAACUUGCAAGAUGAUGUGAAAACCAAGCUUGAACACACAAUUACAGUUCAAAACACAAGCAAAAUUUAAAGCAUAACAAGGAGCACAAGAAGUUCAACAACAAUCUAUGGAUCAAAUUCGAGUCCUCAAAGACCAUCUAUGCAUCAAGACUUGAAAGGUCACUGUCACUACCAAUGCUUCCACAAAUUAUUCGUCAUGGUCGCUGCAUGAGAAAAGGUUGCAUUAUUGUAUGACUUUACUGUGCAUGCAUUCAAUAAAUAUGUACAAGUAAUUAGUAUAAUGAAUAUAUACUAAAUAAAAAUAUGAAAAAACUGUGAAAAAAAACUUAUUUGAUUAACUGCUAUAAAUUAAUAUUUGAAAAUUGGCAUGUGUUCUCGAAACUAAUAAAAGCAAGUUUGGAAAUGCCUUUAUUUUGUCUUUGUUGAGUGUAGUGUAAAUUGGCAAAUAUAGAAUGCUUAAUUAUGUUGUUAAUUAAUAAGAAAAUUAUUUUAGAAGUUUUGAUGAAUGUCCAACUACAUGUGGAAAGAAUUAUAAAGGAUUGAAAAAUGAUUCUAUAAUCUAGCCCAAACAAGAGGUGGGUUAUUAUAGCUCACUUCACUUCUAUUUAGUUUGGGACCCAAAUAGCCUCUUAAAAUUAGGUUAACUCCAUAACUAAUAAGGGUCUUUAACUCAUAUAGUCUAAAUUGCUAUAUGAUAUUACAUGAAUGAUCCAAAUUACUAAUAAAUUUCAUAAAAGUCCUAAAUGGACUAGUAUAUUACAUAAAUGUAGGCUCAAAUUACUUUAAUACCAAUUUAUAUUAUUUAAUUGAUUUAUAACAAAUAUCUAAAUGAAAAAAACCGUGGGAUAUAGUUUUGGAAAGAAGUGGGGUCCAAAUUAAUUUAAUAUCAACUUCUAUUAUUUAAUUUAAUUGAUUUAUAACAAAUAUCUAAAUGGAAAAAAUGGUGGAACACCGUUUUGGAAAUAAGUGGGGUCCAAAAUAAUUUAAUACAAAUUUUUAUUAUUUAAUUGAUUUAUAACAAAUAUCUAAAUGGAAAAAAUAAAGAGAUACAGUUUUGGAAAGAAGUGAAAAACUUUUCAUGCUUUCCUACCACGAAAAUGGUUGUCUACUCCUUUCAACGUGGAUUACGAUUUUUACUUCAAAAUUUUAGAGAGUUCGGAGGUGAAGAAGAAGACAGUCGACGACCGACAAAUACAAAACUUCUCGAACAUAAUCUAGUUAAAAACUUUGAAGUUAGUAUUGUAUAUAUUCAACACAUAUGAAACAUUAGAUAUAUUAUGUAUAUUUUAGACAUUCAAUUAAAUAGUCAAUCAAAUGAAAAUGUAGUUUUGAAUGUGAUACAUUUUAGGGUUUAUUGAGAUUUCGGCGGUGAAGAAGAAAACUUUUGAUGGCCAAAAAAUACAAAACUUAUCCGACAGAAUCUAACUAGAAAAUUUGUGCUUAAUAUUAUAUAUAUUCAAAACAAAUGAUUAGAAACAUUUAGUAUAUUAGGUAUAUUUUAAAUAUUCGAUUAAAUAGACAAACAAAUGAAAAUAUAUGAAACAUUUGGUAUAUUAGGUAUAUUUUAAAUAUUUGAUUAAAUAGACAAACAAAUGAAAAAUUAGUUUUGAAUGUGAUACAUUCUAGAGUUUAUUAAGAAUUCAACGUUGAAAAAGAACGGUCAUCCUAUCAAAAAAAUAAUAGAACUAUAUAUAUAAUAUGAGGUAUAUAUAUAUUAAAACAUAGAACAUAACUAUUAUAGAUUACGGAUAUAUUAAAGUAUAAUGUAAUCAAAUACAUUUAUAAAGGAAAAAUAUGUAUGUAUGAUCAUGUCGUUUACUACCGUUUUAGUAAUAUUUAUUCUACAAACACAAAUUCUGUAGGAAUUAUGUAUAAGGUAUUAUUGUAUAUAAUAUGAGGUAUAUAUAUACUAAAUAACAUGUAUGAAUUAAGUGUACAUUUUAUUAGUGAAAGGUUCUUAUAUCAAUUUGUUUAUGAUUUUUAUUUAAAUAUUCAUAUAUUAUGUAGUAAGUAAUACGUUAUGUUUGAAAUAAUAUUGAUUAUGUAUUAAAGUUGCCCAUUAGACAGUUUUUUAACAAAAUAUACCUAUUAUAUUAAUAUAGAAAAUGGGAGGAAAUCGUGCAACAUUAAAAUAGGAAACUUCUUUACCAUUUUCUCACUUUCCAUAUUCAACGAAAAGCUUGCCAUUUCGACAGUCAAUGACAUAUACAACAUAUUAUAUAAUGCGAUAAUAUUAUAAAACUAGUAUAAUCAUAAAUAAGAUGUGAUAUAUAUUUAAGGGAAAUAUUAAAAAACUGAUAAAUUCAUAAUAGAAUAACGUUAAAAUAAGGAGAAUAUUGUUAAUAUAAUAUAUAUACGCAUAUGAUAUACUCAUAAUGAACUAAUUUUAAAUGGGUAAAAUAACAAAUGACAUAUUUAUGUUAUUCUUCAUAUAAAACAUCAACUAAAAGUAUUAUAUCUCACGGUUAAUAUAUAAAACUAUUAUAAAUGUAAACAAGAUGUGAUAUAUAUAUAUAAUAAAUCACAUAUACAACCUAUUAUAUCAUGCGAUAAUAUUCUAAAACUAGUAUAAUCAUAAAUAGUAUGUGAUAUAUGUUUAAAGGGAAUAUUAAAAAACUGGUAAAAUCAAAAUAGAAUAACAUUAAAAUAAGAGGAAUAUUGUUAAUAUAUACUCAUAUGAUAUACUCAGAAUGAACUAAUUUUAAAUGGGCAAAAUAACAAAUGACUGUGGAUUUUAUCUUAUCUUUAGGUGAUGGACAAUUGUAUAUGACGGCGAUUUGUUAAGAUUCUGCAGCUUACGGUUAUGAUAAAUUUGAAUACAAAUUUAUAAAACAAUGUAAUAAGAAGUUCAAAUGAUGGAGAAGAAUAGCAAAAAACAGUUGUCGGCGAUGGAGAAGAUAAUGUAAUGGCUGCCAGAGAGAGUGAACAAUUAGGUUAAGUUAUAUUUUUAGAAAGAAUAAUUAAAUAGUUUAUUACAAAAUAAAGUACAAUUACAAUUAUUAUAAUAUAUUCUGAUUUAUAAUUAAUUUAAAAGAUACUUGAAAUUUAUUAACAUAUUAAGGUCUUUUGUCUAAAAGUUUCAACUAAUAAUAAUGAUAGUUCUCAUUAACCAAUUGACAAAUGAUUGAUAUUGUCAAAUGAUCGAUAUUGUCAAAUGAUCGAUAUGUGCAAGUGCACAUUUCAAUUAUAUUAUAGUAUAACGUUCUUAGAGAUCGAGCUAGUAUCCUUUUAAGAGGGAUCAAAUUAACAAAUUAAUUUAUUGAUUUUAGGAUUAUGAUGUGUUUUAAGGAUUAAAAACAAUGAUUAGAAACUAAUAAAAAGAUCCCUAAAAGACAAAUAUGAAAUCUCAAAGAAUAAAAAAUGCUCCAAAAUUGUUUUUGAUUUCACUGUUCAAUCCAUAAAAUCAUGAUGUGUAUAGGUUAUAUGAAAACUAGUGUCAGUAUGUGUUCAGAUGUAGGAACUAAUUAACUACAAGUUGUUGACUUUUGAAAAGAAUAUCUUUCCAUUCAAACAUAAUUGUUCCUAAUCUCUUCCAACUAAGUUAAAUAUUAUGGUAUUAAACAGAUACAUAGUUUGGUUGGUAGUUUCUCUUCAAAAUUAUUAUUUUGAGAAAACAAAUACAAUUUCUUUUUUAGGUAAUCCAAUAUCCUCAAGUAUAUUUAUAAAUAUGGAAAUAUUAUUUCCAUAUUAGAAGAGAUACUAAAAGAUCUUAUUACAACAUCAUUAGAGUCCCAUCAUUUUCUCUAAAUAUCUCUUUUGUGGCGAAAGAUUUGGAAUUGCACAUCAAUCAUUUUGGAGUGGGUAAUUGAUCACCCUAUUUUUCAAAAAAUAAGAAAGAUAAAAAAUAGUUAUUUUUUUAAAGAUAUAUUUGAAAGUGUUGAGUUUAUGGAAGGUAUUAGUACUUAUACAACCACAAAACAUUUGAUUUUUGUUAUCUAAAUUAUUUUAAUAAAAAUGUUUUUUUUUUUUUGAAGUUUAUGCUUAUUAAAAAUGCUUAUUUAAAAAAUGUUAAUGAAAUUUUAAAAAAUAAAAUCUAAUUAAACACUUCUGAGAUAGAGAGGUUUCCCUUGACUACCCGAGCGUAGAUAAACACUUCUGAGAUUUGGUUGGUAAUCCAAGUUCGUGUGCAGUUGAUUAUUUUUUAAAUUUUGUAUAGUUGAAUAAUAUUUGAAUUUUAAAUUUUCAUCUAUGUGAUAUUUACUCAUUUCAAACUUUUUGAAUAUGCAUGUUUAUUUAUUAUUCUGCCGUCUCUCUAUUGUAUUUUAAAAUUUAGAAUAUGUGUAUUUAUAUUAUUUGAAAUUGAAAAUUUAACUUUUGCUCUUAGAGUAGGCUUUAACUCUUUGUUUGUCCGUGUUGUAGGUGAGCGAGAAGGAAAAGUUCCAUUGUUUGAUUGAAUUGGAAUUGUUUCCUGCAUGGGGUGUCAUACAUAAUUCCACUUAUUACUAGUUGAAGGUCUUCUUUGCCUCUGUCUUCUUCCCCAUCUCCCCAAGUUGUUCUAACCUUUUUAUAUCUACCUAUUACAUGUCAAAAGGUUGUUUCGCUCUUCAAUGUUUUGAAACAAGUUCAUUAUGAAAAUCUCUCGCAAGCAAACGUAUGUGCAUUAUGAAUAAUUUCAUCUCAAAAAAAUUGUUUGAGAGGUUUCAAAAGUGUAUCGAAACUAAUAAUUUUAAUGAAUAAAAAAAUAAUUCUUCGUUAGAUUCUUACAUUUUAUUUCAACGAAUAAAAUUUAGGAAAAUUUUUAAAAAUAGCAAAUUUUACAAAAAUAUUUACAAUUUAUAACAAAUUUAUAGUCAUUGAUAUGAUAUAACGAUAGUUACUAAUAAAUAUUUUAAUUUAUUUUGUUAUUUUUAAAAAUUCUCAUAAAAUAUUAUAGUGAGGGAACAAUGAUGAAUCACAUAGUUUUUGUGGUGAUGUCGCUUUUUAUCCCUCUUUACAUUCUAAAAUCUCAAAUACAAAUCAUAAAACAAGUAGAUAUACAUUCAAUUAACAUGAUUUUGAUUCUAAUAAAUUAGAAAGACAAAAAUAACUAACUAAUUAUGGAAAAGUAAUAUUUUAACAUGAAUUAUUGAUUUUUAAUUAGAGGUAAUUUUAAAAUAAAUAAAAUAAAAGAAAAUAUUACAAAUCAAAUCUAAACUAACUUUGAUUUUACUUCUUUAAUUGCAAUAUAACAUAGAUACAUUGGCUAUGAAGUGCAAUUUCUUAUAUUAUAAUAUUUAAAAGAUUUAAAUUUAAAAAUAAAAAUAAGUAAUCUCAAGUCCAAUAUUGGACCUGUGGGGCUUAGCCCAUCAAUUUAAAAAUUCAAAAUGCACACUCAACCGUCACAUUUUCCUAGGAUCAUCCUAUUUAAUGCCCUUCUACUUGUCAACUCCAUCGAAAUCCUUCAUUUCUUGUGGCACCGUCUAAAAUUUGCUUCGAUUGAAGAAAUUUUGACGCCCAUGACAGCGUUGAAAUUUCUUCAAUGCAAACAAAUUUUUUAUCUUCCUUUCAUCGAGGAUUUUCAUACCAUGUGAAGGAGAGAUCAGUUCCAUCAGUUCCAAGUCGUUCGUGAGUCAUCUUCUUUCCUGUGUAGUUUUCAUCUCUUGAUUUUGGAUUGCUUGUUCAAGAUUUAUUUUCGAAUUUUGGAUUGUUUGCUAUUCGGAUAGGCAGAAGGUUUGCACGAUGAUAGAUCUGGAGUACCUGAAUCGUUUAUUGAUUCUGUAGUUUAAUCUUAUGAUUUUGGUGAUUUCGAAGCGUACAAUAUAAUCGUACUGUGUUAUGAAGUAAAUAAGAUUUUGUAGGGUUUUUGAAAGUUAAUUUAGAUAUUUCCUGCAUUUUAGUCUUGAUAGAUCUGGGGUACCUGAACCGUUCAGGUUUGCAUGCUGUGAUUGUGUUGUUCUUUUUUGAUUUUGGAGAGAGUCCUUGGGUAAUUUUGAGGAUUGUUCUUUUUUUAGUUUUUUUUGCAUGCAUUCAAACACACGCAUGGUUUUUAAACUGGGGUUCUUGAAUAUUUGUUGGUUUUCUCGAAUAUUUGCCUGUUUUUUUUUCUCAGAAGAAUUGAUCUUAUAUUUGUGUAUCUCUCUGUGCAACUUUAAUAUAAAGUUAUUAAGGAAGAAGAGAAAGGAGGAAGAAGGGAGAGAGAAAAGGUAGAAACGACCUAAUAGUAGGCAUGAGUAUUAAGAUGCAGCAGAGCCACCACUUAGUGGCGCUAAGGUUUAAUGAGCAAAUUGACAGUAGAAAAGGGUCCACAUCCAUACCUAAGUUACUAUUGCUCUGGGUUCUGUUGGUGGCAUUCAUUAGUAUGUUAAACUACAAAGAAAUGGAUGGGUGGGUGUUAACAAAGUUAGAAGAAAGUAAGUUCUGGGAAGUAUGUGUGACCAGACGACAAAGAUGCUUCUUAGUGUCAGUGUCAAACUAUGUCCAGGCUUUGGCCAUUCUCAUUUCCAUUUUCCAGUACUUCAAAAUCGUAUCAGCAAUUGAUCAGGAAAAUGUGUUUUGAUUUCUGUCUUUUAUUAGUCUCGGUUAGUUAGGCUUAAGAGUAAGGGAUAUAAUUCAUUUUUCUUGUUUCAGCUAGAAAUUACGUCGAUGUCUUGAUUUUUAGUUUUUUUAGGGCUGUUUGGUUGUUUUUUUAGGGGUGUUUGGUUAGUUAGGCCUAAGAAGUAAGGGCUAGUGAAAGAGAAGCAUUUGAUUGUCCUACAAGUAUCUGAAUCGCCAAUGAAAGCAGAGGUUAUUUCCUCUGAAUUUCCACGAAUUGUUCAGGUUUGGAUUCUGUGAUUGUGUUGUUCUGUUGUUCUCUUUUUUAUUUUGGAGUGUUCUAGGAAAUUUUGAGGUUUGUUUUUAUUUUUUUGGCUUGCCUUUAAUCACGCUCGUUUGGGAAUAGACAGGCUUCAGAGAAUGAAUCUCCUUUUUAAGGGUUCGUUGGGGAGCGAAGUGACCAUAUGGCAUCCCUUUCUACACCUGCUCAGUCUCUCUCUUGCCUUUUUCAUACUACAUAUUUUUGUUUCUCAAUUUAGUGUCAGUGUCAACCAUGUCUAUGCUUUGGCCAUUCUCAUUUCCACUUUCCACUACUCUAAAAAUGUAUCUGCAAUUGAUCUUAUAUUUGUGUAUCUCUCUGUGCAACUUUAAUAUGAAGUUAUUAAGGAAGAAGAGAAAGGAGGAAGAAGGGAGAGAGAAAAGGUAGAAACGACCUAAUAGUAGGCAUGAGUAUUAAGAUGCAGCAGAGCCACCACUUAGUGGCGCUAAGGUUUAAUGAGCAAAUUGACAGUAGAAAAGGGUCCACAUCCAUACCUAAGUUACUAUUGCUCUGGGUUCUGUUGGUGGCAUUCAUUAGUAUGUUAAACUACAAAGAAAUGGGUGGUGUUAACAAAGUUAGAAGAAAGUAAGUUCUGGGAAGUAUGUGUGACCAGACGACAAAGAUGCUUCUGCCUCAACUUAGUGUCAGUGUCAAACUAUGUCCAGGCUUUGGCCAUUCUCAUUUACACUUUCCAGUACUUCAAAAUCGUAUCAGCAAUUGAUCAGGAAAAUGUGUUUCGAUUUCUGUCUUUUAUUAGUCUCGGUUAGUUAGGCUUAAGAGUAAGGGAUAUAAUUCAUUUUUCUUGUUUCAGCUAGAAAUUACGUCGAUGUCUUGAUUUUUAGUUUUUUUAGGGCUGUUUGGUUGUUUUUUCAGGGGUGUUUGGUUAGUUAGGCCUAAGAAGUAAGGGCUAGUGAAAGAGAAGCAUUUGAUUGUCCUACAAGUAUCUGAAUCGCCAAUGAAAGCAGAGGUUAUUUCCUCUGAAUUUCCACGAAUUCUUCAGGUUUGGAUUCUGUGAUUGUGUUGUUCUGUUGUUCUCUUUUUUAUUUUGGAGUGUUCUAGGAAAUUUUGAGGUUUGUUAUUUUUUAGUUUUUUUGGCUUGCCUUUAAUCACGCUCGUUUGGGAAUAGACAGGCUUCAGAGAAUGAAUCUCCUUUCUAAGGGUUCGUUGGGGAGCGAAGUGACCAUAUGGCAUCCCUUUCUGCACCUGCUCAGUCUCUCUCUUGCCUUUUUCAUACUACAUAUUUUUGUUUCUCAAUUUAGUGUCAGUGUCAACCAUGUCUAUGCUUUGGCCAUUCUCAUUUCCACUUUCCACUACUCUAAAAAUGUAUCUGCAAUUGAUCAGGUAAAAGUGUUUCAAUUCUCUGUCUUUGGUUCAUCUCCGUUAGUUAGUCUUAAGAGUAAGGAGAUAAUUCGUUUUUCUUGUUUCCCUCCAUGUAUUGAUUUUUAGUUUUUUAGGGAUGCUUGGUUGGUUUGAAUGCACGAAACAUUUGCUGGUACACGAUUCAAACAGCUUGCCCAGUCAUGUUUUUCUAUUUUUUUUUUAAUAUUUUGGAAUUUUGCAUGUGUGAUUUCUGUAUAUAUUAUUCUUGCCCUUUUCCUUUAUCAUCAUUUAUUUUGAUUUUGGAGAGGUCUCUUGGUUAUUUGUUAUUUGCACAUAUACAAGGGUUGAAAAUUUCAAUCCCACCUCUCUUUUAUAUUACAUUCAUUUAGUUUUGGCUGUUAUCUAAUUGAACUAUUUGAUCAUCAAAUAAUUGUGUUACCUUUUCUUCUAGAUGUUUAGAUUCAUUUUUCUCACUCUUUUAGUUUUCUUAAUGUGUGACAGUCUUUGUUUUUUAUUGAACUAGUGUGUGGCAGUCUUUAUUUAUUGGUUAUCUUUAGUUUCACUAUUGUUCUUUUUUUAAUGUUUUCUUAGUUUUUAAUAAGUGUGACAAAAUAUGAAUUAAUUUUUUUCUUUGAACAAAUGUGGAAUUUAUUUUCUUUUAAUGUAGUUGUGUCCCCAAUAAAUUUAUUUUGGCGAUUUAACAAUCCAUCAUGUUCUUUUUCAUUUUUCUGUUGUAUUUUCUUCGGUUCUUUGUUGUGGUAUGUCUAUUUUUGAGACAUUCUUAAUUUAGUUUUAUUUUUUAGCUUCCUGCAUCAUUUUGUAUUAUGGAUUGUUAUGAAAUUUUGAGAUUAUGCUUUAUUUUGUUUUUUGGUCCUUUGCUGUGAUGUCUUUUGAUUAUUUCUUUUGAGUGAACAGUUCCUGUAAGAUUUUCUGCAUGAGAAUAAAUUGAUUAUUUAAUUUGGUCAAAGAAGUUCAAAAUUUACAUGUGAAAUUUACACUCAGUGGCUGUAAGGUUUAAUGAGAAAAUUGGAAGUAGAAAAGAGUCCACAUUAAUUCAUUCAGCCAAGAGGGCUUGGCAUCCUAAGUUUGCUCUGGGUUCUGUUGGUGGCAUUCAUCAAUAUGUUAAUCUAUUAGGGAAUGUAUGGUUAUAACAAAGUAAGAAGAAUGGAAGUUCUGGGGGAGUAUUUGUGACAAGAGGGCAAGGAUGCUUCUGCAUCAAUUUAGUGUUAGUCAAUCAUGUCUAUGCUUUGGCCCUUCUCAUUCCACUUUCCACUACUACAAAAAUGUAUCUGCAAUUGAUCAUGUAAAAGUGUUUCAAUUUUCUGUCUUAGGUUCAUCUCAGUUAGUUAGUCUUAAGAGUAAGGGAGAUAAUUCAUUUUUCUUGUUUCAGCUAGAUGUUACCCUCCAUGUCCUGAUUUUUAAUUUGGCUUCCUAAGUGUGCUCUAGGUUCUGUUGGUGGCAUUCAUCAGUAUGUUAAUCUACAGGUGAAUCUAUAGUUAUAACAUAGUAAGAAGAAUGGAAGUUCUUGGGGAGUUUGUGUGACAAGAGGGCAAGGAUGCUUCUGCAUUAAUUUAGUAUCAGUGUCAACCAUGUUUAUGCUUUGGCCAUUCUCAUUUCCACUUUCCACUACUCCAAAAAUGUAUUAUCUGCAAUUGAUCAGGUAAAAGUGUUUCAAUUUUCUGUCUUUGGUUCAUCUCAGUUAGUUAGUCUUAAGAGUAAGGGAGAUAAUUCGUUUUUCUUGUUUCAGCUAGAUAUUACUCUCCAUGUCUUGAUUUUUAAUUUUUUAGGGGUGCUUGGUUGGUUUGAAUGCAGGAAACUUUUGCUGGUACACGAUUCAAACAGCUUUCCAUGUCAGGUUUUUCUAUUAUUUUUCUUUAAUAUUUUGGAACAUGUGUAAUUUCUGUAUAUAUUAUGUUUGCCGUUUUCCUUUUUCAUCAUUUAUUUUGAUUUUGGAGAGGGUCUCUUGGUAACUUGACUUUUCUUUUAGUUUUGACUGUUAUCUAAUUGAACUAUUUGAUUAUCAAAUAAUUGUGUUACUUUUUGUUCUAGAUGUUUAUAUUCAUUUUUCCCACUCUUUUAGUUUUGUUAAUGUGUGACAGUCUUUGUUUUUCAUUGAACUAUUGUGUGGCAGUCUUUAUUUAUUGGUUAUCUUUAGUUUCACUAUUGUUCUUUCUUUAAUGUUUUUCUUAGUUUUUAAUAAGUGUGACAAAAUAUGAAUUUAUCUUUUUCUUUGAACAAAUGUGGAAUUUAUUUUUCUUUUAAUGUAGUUGUGUCCCCAAUAAAUUUAUUUUGGCGAUUUAACAAUCCAUAAUGUUGUUUUUCAUUUUUCUGCUGUAUUUUCUUUGGUUCGUUGUUGUGCGAUGUCUAUUCUUGAGACAUUUUUAAUUUAGUUUUAUUUCUUUUAGCUUCCUGCAUCAUAUUGUAUUAUGGAUUUUUUCGAAAAUUUGAGUUUGAUCUUGUUUUCCUGGUCCACUGCUGUGCAGUUUUUUUUAUGAGAUAUUUUUAUUUAGAUUUAUUAUCUUUUAGCUUGUUUUGCAUUUUGCAUUAUAGAUUAUUUUUUAAAAUUUUGAGGUUGUUUUUUUUCUUUGAUCUUUUGUUGCGGUGACAAUUUUAAUUUAGAUUUAUUAUCUUUUAGCUUGCUUGCAUUAUGGAUUGUUAUGAAAUUUUGAGAUGAUGCUUUAUUUUGUUUUUUGGUCCUUUGCUGUGAUGUCUCUCUAUAAGACAUUUUUAAUUUAGGUUUAAUAACUUUUAGCUAGCUUGCAUUGUGGAUUGUUAUGAAAUUUUGAGUUUCUGCUUUCUUUUGAGUUUUGGUGAUGCCUUUUUACGAGACAUUUUUAAUUUAGGUUAAUUUUUUAGGUUGCUUGCAUUUAUGGAUUGUUCUGACAUUUUGACUUUCUGCUUUUUUUUUAUGUCAUUUGUUGUGUGAUAUCUUUAUAAGAUAGAGAUAUUUUUAAUUUAGGUUUACUAUUUUUUAGCCUGCUUGCAUUUGGUAUCAUAUAUGAAUUGUUCUGAAUUUUGAGUUUCUUCUUUUUCAGUCAUUUGUUGUGCGAUAACUUUUUAUAAGACAGACAUUAAGAUUUAUUAUUUUUGGACUUGUUUGUAUUUUGUAUCACGGAUUGUGGUUUUUUAAAUUCAGAGGAGGAACUAGAAAUUGUUCUUGUGAUAUGUUAAAAUCUAGUUUACUGCAAAGAAUGAAUUCUAAAACAGAGGGUAUGAAUGUCGUCAAUAAUUUUUCUCCAUUUCUGCGUUGAGCAAUGUUUAGCUGAUAUGUUUGUGUAUUCUUUACAUUAGUGCAGCACCACAUGCUAAUUUAGGUGUGAAAUGCUAAUUUAGAUGUGAAACACUUCCAAAGAUGACGAGAAAUCAAAGAUUGUCGUAGUAAAAAACCUCACCAGUUUUUCCUUUCAGGUUUUUCUUUUCUUUUUCUUUAAUAGUUUGGAAUUUUGCUGGUGUGAUUUCUGCUUUUCUCUUAUCAUUUAUUUUGAUUUUGGAGAGCAACUUUGGUAAUGUUAAUAAUUUUUCUCCAUUUCUGCGUUGAGCAAUGUUUAGCUGAUAUGUUUGUGUAUUCUUUACAUUAGUGCAGCACCACAUGCUAAUUUAGGUGUGAAAUGCUAAUUUAGAUGUGAAACACUUCCAAAGAUGACGAGAAAUCAAAGAUUGUCGUAGUAAAAAACCUCACCAGUUUUUCCUUUCAGGUUUUUCUUUUCUUUUUCUUUAAUAGUUUGGAAUUUUGCUGGUGUGAUUUCUGCUUUUCUCUUAUCAUUUAUUUUGAUUUUGGAGAGCAACUUUGGUAAUGUUAAGGUGAUUUAAGAAAAGUUGGUUGUCCAAGAAUCAAUAUUUUUAUAUUACCUUAAAUCUUCCUAAGACAUGUUGGGUCUUUCUUUGGCCUUUGUUAGUGUCUUCUAUUAAGUCUGUUAGUUUCACUUUAGUUGGGUCUUUUUUUAAUUUUAUUUUAUCUUUUAAAUUCCAAAUCCUACUCAUUUGGUCAUGACGAUUGAAUAAUCAUUGUUAAAUUUAUUUCUUGUUGGGAGUGUAGAUUUUAUUUUCUUUUUGGCCUUUGUUAUUUGCAUCUAUACAGGGGUUCGAAAAAUUCAAACCCUUCCCUCUUUUAUUCGACAUUCUUUUAGUUUUAUUUGUACUAUUGGAUUGUUAAAAAUAAUUGUGUUACUAUUUCUUACAUUCCAUAAAGAACCCUUUCUGAUGGAUUAUUUCUUAUUGAACUGUUUUAAAAUUUUGAGUUUCUUCUUUUUCUUUUUUGGGUCCAUUGUUGGGGGAUGAUACAUCUUUAAUUUUUUUUUUUUUUUUUUGAUAAGAGAUGAUACAUCUUUAAUUUAGAUUUAUUAUCGUUAGCUUGUUUUGCAUUUUGUAUUAUGUUUUUUGAAAUUUUGAGUUUCUUCUUUUUCUUUCUUUGGUCAUGUGUUGUGCGAUGUUAUUUGCAUUAGGGGUGUUUGGUUGGUUGUUUUUUUAGGGGUGUUUUGGUUAGUUAGGCUUAAGAAGCAAGGGCUAGUGAAAGAGAAGCAUUUGAUUGUCCUACAAGUAAUAAGCUUCUCCUCAAUCAUUCAACCAUUUUUUUAGUAAAGAAAGAGGCUUCUCCUCUGGCAACCAAAGUCCGUCCCUCGUUAACAGGUAAGUCUACCUCAUUACUUUUAUGUCCUUCUAAUUAAGAUAUUUGGGUCAAUAUAUAUCAAAAUAAAUAAGAUCCAUCUUUGGUAAUUUUUAAAAAAAUUAAAUCUAUAAAUACUCAUUUCAUCUCUAAAAUUAUGUGAUUUGUACUUUCUAAAAUUCCCUCGAUGGUACUAAUACACUCUUAUAUUUGUAUUGUAAUUAUCAUGUCCUUUUUCUAUGGUUUUUUAAAGUUAAUUUAGAUCCUUAUUCGCUCUAGGUAUAAGUUGAAUGGAAGAGUUUUUUAGCCUUGAUGGAUCUUGAGUACCUGAAUCGUCGAUGAAAACAGAUUUUUUCUCGGAAAUUCCACGAAUUGUUCAGGUUUGGAUUCUGUAAUUCUGUUGUUCUUUUUUGAUUUUGGAGAGUGUCCUGGGUAAUUUUGAGGAUAUUAUUUUUUUGUUUUUUCGGCUUGCAUUUAAUCACGCGCGUUGGGGAAUAGACAGGCUUCGGAGAAUGAAUCACCUUUUUAAGGUUUCGCUGGGGAGCGAAUUGGCCAUAAGGCAUCCCUUUCUGUUCAGUCUCUCUCUUGCCUUUUUCAUACUAUAUGGUUGUUGAUCUGGGGUUAUUGAAUGAUUGUUGCUUUUAUUUUCAUAAGAAGUGAUCUUAUUUUUUGUCUCUCUGUGCAACUUUAAUAUGAGGUUAUUAAGGAAGGAGAUAAAGGAGGAAGAAGGGACGAAGAAAAGGAAGAAAUGACUGGAUUGUUGGGAUGGGUAUGAAGAUGCAGUAGAGCCACCACCUAGGGGCUGUAAGGUCUAAUGGGCAAAUUGAAAGUAAAAAAGAGUGCACAUCCAUUCAAGCUAAGAGAGCUUGGGUUCCUAAAUUACUAUUGCUCUGGGUUCUGUUGGUGGCAUUGAUUGGUAUUGUUAAUCUACAAGGGAAUUGAUGGUGUUAACAAAGUUAGAAGAAAGGAAGUUUUGGGCGUAUGUGUGACCGGAGCACAAAGAUGCUUCUGCAUCAAUUUACUGUCAGUGUUAAACUAUGUCCAUGCUUUGGUUAUUCUAUUUUCUACUUUCCACUCCUCUCGAAAUGUAUCAGCAAUUGUUCAUGUAAAUGUGUUUCGAUUUCUGUUUGAUACUUCUCAGUUAGUUAGGGUUAAAAGUAUGAGAGAUAAUUCAUUUCUCGUCUCAUAUAGAAAUUAUCUUGAUGUCUUGAUUUUUAGGGUUUUUUUCAGCGGUUUUUGUUUUUUUUUUUUUGUUGGAUUUUGGCUAGUUAGGCUUAGAGGUGCAAGGACUUGUGAAAGAGAAGCAUUUGAUUGACCAACGAGUAAUUAGUUUCUCCUCAAGCAUCCCACCACUUUUCUAUUAAAGAAAUACAGGUACGUCUACGCUAUUACUUUUCAUGUCCUUUUACUUAAGAUAUUUAUAUAAAUAUAUAUAAAAAUAAAUAAGAUCCAUCUUUGGUAAUUUUUUUAAAAAUCAAAUCUGUGAAUAUUCAUUUCAUCUCUAAAGUUUUGCGUUUUGUUACUUUUUAAAAUUCCCUCCAUGUUACUAUUACACUCCUAUAUUUGUGUUGUAAUUAUGAUGUCCUUUUUCUAUGGUCUGUUAAAGUUAAUUUAAAUCCUUUUUUGCUCUUGGUUUAUGUUGAAGAAAUGGAAGAGUUUUUUAGCCUUAAUAGAUCUGGAGUACCUUAAUCGCUCUUGCAUUUUGUGAUUCUGUUCUUUUUCUAUUUUGAAGAGUGUCCUGUGUAAUUUUUAGGAUUUUUAUUUUAUAGUUUUUGUCGCUUGCAUUUAAACACGAACUUGGUUGUUGAACUGGGAUUCUUGAAUAAUUGUUGGUUUUGUUUUCUGAAGAAGUGAUCUUAUAUUUGUGUAUCUCUAUGUGCAACUUUAAUAUGGGGUUAUUAAGGAUGGAGAUAAAGGAGGAAGAAUUGAGAGAGAAAAGGCAGAAAUGACUUAAUUGUUGGGAUGAGUAUGACCCCAUGUCUAGUAGUUCCCAAGUAUGAUAUAGGAAGGCUGACUGAUUAAUGGAACUGAUCUUGUUGCGGUCCGUUUUAGAGUCCGGAGGAUUUAUCCGUAGGACUAUCCAUAUGGAAAGAAGGGUCCAGGUUUCAUAAGACUCCUUCUACGCGGUCUUCGCAAUAUUCUUUGCACUGGGGGAGGGCUCAAAGAAUUUGAGAUUAGAUUGGAACUGAUUGUAGUAGGCGAAGGACGGAUAUUAUUGGAAGGCAAUCGCAUAUUGAAUUGCGCCUAAGGCCACUCCUAACUAUUAAUGGAAAGGACCCACGGAGCGGUGCAAAGAAUAUAUAGAAGGGCAGACAGGUCCGGAGGACCUGUCUGUCCUUCGGUCUUAAUACUCCUAACGUCGAAUAAGAAGCUGGAGGUUGGGUCCAGGUGCAAAGAAUAUUGUGUCCAUUAGAUCCAUUGAAUUAGGCGAAGGAUUUUAUCAAGCUUAGCUUUCUGGAUUCUUCGGCGGAGUGAGGCUUUCUCUAGUAGGUCUGGAGGCACAAAGAAUGAUCGAAGGCUCCAGACCAUAAAGAAGAGAGUCGGAGGACUUCCAUUGACUUUUUCUUCCUUUCACUUCUAACUUCAAACCUUUCAUAUUCAACCUUGAAAAUAAAGGAGGGAGCGGACUACGGAGGCCAUAAGUUUGAGUUCCUCAGAUGUAUAAAAACAAGUCCUCCGGACGACCUAUCCACUGAAAGUAGCUACGUAGUCUUGUCUCCUUCCCGCGUAGUGGGCAUUGACUUCUUCAUUGAUUUUCUUCUAUCUCCCACGUAGCGGUUGAAUAUGAAAGGAAGCCCACAGAGCUGAAGAUGGAGCGGGAUAAUAAAGAAGAAAGCUCAAAAGGAGGGAGCGGACCUCAAUGAACAAGGGGAGGACUCGUUUUCAUCCUUAUGGAAGAAAAAUCUCUUUUUUUUUAUCUAAAAGACGUAGAAGGAGGCUCAAUGUCUAAUCUUUCUCUCAAAUCAAUAUCCCCCAGUGCAAAUAUUCCAGCAAUAUUCUCAAUAUGAAAAGAGCCUUUCUUCUUUUCUUAGAUAAAUGCGCUUCGUAGAUUAUGCUGAAGGAGGAGUGGGCCAUGAUCUUUGCUCCUUAAUUUCCCUAAUGGAUAGUCAUCUGGACCUUUCUUUUUAGUUCUUUGCGCUCGUCAACGCAUAUUUCAUUGCGCCUUCGCCUUCAAUGAAAUCCAUAAAUAAAUAAGGGUAGAUUUCAGACUCAAGAGGAGGGUUCCUUAUCAAUAUCAAUGAGACGGAUAGGCUUUCUUUUACAUUCCACAGGUCUGAAGGACUAUCCAUAUUAACAUGUCUGUCCUUCGCCUAACUAGUUCAUAUAGACCUUUGUUUUUCUUCCGCAGUCACUAAUAUGGAUAGUCCGGAGGACCUCCUUCAGCAUAAUCUAUGAAUGAUCGGAGCAAAGAAUAUUGCGAAAAAGAAGAAAGGAGUGCAAGCGAAAAAUAAUGGAUUGAAUAGUCCUUCGGACGAACUACCGCACUUGGGGGAUAUUGUUGAGAAAGAAUAUUGAAAAAGAAUGAUCGAAGAAUAUUGAAAAAGGACGGAGGAUAGGCUUUCUUUGAACAAUGUGGAUGUAUCAAAGAUUCCACAGGUUAAUAUGGUAGAUUUCAGACUAGUCCUUCACCUUGGAUCUGGGGACUAUUCUCUGUUCUAAUAGACAGAGGAGAGGUUCAAAGAAUAUUGAGAAUACUCGUGCAAGCGCAAUCAAUGAACAAGGUGAAAAGAAUAAAAAAAAGGCGGUCGAUGAUCAGGAAGAAAAAGUCAAAAGUCUAUCCCAUCUUCUUCGUUAGGCGCAAAGAAGAAAAACAAGGUGCAAAGAUCUAUGGCCCAAUUAUAAGGGGUCCAGAUGCACCAUAAGACUGGUCCGAAGGACUAUCCAUAUUAACCGGAGUCUUCAACAAGAUUUCCAACAUUGAAUAUUAAGCUACUGAGGCCCAAUAUUGCGAAGGAAGAACUGCGCCAUAAGACAGGUCCGAAGGACUAUCCAUUAGGGAAUGAGACGGAGGUAACGUUUGGUUUUUUGGGAAACUUGUUGGUCGCGGAUUAGUGCGUUUUUUUUGGAAAGUAACAAUUCUCUUCAGUUUGGUUUCAGAAAACUUGUUGGUCACGGAUUAGUGCGUUCUGCGCCGCCUGGUGUCACAAACAUAUUUUUCCAAAGUGUGUUUACCUUUGGUUAUAUGCUCCGAUUACCCCCAGUUUAUCUCAUGUUUAGUUUGCAUAACUAGUUUAGCUGAUUGCUUUUCAUUCUAGGUCAUAAAGCUUGGGUGUGACGUUUCGGCAUUUUCAUAUGCAAGCCUGCCAGAGAGGAAAAUGUUCAAAAUGUACUAUAGGGGAGGCAUACCAGUUGAAUCCCCGCCCAAGCAUUAGUUGUACUCUUUGCAAGCAACCCUUUUUCCUUGCAAUUGACAGUCUUUAAUGCUUAUUGUAACGUCUAUUUCAAUGUAUUUCUUUCUUUCCCGUGUUUUAUAAAUAAAAUGUCCCUAAAACGCAAACGAAGGUUACGACAUACAUCGACGUUACCCACAACUCUUGGAUAUUGAUCGACUGACUUGUUCAUCGAGUUAGAACAAGUGCCGCACAAUCGUCCGUCUCGAGGUUGAAACGCUACGGUUGUGACAAGUGGUAUCAGAGCCAAAGUUGGCUGAGUGACAGUUUUGACAAAAAUAAAAUGUCGACUGCAAAACGAGCGAGCAAGACCCAUGAAGAACGGUUGGUGGGGAUCGAAGUGCAGAUGCUCCACCUGAUGGAAGUUCCUGAUUCCAUCCGGUUCUUGGAAUAGCGGCUUGAGGAUAUUGCCAAGAAAGCUGAUGGCAUUGAAGCCGUGUCCGGUCGCCUUGACGGACUACCCAUCCAAGAGUUACUGACUAGAGUCGACACUCUAGAGUCCCGAGUUAUGAGAACGGGAAAUGUCACCUACGAGCGUGGGGACAGUUCAUCGGGCUCUGUUGCCCAGAUGGAAGAACGAGUUAUGGAGCUUGAUAACUCGCAAAAGAACAUGUUGGAGAUGAUCAGCGGCAUGACAAAGGAUUUUCGAGCAACCCUCGAUGUCGUGAGGAAUGAGCUCGCAGAGGUAAGCACGAGGGUGAACCUUACUAUGCGAGCACUAGAAAAUCAGGCUCUAGCUGGAGGAGCCAUUCCUGUGGGCAGAAUCAAGAUUCCUGAGCCCAAGCCCUUCUGUGGGCGAGAGAUGCCAAGGCGUUGGAAAACUUCAUUUGAUGUCGAGCAGUAUUUCAAAGCCACGAACACAAUUACUGAAGAGGCCAAGGUGACGUUGGCAACCAUGCAUCUGACAGAAGAUGCGAAGUUAUGGUGGAGGUCCCGAUACAUGGACAUUCAAGAAGGGCAUUGCACAAUCGACACGUGGGAUGCCCUAAAAGGAGAACUUCGUUCGCAAUUUUCCCUGAGAAUGUCGAAAUUCUGGUCCGACGGAAGCUGCGUGAAUUGAAGCACACGGGGAACAUUCGGGACUACGUGAAACAGAUUGCGGGGUAAUGUUGGAUAUACGCGACAUGAUCGAAAAAGAUAAAAUAUUCAGCUUUGUUGAAGGGUUGAAGCCAUGGGCAAGGACUAAGCUAUACGAGCAGAAAGUCCAAGACCUCGUGUCAGCCUAUGCAACAGCUGAACGUUUGUUUGAUCUGUCUAAUGACGUUCAAGAGACAAGACAUCAUUGAAGCUCUUCACCUGGAAGAGACAGAAACAGCCGACUGAGUUCUCCCGAAGCUGUCAGUAGAAAUAAAAGUCCCGGCAGAGACCGCAAGCCCUUCCAGUCAAAUACGGGGAACACCAGGCAAAGGCCCACUAGUCAAAGGACCUCCCACACUCCUAUCAGUUGCUACAUUUGUAACAGGCCACAUCGGACAAGGGAAUGUCCGGAUAAAGCGGCCUUCUACGCCUUCCAGGCCUCUCUGGCUACAGACUUAGGUGACAAGUUGGGUCAACCAGAGAAUGAAGGUGGGUAGGUGGAGGAAGUCCAAAACGUUAGAGUAGGGGCCAUAAGACUCUUGUCGUUCCUUCAGAAUAAAGCAGGGGAGACAAGUGGUCGUACAAAAGGGGGCCUAAUAUAUGUGGACACCUGGAUCAACCGAAGGCAUGCAAAGAGCACUAUGGUUGACUUCAGUGCAACCCAUAAUUUUAUAACGGUGGCGGAAGCCAGACGAUUGAACCUUCACUAGAAGAAGGAUACAGGAAAGAUGAAGGCCGUAAAUUCUACAGCUUUACCCGUCGUCGGAGUAGUGAAACGAGCGGUGAUACAGUUGGAAAGAUGGAACGACCUUGUUGACUUUGUGGUUGUGGGCAUGGAUGACUUUGAUGUAGUUCUCGGAAUGGAAUUCCUUCUCGAACAUCAAGUGAUCAUGAUGCCUGCAGCCAAAUGUCGGUGAUCACGGGAUCUACCCCCACCAUUAUGCAGAUAGAACUCCGGCAACCCAAAGGAUUGAGAAUGGUCUCGGCCAUGCAACUGAGGGAGGGCCAUAUUCAGGAAGACACAAGGCGUGUCGUGGAGAGACGUUGUGAUGGGAAACAGGAUAGUUUGCCCAUGUCAGAAUCGCCUACGAGAAAUGAUCAUCGUAUGGCGCAAUCAAAAUCAUCUGGACUCAGGAGACAGUCAAGGAGACUGUCAGGUGCAGGAUCCACUAGACCUGCGAGAGAUCCGUAUCAAGCACAAGACUUCUUACGGAAGGAAGAGAAUGGGCAAUUGUGUGUCAACAACCGUGUCCUAAAGCAAGCCCCGAGGAGAGGGCCAACUUUUGAGUCCGUGAGUGGGACUCAGCCUGUUGAAGCUUACGCUAAGGCAUAUGGUCCUGUGUCAGGUGGCAUCCUAAUGCAGAAUAGACACUCUGUCACAGCUGAGAGUCAGAAACAAAGUGCCGCAGAAGGUAGUUAUACGAUGUUUGGAAAAGGAAUGCUGACCACGAUACGUAGUCUGAAGGAUGGAAGACAACAUUCCCAGGGGUCUACACAUGGAAGAGAGACGAACAACAUUGCGACCAACCGCUUUGAUACUCGGCCGAAGUGGGCUUUGAGUCAAGAAAAGUGGCAGAGGGACGUGUCAAGGGAAUCCUUGCAGAAAAACUCUGUCAUUGAAGUUGAUGUAAGUCUGGCGGAGACCAGUCAGGUGGAAGAAAAGAAUGGAGUUCAAUUGUGGAAGCUAACCCAAUCUUAUGUUAAUGCUGCAAUGAGUUCGUCAAUGGAUGGAAACCAAUUUGUGGGUGUUUGUGGCGGACAUUCUGUACAGUCCCGCCUUGUUGGUCCCUCCUGUGUUGGUAAGAAUCCUCAAGCUUGCAACAGUACCAAGAGGUGGAAGCUGGAGUCAGACAUCGUUCGGACCGAUCGAGAGGAAGCCUCGAAGUGGCCAGAAAAGUGGGCAGAUAAGAAGCAUCGCCUCCGUGAUUCCCGUGGGGGAGACCAGGUCAUCGUCAAACGGCGAUCUGAACUGACUCAGUUUUUGAAGAAGACUUCAAGAUCACUGCCUCGUGAGAGAACGCGAGGGACAAACAGAAGUUCAAGAAGUCCUUGCUAAAGAAGCAAGGAAAAGAAGAAGACCCAUGGGGGGAUACACAAGUUCGUGGUGAAGCAGAGGAGCCUCCUCAUGGAAGAAGCCUGUGGAAGACGUACAAAUCUUCUUAUAGAUUAUGUUGAAGGAGGCGGCANNNNNNNNNNNNNNNNNNNNNNNNNNNNNNNNNNNNNNNNNNNNNNNNNNNNNNNNNNNNNNNNNNNNNNNNNNNNNNNNNNNNNNNNNNNNNNNNNNNNNNNNNNNNNNNNNNNNNNNNNNNNNNNNNNNNNNNNNNNNNNNNNNNNNNNNNNNNNNNNNNNNNNNNNNNNNNNNNNNNNNNNNNNNNNNNNNNNNNNNNNNNNNNNNNNNNNNNNNNNNNNNNNNNNNNNNNNNNNNNNNNNNNNNNNNNNNNNNNNNNNNNNNNNNNNNNNNNNNNNNNNNNNNNNNNNNNNNNNNNNNNNNNNNNNNNNNNNNNNNNNNNNNNNNNNNNNNNNNNNNNNNNNNNNNNNNNNNNNNNNNNNNNNNNNNNNNNNNNNNNNNNNNNNNNNNNNNNNNNNNNNNNNNNNNNNNNNNNNNNNNNNNNNNNNNNNNNNNNNNNNNNNNNNNNNNNNNNNNNNNNNNNNNNNNNNNNNNNNNNNNNNNNNNNNNNNNNNNNNNUACACAUUUCAGUCUAACGCCCCGAAGGACGUACAUAUCAGUCUAACGCCCCGAGGACGUACAUAUCAGUCUAACGCCCCGAGGGACGUACAUAUCAGUCAAGUGUUCUGCAGAAACACAUAUCAGUCAAAUGCUCCCGAAGGUGCAAAAUAAAUUGGUGAUCCCUACAAGGUAAACAUCCCAAUACAACCUAACAAUUUAUCCCCUCAUUCCAUUCAACCCAUCUUUCAGUUACUUCAAAUCACAAAGUCCUUUCUUUCAACAUCCUAACAGUCAACUUAUUUUACUACAAUCAUAUGUCUGUCAAUAAAAUGCUAAUACAUCAGUCAAUCCACUAUACAGUCAAGUCAAUACACCCCUCAGUUCACCAGCACAAACCACAGUUCAGUAUAAUCCACAUCCAACCGAAACAAAUUCACUAGUUCACAUCCAAUCUUUAUACAGCACAAAUCUAUUAAUAUCAUCAUGUACACAUAAGCAUAAUUUCAGUCAUUCACAAUGUAUACUUUUGGCAAUCCACAUGCAAUUCACACAUCAAUGUAACAUAUAUAUGUUUCCAGUCAAAUACAACAUACACUAAACAUUUAGUCUGCAAUCAAACAUGUACAUCUUAAUCAUCAUCCAUACAGUCCAUCCAACACAAACUCAAAAACUUUAGGUGAGGUCCAGUAGAAAGUCCCUUACCUCAAAGUUAGGGAAGCUCCUUAAUCAACUAACGUCCUCGAAACAAUCCGAUAUAUUUGGCGAACUGAACCCUCAACAAUUCACAAAAUUGGUUGUGAAUUUAUAGGGAGCCCAACGUUACUCCCAACACCUUCAAGAACCAAUUAACAAAUUAGCUAAACAUUCCAACCAUAACACUUGAAACCACUUUGAAACCAAUUACCAUUCAUACUUAAGUUGUUACCAACAAAGCAACCUCGAUAAAAUUUGUAAAACAGAGACAGCAGCACACCUCAACGCACGACUGUCAGACUCGCAGCAAAAAUCCUAAGUGUGGGUCGGUCAGCGGUCGGCCAAAGGAGACGUGGCGGCUGCCUCAAAAUCGAUCAACGAUCUGACGCGGUCGGAGAGUCGCGCGGCAGUGCAAAAAAUAGAGGAGAACGGAAUGGGCGGCGGCUCGAAACAGAGGUUGCGCGGCAGGGCUCCACGAAGACAGAACCAGCAGAGACGGUUGCAGAACCGUGGCUUCGACGGAGACAAAACCGGCGGAGACGGUUGCAGCGGCGGUUACUGCGCGAACGGAGAGAAGGAAACGGAUGGGGCGGCUGGGCUACGGCGGGAAGAGAACGGAAGAGAAAGGAUCGGUGGCGGUUGCGGCUGGGCUGCGACGGGAAGAAAACGGAAGGGAGAAGAGAAAAGAGAAAGGAAAAGAGAAGAGAACGGGGGGGGGGGGGGGGGGGGUCGCGGCGCGCUUGAGGGAGAGAGAAAGAGAGAGUUUUUCUUUUUUUCUUCUUUCUUUCUUUAUUUUUUCUUUUUCCUUUUUAUUAAAAUUAAAUAUAAAUAAACAAAUAUAUAUAUCUCACGGUUAAUAUAUAAAACUAUUAUAAAUGUAAACAAGAUGUGAUAUAUAUAUAUAAUAAAUCACAUAUACAACCUAUUAUAUCAUGCGAUAAUAUUCUAAAACUAGUAUAAUCAUAAAUAGUAUGUGAUAUAUGUUUAAAGGGAAUAUUAAAAAACUGGUAAAAUCAAAAUAGAAUAACAUUAAAAUAAGAGGAAUAUUGUUAAUAUAUAUUAUAUAUACGCGUAUGAUAUACUCAGAAUGAACUAGUUUUAAAUGGACAAAAUAACAAAUGACUGUGGAUUUUAUCUUAUUUUCAGGUGAUGGACAAUUGUAUAUGAUGGCGAUUUGUUAAGAUUCUGCAGCUUGCGGUUAUGAUAAAUUUGAAUACAAAUUUAUAAAACAAUGUAAUAAGAAGUUCAAAUGAUGGAGAAGAAUAGCAAAAAAAAGUUGUCGGCGAUGGAGAAGAUAAUGUAAUGGCUGCCAGAGAGAGUGAACAAUUAGGUUAAGUUAUAUUUUUAGAAAGAAUAAUUAAAUAGUUUAUUACAAAAUAAAGUAAAAUUACAAUUAUUAUAAUAUAUUCUGAUUUAUAAUUAAUUUAAAAGAUACUUGAAAUUUAUUAACAUAUUAAGGUCUUUUGUCUAAAAGUUUCAACUAAUAAUAAUGAUAGUUCUCAUUAACCAAUUGACAAAUGAUUGAUAUUGUCAAAUGAUCGAUAUGUGCAAGUGCACAUUUCAAUUAUAAUAUAGUAAAACGUUCUUAGAGAUCGAGCUAGUAUCCUUUUAAGAGGGAUCAAAUUAACAAAUUAAUUUAUUGAUUUUAGGAUUAGGAUGUGUUUUAAGGAUUAAAAACAAUGAUUAGAAACUAAUAAAAAGAUCCCUAAAAGACAAAUAUGAAAUCUCAAAGAAUAAAAAAUGCUCCAAAAUUGUUUUUGAUUUCACUGUUCAAUCCAUAAAAUCAUGAUGUGUAUAGGUUAUAUGAAAACUAGUGUCAGUAUGUGUUCAGAUGUAGGAACUAAUUAACUACAAGUUGUUGACUUUUGAAAAGAAUAUCUUUCCAUUCAAACAUAAUUGUUCCUAAUCUCUUCCAACUAAGUUAAAUAUUAUGGUAUUAAACAGAUACAUAGUUUGGUUGGUAGUUUCUCUUCAAAAUUAUUAUUUUGAGAAAACAAAUACAAUUUCUUUUUUAGGUAAUCCAAUAUCCUCGAGUAUAUUUAUAAAUAUGGAAAUAUUAUUUCCAUAUUAGAAGAGAUACUAAAAGAUCUUAUUACAACAUCAUUAGAGUCCCAUCAUUUUCUCUAAAUAUCUCUUUUGUGGUGAAAGAUUUGGAAUUGCACAUCAAUCAUUUUGGAGUGGGUAAUUGAUCACCCUAUUUUUCAAAAAAUAAGAAAGAUAAAAAUAGUUAUUUUUUAAAAGAUAUAUUUGAAAGUGUUGAGUUUAUGGAAGGUAUUAGUACUUAUACAACCACAAGACAUUUGAUUUUUGUUAUCUAAAUUAUUUUAAUAAAAAUGUUUUUUUUUUUUUUGAAGUUUAUGCUUAUUAAAAAUGCUUAUUUAAAAAAUGUUAAUGAAAUUUUAAAAAAUAAAAUCUAAUUAAACACUUUUGAGAUAGAGAGGUUUCCCUUGACUACCCGAGCGUAGAUAAACACUUCUGAGAUUUGGUUGGUAAUCCCAAGUUCGUGUGCAGUUGAUUAUUUUUUAAAUUUUGUAUAGUUGAAUAAUAUUUGAAUUUUAAAUUUUCAUCUAUGUGAUAUUUACUCAUUUCAAACUUUUUGAAUAUGCAUGUUUAUUUAUUAUUCUGCCGUCUCUCUAUUGUAUUUUAAAAUUUAGAAUAUGUGUAUUUAUAUUAUUUGAAAUUGAAAAUUUAACUUUUGCUCUUACACUAGGCUUUAACUCUUUGUUUGUCCGUGUUGUAGGUGAGAGAGAAGGAAAAGUUCCAUUGUUUGAUUGAAUUGGAAUUGUUUCCUGCAUGGGGUGUCAUACAUAAUCCACUUAUUACUAGUUAAAGGUCUUCUUUGCCUCUGUCUUCUUCCCCAUCUCCCCAAGUUGUUCUAACCUUUUUAUAUCUACCUAUUACAUGUCAAAAGGCGGAUAAUUUCGCUCUUCAAUGUUUUGAAACAAGUUCAUUAUGAAAAUCUCUCACAAGCAAACGUCAAUGUGCAUUAUGAAUAAUUUCAUCUCAAAAAAAUUGUUUGAGAGGUUUCAAAAGUGUAUCGAAACUAAUAAUUUUAAUGAAUAAAAAAAUAAUUCUUCGUUAGAUUCUUACAUUUUAUUUCAACCAAUAAAAUUUAGGAGAAUUUUUAAAAAUAGCAAAUUUUACAAAAAAUAUUUACAAUUUAUAACAAAUUUAUAGUCAUUGAUAUGCUAUAACGAUAGUUACUAGUAAAUAUUUUAAUUUAUUUUGUUAUUUUAAAAAAUGCUCAUAAAAUAUUAUAGUGAGGGAACAAUGAUGAAUCACAUAGUUCUUGUGGUGAUGUCGCUUUUUCUCCCUCUUUACAUUCUAAAAUCUCAAAUACAAAUCAUAAAACAAGUAGAUAUACAUUCAAUUAACAUGAUUUUGAUUCUAAUAAAUUAGAAAAGACAAAAAUAACUAACUAAUUAUGGAAAAGUAAUAUUUUAACAUGAAUUAUUGAUUUUUAAUUAGAGGUAAUUUUAAAAUAAAUAAAAUAAAAGAAAAUAUUACAAAUCAAAUCUAAACUAACUUUGAUUUUACUUCUUUAAUUGCAAUAUAACAUAGAUACAUUGGCUAUGAAGUGCAAUUUCUUAUAUUAUAAUAUUUAAAAGAUUUAAAUUUAAAAAUAAAAAUAAGUAAUCUCAAGUCCAAUAUUGGACCCGUGGGGCUUAGCCCAUCAAUUUAAAAAUUCAAAAUGCACACUCAACGGUCACAUUUUCCUAGGAUCAUCCUAUUUAAUGCCCUUCUACUUGUCAACUCCAUCGAAAUCCUUCAUUUCUUGUGGCACCGUCUAAAAUUUGCUUCGAUUGAAGAAAUUUUGACGCCCAUGACAGCGUUGAAAUUUCUUCAAUGCAAACAAAUUUUUUAUCUUCCUUUCAUCGAGGAUUUUCAUACCAUGUGAAGGAGAGAUCAGUUCCAUCAGUUCCAAGUCGUUCGUGAGUCAUCUUCUUUCCUGUGUAGUUUUCAUCUCUUGAUUUUGGAUUGCUUGUUCAAGAUUUAUUUUCGAAUUUUGGAUUGUUUGCUAUUCGGAUAGGCAGAAGGUUUGCACGAUGAUAGAUCUGGAGUACCUGAAUCGUUUAUUGAUUCUGUAGUUUAAUCUUAUGAUUUUGGUGAUUUCGAAGCGUACAAUAUAAUCGUACUGUGUUAUGAAGUAAAUAAGAUUUUGUAGGGUUUUUGAAAGUUAAUUUAGAUAUUUCCUGCAUUUUAGUCUUGAUAGAUCUGGGGUACCUGAACCGUUCAGGUUUGCAUGCUGUGAUUGUGUUGUUCUUUUUUGAUUUUGGAGAGAGUCCUUGGGUAAUUUUGAGGAUUGUUCUUUUUUUAGUUUUUUUUUGCAUGCAUUCAAACACACGCAUGGUUUUUAAACUGGGGUUCUUGAAUAUUUGUCGGUUUUCUCGAAUAUUUGCCGGUUUUUUUUUCUCAGAAGAAUUGAUCUUAUAUUUGUGUAUCUCUCUGUGCAACUUUAAUAUAAAGUUAUUAAGGAAGAAGAGAAAGGAGGAAGAAGGGAGAGAGAAAAGGUAGAAACGACCUAAUAGUAGGCAUGAGUAUUAAGAUGCAGCAGAGCCACCACUUAGUGGCGCUAAGGUUUAAUGAGCAAAUUGACAGUAGAAAAGGGUCCACAUCCAUACCUAAGUUACUAUUGCUCUGGGUUCUGUUGGUGGCAUUCAUUAGUAUGUUAAACUACAAAGAAAUGGAUGGGUGGUGUUAACAAAGUUAGAAGAAAGUAAGUUCUGGGAAGUAUGUGUGACCAGACGACAAAGAUGCUUCUGCCUCAACUUAGUGUCAGUGUCAAACUAUGUCCAGGCUUUGGCCAUUCUCAUUUCCAUUUUCCAGUACUUCAAAAUCGUAUCAGCAAUUGAUCAGGAAAAUGUGUUUCGAUUUCUGUCUUUUAUUAGUCUCGGUUAGUUAGGCUUAAGAGUAAGGGAUAUAAUUCAUUUUUCUUGUUUCAGCUAGAAAUUACGUCGAUGUCUUGAUUUUUAGUUUUUUUAGGGCUGUUUGGUUGUUUUUUUAGGGGUGUUUGGUUAGUUAGGCCUAAGAAGUAAGGGCUAGUGAAAGAGAAGCAUUUGAUUGUCCUACAAGUAUCUGAAUCGCCAAUGAAAGCAGAGGUUAUUUCCUCUGAAUUUCCACGAAUUGUUCAGGUUUGGAUUCUGUGAUUGUGUUGUUCUGUUGUUCUCUUUUUUAUUUUGGAGUGUUCUAGGAAAUUUUGAGGUUUGUUAUUUUUUAGUUUUUUUGGCUUGCCUUUAAUCACGCUCGUUUGGGAAUAGACAGGCUUCAGAGAAUGAAUCUCCUUUUUAAGGGUUCGUUGGGGAGCGAAGUGACCAUAUGGCAUCCCUUUCUGCACCUGCUCAGUCUCUCUCUUGCCUUUUUCAUACUACAUAUUUUUGUUUCUCAAUUUAGUGUCAGUGUCAACCAUGUCUAUGCUUUGGCCAUUCUCAUUUCCACUUUCCACUACUCUAAAAAUGUAUCUGCAAUUGAUCAGGUAAAAGUGUUUCAAUUCUCUGUCUUUGGUUCAUCUCCGUUAGUUAGUCUUAAGAGUAAGGGAGAUAAUUCGUUUUUCUUGUUUCCCUCCAUGUAUUGAUUUUUAGUUUUUUAGGGAUGCUUGGUUGGUUUGAAUGCACGAAACAUUUGCUGGUACACGAUUCAAACAGCUUGCCCAGUCAUGUUUUUCUAUUUUUUUUUAAUAUUUUGGAAUUUUGCAUGUGUGAUUUCUGUAUAUAUUAUUCUUGCCCUUUUCCUUUAUCAUCAUUUAUUUUGAUUUUGGAGAGGUCUCUUGGUUAUUUGUUAUUUGCACAUAUACAAGGGUUGAAAAUUUCAAUCCCACCUCUCUUUUAUAUUACAUUCAUUUAGUUUUGGCUGUUAUCUAAUUGAACUAUUUGAUCAUCAAAUAAUUGUGUUACCUUUUCUUCUAGAUGUUUAGAUUCAUUUUUCUCACUAUUUUAGUUUUCUUAAUGUGCGACAGUCUUUGUUUUUUAUUGAACUAUUGUGUGGCAGUCUUUAUUUAUUGGUUAUCUUUAGUUUCACUAUUGUUCUUUUUUUAAUGUUUUCUUAGUUUUUAAUAAGUGUGACAAAAUAUGAAUUAAUUUUUUUCUUUGAACAAAUGUGGAAUUUAUUUUCUUUUAAUGUAGUUGUGUCCCCAAUAAAUUUAUUUUGGCGAUUUAACAAUCCAUCAUGUUCUUUUUCAUUUUUCUGUUGUAUUUUCUUGGUUCUUUGUUGUGGUAUGUCUAUUUUUGAGACAUUCUUAAUUUAGUUUUAUUUCUUUUAGCUUCCUGCAUCAUUUUGUAUUAUGGAUUGUUAUGAAAUUUUGAGAUUAUGCUUUAUUUUGUUUUUUGGUCCUUUGCUGUGAUGUCUUUUGAUUAUUUCUUUUGAGUGAACAGUUCAUGUAAGAUUUUCUGCAUGAGAAUAAAUUGAUUAUUUAAUUUGGUCAAAGAAGUUCAAAAUUUACAUGUGAAAUUUACACUCAGUGGCUGUAAGGUUUAAUGAGAAAAUUGGAAGUAGAAAAGAGUCCACAUUAAUUCAUUCAGCCAAGAGGGCUUGGCAUCCUAAGUUUGCUCUGGGUUCUGUUGGUGGCAUUCAUCAAUAUGUUAAUCUAUUAGGGAAUGUAUGGUUAUAACAAAGUAAGAAGAAUGGAAGUUCUGGGGGAGUAUUUGUGACAAGAGGGCAAGGAUGCUUCUGCAUCAAUUUAGUGUUAGUCAAUCAUGUCUAUGCUUUGGCCCUUCUCAUUCCACUUUCCACUACUACAAAAAUGUAUCUGCAAUUGAUCAUGUAAAAGUGUUUCAAUUUUCUGUCUUAGGUUCAUCUCAGUUAGUUAGUCUUAAGAGUAAGGGAGAUAAUUCAUUUUUCUUGUUUCAGCUAGAUGUUACCCUCCAUGUCCUGAUUUUUAAUUUGGCUUCCUAAGUGUGCUCUAGGUUCUGUUGGUGGCAUUCAUCAGUAUGUUAAUCUACAGGUGAAUCUAUAGUUAUAACAUAGUAAGAAGAAUGGAAGUUCUUGGGGAGUUUGUGUGACAAGAGGGCAAGGAUGCUUCUGCAUUAAUUUAGUAUCAGUGUCAACCAUGUUUAUGCUUUGGCCAUUCUCAUUUCCACUUUCCACUACUCCAAAAAUGUAUUAUCUGCAAUUGAUCAGGUAAAAGUGUUUCAAUUUUCUGUCUUUGGUUCAUCUCAGUUAGUUAGUCUUAAGAGUAAGGGAGAUAAUUCGUUUUUCUUGUUUCAGCUAGAUAUUACUCUCCAUGUCUUGAUUUUUAGUUUUUUAGGGGUGCUUGGUUGGUUUGAAUGCAGGAAACUUUUGCUGGUACACGAUUCAAACAGCUUUCCAUGUCAGGUUUUUCUAUUAUUUUUCUUUAAUAUUUUGGAACAUGUGUAAUUUCUGUAUAUAUUAUUCUUGCCGUUUUCCUUUUUCAUCAUUUAUUUUGAUUUUGGAGAGGGUCUCUUGGUAACUUGACUUUUCUUUUAGUUUUGACUGUUAUCUAAUUGAACUAUUUGAUUAUCAAAUAAUUGUGUUACUUUUUGUUCUAGAUGUUUAUAUUCAUUUUUCCCACUCUUUUAGUUUUGUUAAUGUGUGACAGUCUUUGUUUUUCAUUGAACUAUUGUGUGGCAGUCUUUAUUUAUUGGUUAUCUUUAGUUUCACUAUUGUUCUUUCUUUAAUGUUUUUCUUAGUUUUUAAUAAGUGUGACAAAAUAUGAAUUUAUCUUUUUCUUUGAACAAAUGUGGAAUUUAUUUUUCUUUUAAUGUAGUUGUGUCCCCAAUAAAUUUAUUUUGGCGAUUUAACAAUCCAUAAUGUUGUUUUUCAUUUUUCUGCUGUAUUUUCUUUGGUUCGUUGUUGUGCGAUGUCUAUUUUUGAGACAUUUUUAAUUUAGUUUUAUUUCUUUUAGCUUCCUGCAUCAUAUUGUAUUAUGGAUUUUUUCGAAAAUUUGAGUUUGAUCUUGUUUUUCUGGUCCACUGCUGUGCAGUUUUUUUUAUGAGAUAUUUUUAUUUAGAUUUAUUAUCUUUUAGCUUGUUUUGCAUUUUGCAUUAUAGAUUAUUUUUUAAAAUUUUGAGGUUGUUUUUUUUCUUUGAUCUUUUGUUGCGGUGACAAUUUUAAUUUAGAUUUAUUAUCUUUUAGCUUGCUUGCAUUAUGGAUUGUUAUGAAAUUUGCUUUAUUUUGUUUUUUGGUCCUUUGCUGUGAUGUCUCUCUAUAAGACAUUUUUAAUUUAGGUUUAAUAACUUUUAGCUAGCUUGCAUUGUGGAUUGUUAUGAAAUUUUGAGUUUCUGCUUUCUUUUGAGUUUUGGUGAUGCCUUUUUACGAGACAUUUUUAAUUUAGGUUAAUUUUUUAGGUUGCUUGCAUUUAUGGAUUGUUCUGAAAUUUUGACUUUCUGCUUUUGUUUUUUAUGUCAUUUGUUGUGUGAUAUUCUCUUUAUAAGAUAGAGAUAUUUUUAAUUUAGGUUUACUAUUUUUUAGCCUGCUUGCAUUUGGUAUCAUAUAUGAAUUGUUCUGAAUUUUGAGUUUCUUAUUUUUCAGUCAUUUGUUGUGCGAUAACUUUUUAUAAGACAGACAUUAAGAUUUAUUAUUUUUGGACUUGUUUGUAUUUUGUAUCACGGAUUGUGGUUUUUUAAAUUCAGAGGAGGAACUAGAAAUUGUUCUUGUGAUAUGUUAAAAUCUAGUUUACUGCAAAGAAUGAAUUCUAAAACAGAGGGUAUGAAUAUCGUCAAUAAUUUUUCUCCAUUUGUGCGUUGAGCAAUGUUUAGCUGAUAUGUUUGUGUAUUCUUUACAUUAGUGCAGCACCACAUGCUAAUUUAGGUGUGAAAUGCUAAUUUAGAUGUGAAACACUUCCAAAGAUGACGAGAAAUCAAAGAUUGUCGUAGUAAAAAACCUCACCAGUUUUUCCUUUCAGGUUUUUCUUUUCUUUUUCUUUAAUAGUUUGGAAUUUUGCUGGUGUGAUUUCUGCUUUUCUCUUAUCAUUUAUUUUGAUUUUGGAGAGCAACUUUGGUAAUGUUAAGGUGAUUUAAGAAAAGUUGGUUGUCCAAGAAUCAAUAUUUUUAUAUUACCUUAAAUCUUCCUAAGACAUGUUGGGUCUUUCUUUGGCCUUUGUUAGUGUCUUCUAUUAAGUCUGUUAGUUUCACUUUAGUUGGGUCUUUUUUUAAUUUUAUUUUAUCUUUUAAAUUCCAAAUCCUACUCAUUUGGUCAUGACGAUUGAAUAAUCAUUGUUAAAUUUAUUUCUUGUUGGGAGUGUAGAUUUUAUUUUCUUUUUGGCCUUUGUUAUUUGCAUCUAUACAGGGGUUCGAAAAAUUCAAACCCUUCCCUCUUUUAUUCGACAUUCUUUUAGUUUUAUUUGUACUAUUGGAUUGUUAAAAACAAUUGUGUUACUAUUUCUUACAUUCCAUAAAGAACCCUUUCUGAUGAAUUAUUUCUUAUUGAACUGUUUUAAAAUUUUGAGUUUCUUCUUUUUCUUUUUUGGGUCCAUUGUUGGGGGAUGAUACAUCUUUAAUUUUUUUUUUUUUUUGAUAAGAGAUGAUACAUCUUUAAUUUAGAUUUAUUAUCGUUAGCUUGUUUUGCAUUUUGUAUUAUGUUUUUUGAAAUUUUGAGUUUCUUCUUUUUCUUUCUUUGGUCAUGUGUUGUGCGAUGUUAUUUGCAUUAGGGGUGUUUGGUUGGUUGUUUUUUUAGGGGUGUUUUGGUUAGUUAGGCUUAAGAAGCAAGGGCUAGUGAAAGAGAAGCAUUUGAUUGUCCUACAAGUAAUAAGCUUCUCCUCAAUCAUUCAACCAUUUUUUUAGUAAAGAAAGAGGCUUCUCCUCUGGCAACCAAAGUCCGUCCCUCGUUAACAGGUAAGUCUACCCCAUUACUUUUUAUGUCCUUUUAAUUAAGAUAUUUGGGUCAAUAUAUAUCAAAAUAAAUAAGAUCCAUCUUUGGUAAUUUUUAAAAAAUUUAAAUCUAUAAAUACUCAUUUCAUCUCUAAAAUUAUGUGAUUUGUACUUUCUAAAAUUCCCUCGAUGGUACUAAUACACUCUUAUAUUUGUAUUGUAAUUAUCAUGUCCUUUUUCUAUGGUUUUUUAAAGUUAAUUUAGAUCCUUAUUCGCUCUAGGUAUAAGUUGAAUGGAAGAGUUUUUUAGCCUUGAUAGAUCUUGAGUACCUGAAUCGCCGAUGAAACAGAGGUUAUUUUCUCGGAAAUUCCACGAAUUGUUCAGGUUUGGAUUCUGUAAUUCUGUUGGUUCUUUUUUGAUUUUGGAGUGUGUCCUGGGUAAUUUUGAGGAUUAUUAUUUUUUUGUUUUUUUGGCUUGCAUUUAAUCACGCACGUUGGGGAAUAGACAGGCUUCGGAGAAUGAAUCACCUUUUUAAGGUUUCGCUGGGGAGCGAAUUGGCCAUAAGGCAUCCCUUUCUGUUCAGUCUCUCUCUUGCCUUUUUCAUACUAUAUGGUUGUUGAACUGGGGUUAUUGAAUGAUUGUUGCUUUUAUUUUCAUAAGAAGUGAUCUUAUAUUUUUGUUUCUCUCUGUGUAACUUUAAUAUGAGGUUAUUAAGGAAGGAGAUAAAGGAGGAAGAAGGGACGGAGAAAAGGAAGAAAUGACUGGAUUGUUGGGAUGGGUAUGAAGAUGCAGUAGAGCCACCACCUAGGGGCUGUAAGGUCUAAUGGGCAAAUUGAAAGUAAAAAAGAGUGCACAUCCAUUCAAGCUAAGAGAGCUUGGAUUCCUAAAUUACUAUUGCUCUGGGUUCUGUUGGAGGCAUUGAUUGGUAUUGUUAAUCUACAAGGGAAUUGAUGGUGUUAACAAAGUUAGAAGAAAGGAAGUUUUGGGCGUAUGUGUGACCGGAGCACAAAGAUGCUUCUGCAUCAAUUUACUGUCAGUGUUAAACUAUGUCCAUGCUUUGGUUAUUCUAUUUUAUACUUUCCACUCCUCUCGAAAUGUAUCAACAAUUGUUUAUGUAAAUGUGUUUCGAUUUCUGUUUGAUACUUCUCAGUUAGUUAGGCUUAAAAGUAUGAGAGAUAAUUCAUUUCUCGUCUCAUAUAGAAAUUAUCUUGAUGUCUUGAUUUUUAGGGUUUUUUUCAGCGGUUUUUGGUUUUUUUAUUUUUUUGUUGGAUUUUGGCUAGUUAGGCUUAGAGGUGCAAGGACUUGUGAAAGAGAAGCAUUUGAUUGACCAACGAGUAAUUAGUUUCUCCUCAAGCAUCCCACCACUUUUCUAUUAAAGAAAUACAGGUACGUCUACGCUAUUACUUUUCAUGUCCUUUUACUUAAGAUAUUUAUAUAAAUAUAUAUAAAAAUAAAUAAGAUCCAUCUUUGGUAAUUUUUUUUAAAAUCAAAUCUGUGGAUAUUCAUUUCAUCUCUAAAGUUUUGCGUUUUGUUACUUUUUAAAAUUCCCUCCAUGUCACUAUUACACUCCUAUAUUUGUGUUGUAAUUAUGAUGUCCUUUUUCUAUGGUCUGUUAAAGUUAAUUUAAAUCCUUUUUUGCUCUUGGUUUAUGUUGAAGAAAUGGAAGAUUUUUUUAGCCUUAAUAGAUCUGGAGUACCUUAAUCGCUCUUGCAUUUUGUGAUUCUGUUCUUUUUCUAUUUUGAAGAGUGUCCUGAGUAAUUUUUAGGAUUUUUAUUUUAUAGUUUUUGUCGCUUGCAUUUAAACACAGACUUGGUUGUUGAACUGGGGUUCUUGAAUAAUUGUUGGUUUUGUUUUCUGAAGAAGUGAUCUUAUAUUUGUGUAUCUCUAUGUGCAACUUUAAUAUGGGGUUAUUAAGGAUGGAGAUAAAGGAGGAAGAAUGGAGAGAGAAAAGGCAGAAAUGACUUAAUUGUUGGGAUGAGUAUGACCCCAUGUCUAGUAGUUCCCAAGUAUGAUAUAGGAAGGCAUAGAGUCAAGGCCUUGUCUGACUCUAAUAGAAGUAAGUAGCUAACGCAACGCAAUAUUCUUUGCACCUUCAGUCUGUGAAUUUGAGGUGUAAGAGUUUGGCCAGAGGAGCUAGUCUCGUAACUGCGGGCGCAGUUCUAGUUCUUUACAAGACAGAUGGGAACGGUAGCUAACAAGUGUGCCCUGAGUGGAAUCCUACCACUACUCUUUCUACUAUAUUGGCAGGACGGGUGCCAAGUUAUUAGUAGCUAGGCAGCUAAGCCAGUAGUAGUUCAGUUCAGGCGCUGUUCUCAAAUCUAGUUGACUACGUUGUAGCGUAGCGGUACGGGACAGGAAAAGAAUUGAUAGCGGUACACUGAACACAAAGAAAUUUGAUAGACAUAUGUUGAGAGUUCGACAAGUAGCACUGAAUCUACUAUCAGUAGUGAUUUAUAGAAGUUGACUCGCUUAAACGAAGAGAGUGAACAAAGCAUAGCGGAGUGAAGAGAGAAAUGGUUUCAUUAGAUAGCUCUCUCGAUGUCCUUGUUAUCUUUCCUAGGUAGAUUGUGACUUAUUCAUUCUUUCUCGCUGACUCUGGUUUCCCCGCCGUGGAUCCUUUCUCGGUUAGGGCCUCCCCUAUCCUUAUUCAUUGAUCGCUCUCUUUGCCGCGAAUCUCGGCAUGGUGGUCCUUCGCCUCGCAAUAUUCUUUGCUCCUCCUUCCUGGGCUUGAUGGGUACAUCAAGCAUAUCGGCAUCUUGCUUCUUUGGUGUGGUACACAUAUCUAUCAAUGAAAAGAAAGUAAUAGAAUUCAUUCCCGCAUACUCGCAUAUUGAAUUGCGCCUUCAGACCAUCAAAGAAAGGUCCAGGGUCUGGAGUCCGCAGGAUUUAUCCGGAGUCCGAAGGAUUUAUCCGUAGGACCAUCCAUAUGGAGGGAAGUAGUCCGGAGGAUUUAUUCGUAGGACCAUCCGUAAUUAACAGAAGUAGGACUAUCCAUUAUCCUUCAUCCGGAGUCCGCAGGAUUCUUAUCCGUAGGACUAUCCAUAUGGAAGUAGGACUUGUUUUUAACCAAUCUGAGGAACUCAAACUUAUGGCCUCCGUAGUCCGCUCCCUCCCUUUAUUUUCAAGGUUGAAUAUGAAAGGUUUGAAGUUAGAAGUGAAAGGAAGAAAAAGUCAAUAGAAGUCCUCCGUCUCUCUUCUUUAUGGUCCGGAGCCUUCGAUCAUUCUUUGAGCCUCUAGACCUACUAGAGAAAGCCCCACUCCGCGGAAGAACCUAGAAAGCUAAGCUUGAUAAAGUCCUCCGCCUAAUUCAAUGGAUCUAAUGGACGCAAUAUUCUUUGCACUUGGACCCAGCCUCCAGCUUCUUAUUCGACGUUAGGAGUAUUAAGACCGAAGGACAGACGGGUCCUUCUAUAUAUUCUUUGCACCGCUCUGUGGGUCCUUUCCAUUAAUAGUUAGGAGUCUUAAGACCUCAGUCCUAUCCAUAUUAACCCGCGCUAAGUUCCAUUAAGAGAAAAUUCUUUGCUCUCUGCGACUCGAAGUAAUAGUAUUCAACAAUAUCCCUGUCUUAUGGCGCCUCGCAUAAAUACGGCUUCGAUCAUUCUUUGAGCCUCCGUCGCAAGUCAAAUUCUCUAAUGGAUAGGCCUUCUCCUUCGCCUAUAAAUUCCCAUAUUAAGCUACGAAAUAAAGAAAGCACUACGCGGGAAGAACUGAUCAAUGAAAUUUGAUUGAUUGAAUUUCAUCAUAUCAUAUUUGAAAAAGAAAGAAUAUUGAGGUGCAAAGAAUAUAUAGAAGGCGCAAAGAUCUAAAAAGAAAGGUCCAGAUGACUAUCCAUAUUAACCCAGAGAAAGUUCAGUCAGUUUCAGUGGAAUAAAGGGAAAGCCUAUCCAACAACAUUUCAGUGGAAUAGGAGAAAGGAAGUCCUCCGCUCCGUUGGAGUUGAAUUGGUCCUACGGGAAGAAAAUCAAUGAAGAAGUCAAUGCCCACUACGCGGGGUUAAAGUGAAAGAGGAAAGCCACUAAAAACCUCAAAAUAAUACGGAAAGCCUAGCCUUCUACGGCCUCCAAACAAAAAAAGCUUUACUAGACUCAAAUUCUUUGAGCCUCCGGAGCCUCAAAAAUAUAGCUUAAAGGAAGAGGUGCAAAGAAUAUUGCGUGAUUGAUGCCUCCGUCUCUCUGAUUUAUGGUUAUGGUUCUCCUGAACCUACUCCCUACGGCAAGGCAGAAGACUGCCAAACAGAAGAAAGCCUAGGAGAAGACAACUCCUAGAAAGUUUAAAAGUGGAAUCAAAUAACUAAGAACGAAGAUUUGUUGGGAAGGAAAGCCUUCAUAAGUACUUUCGUCUUAUUUUUAGUCCUCUUUCAUUGAUCUAUCUUGAUGCCAAGAAGAAACUUCAGGAUUACUAACAAUGAACAAGGGAAGCACUACGCGGAAGUUUCAGUUCCUCAGUCGGAAUAUGGACCUCGCAUAUUUCAUUGUGCCUUCUCUCCUUUCAGUCGAGCCCUCAGUCCUAUCCAUCAGUCGAGCCCUCGGGGAGCCUUGAACUUCCUUUAACUGCUUUCCUAUUCCUUUCACUUUUUCUGACUUUACCCUCUCUUUAUUCCGCUCCGUCUUCUUGAAUGAAUCUCAAUUGCAGACUUCUACGUCUUCUGUUUUAUUUUAGUAGGCUCUCUUCUUUUUCAGACGAAGGAUUCUCCCGCUCCGUGGGGUCUUGGACGAGGAUUCUCCCAAGAACCUAACAAAAUACUGAAGAAAGCCAAUCUAGAGACUGAAUACGAGAAACUGAAAGGAGAAAAGCCUAUGAUUUUCAGCAAGCAUUCUUGGAAAGUAACAAUUCUCUUCAGUUUGGUUUUGGAGAACUUGUUGGUCGCGGAUUAGUGCGUUCUGCGCCGCCCGGUGUCACAAUCGUAGUCCUUCAAACAAGAUGUGAACGAUUGUGCGGCACUUGUUCUAGCUCGACGAACAAGUCAGCCGAUCAAAAUCCGCAAAUCGCGGACAACUUUAACACAUGCUUCAACCUCCCCUCACGUUCUUGGAAAAUAUUUUUAGAAAACGUGAAAGAUGAUUAAAUUGAUUGAAAACAUUGUUAAAACAAGCAUUGAAGACUGUCAAUUGCAAUAAGAAAGCAUAGGUUGCAAAGAGUACGACAAGGCUUGGGCGGGGAUUCAACAAGUAUGACUCCCCUAUAGUACAUUUUUAACAUUUUCAUCUCUGGCAGGCUUGCAUAUGAAAAGUGCCAAAACGUCACACCCAAGCAUAUCGACUUGAAAUUGAAAGCAACUACCUAAACUACAUACAAGACAUAAAGACAAGAUAAAUUGGGGCUAAUUGGAGCAUACGGCCAUAGGUAAACACACCUUGGACAAGUAUGUCCGUUACAUUCUCCUCCACCUAAACAGUUGACGUCCCUGUCGACUGGUGAAGCUUGAACUCCUCGAUCUUCUGCGCCUCGGCUUCUAGGUCUUCGACACGUUCCCAACUGGUUUCUUCCACAGGAAGGUUCUUCCACUUUACCAGGUACUCGUGGAUCCUUCUUGUGGGUCUUCGGCCCUUCCUCACUCGUUCGGUCAAGAUUUCUUCAACUUCUUUACUCUCCUUCUGGCUGAGGUUGAUGGCCGGUCGGACUAUGGCAUUACGUUGCAUGUCAUCAGGAUCUUGGUAGUAGGGCUUCAAAUUACUCACAUGAAUUACUGGGUGGAUUUUCAUCCAUGUGGGCAACGCUACUUUAUAAGAUGUGUUCCCUACCUUCUUCAGCACUUCCACUGGUCCCUCGUACUUUCUUAGGAGGCGUUGGUCCUUGCGUCCUCGGAACCGAAUCUGUCCUGGUCGUAACUUAAUGAGAACCUGAUCUCCGACCCGCAACUCUAGAGGGCAGCGCUUCUUGUCUGCCCACUUCUUCAUCCGCUUCGAGGCUUUCCCUAAAGAGGCUCGAGCGAUGUCUGUCGUCUGCUUCCAUUCUCUGGUAAAAUUGUGAGCUUGAGGGUUCUUCCCCGCAUAGGGGUGAUCAACAAGGUGUGGCAGAACUGGUUGCCUUCCGCAAACAAUUUCAAAAGGGCUCUUUUCAGUUGACGAGCUUGUCUGAGCGUUAAAACAAAACUGGGAGACAUCCAACAACUGAGCCCAAUUUCUUUGCCUCGCAGUAACAAAAUGGCGCAAGUAUUCUUCGAGCAUACAGUUGAACCGCUCGGUCUGACCGUCCGUUUGGGGAUGGUAACUUGAGGACACAUUCAGGCUUGUCCCUAAGAAAGUGAAUAACUCUGUCCAAAAGGUGCCAAUGAACCGUCCAUCCCGAUCACUCACAAUGCUUGUCGGUAUGCCCCACAGUUUCACAAUAUGUCUAAAGAAUAAUUGAGCUGUUAACUCCGCCGAACACUGCUUCGUAGUGGGAACGAAAGUGGCAUAUUUCGAGAAUCGAUCUAUGAUGACUAAUAUAGUCUCAUAGUCGCCUACUUUUGGGAGAUGGGUGAUGAAGUCCAUAGAAACACUCUCCCACGGUCUCGUUGGCACCUGCAGAGGUUCGAGAAGCCCAGCAACCUUUGCCUUCUCGACUUUGUCCUGUUGACAGACAAGACACGUCUUCGUGUAUUGCAUGACGUCGUCUCUCAUACGGGGCCAGAAGUAUCCUUUCUUCAGCAAGGCGUAUGUCCUCUGCCAUCCGGGGUGGCCGGCCCACAGAGUGUCGUGACACUCGUGUAGCAACUUCUUCCUCAGGUCUCCUCCCCUAGGGACAUACAACCGUCUCCCCUUCGUCACUAACAACCCAUCUUCAACCCAAAACUGCCUUCUUUUACCUGCCUCAGCUAAACUCAUGACACUCCAAGCCACAGAAUCCUUCUGCAAGAACUCCCUCAAGACAUCGCGCAUAGGGCCAUCAAUCUUGCUUGCUUAGAGAUGUGCUAACAUGCACAAAGCAGCGUGGUCGCCUCUUCGACUAAGCGCAUCAGCGGCCUGAUUGCUCACCCCCUUCUUGUGUUCAAACUCAAAAUCAAACUCAGCUAGGAAUUCCUGCCAUCUAGCUUGUUUUGAAGUCAACUUCGGUUGCGUAAAGAAGUGACAAGUAGCACUAUUGUCCGUCUUCACAACAAAAGUUGACCCCAAUAAGUACUGUCUCCAGGCCCUUAAGCAAUGUACUACGACAAGCAUUUCUUUCUCGGACACGGUGUACCUCCUCUCCGCGGCAUUUAGUUUCCGACUCUCAUCUGGACCUUUCUUUGGCACUGCGGACUACUUCGGUUAAUUACGGAUGGUCCUACGGAUAAAUCCUGCGGACUCCGGACGUAGGAUAAAUUCUGCGGACUCCUUCCUUCCAUAUGGAUGGUCCUACGGAUAAAUCCUCCGGACUACUUAGGUUAAUUACGGAUGGUCCUACGGAUAAAUCCUCUGGACUACUUCGGUUAAUUACGGAUGGUCCUACUUCCAUAUGGAUAGUCCUACUUGUAAUGGAUAGUCCUCCGGAUAAAUCCUGCGGAUGUAGGACCUUGGUUCUUUCUUUCUUUAAUGGAUAGUCCUCCGGAUAAAUCCUGCGGACUGCGGACGUAAGACCCUGGACCUUUCUUUGGCACUCCGAACGGAUAAAGAAAGGAUAAAUAAAGGCGCAAAGAAUAUUGCGAGAGCGGGAAUUACCUUUUCUCUUCAGGUUAGCUAAGAGUUGCCGGAGGCUUGAAGUCGGAUAAUUACUUUUACUUAAAGGUUUCACAAACCUGCAAAAUCUUCUCCAAAUUAGUGUUAGCGUUCUGAGUGCCAAGCAGUAUAUUUAAAAUAUAGAAAGAAGAAAAAUCCAUGCAAUCUAAGUACACUAAGAACCUACAGCAUCGUCACCGCUGCUUGGGAAGGUUAAUUCUUCUAACUCUGGUAUUAUCGUUGAACAAGCAGUUCACAUCCGACUGCCCGCGUAGUGGGGGAAGCUCGCUCGCUAACUUUGCACUUCGGCCAAAAUGCCGAAAAAAGGCUAAGGCCGAAGGAGGUCUGCUCCUUCGCUCAAGGAAAAAUUGCCCGAUUGGAUAUAUAUCUCGGAGCAGAGAGAGGAAAGGAUCACGGAAGCCUUAGUCUCAGUACGAAAGGGGCAAAAAGCUGGAAAAAGCAUACUGGCUUCACCUUGCCCUAGGAUGGGGUCCGUCGGAUCUUUUAAGACAUAGGCUUAAUGCUGAGACGCACGGGGAUAUCCAGUAAAGGAUGGAUAUUCAAGACAAGGACGAAGGCUCUCCGUCACGCAAGAUGAUUAUAAGUCUUAGGAGUGAACUUCCGCUUUACCCCUUCUCGGUUUACCCUUCUUUUAGGAUAGAAAAAGCCACUGCCUGUGUGACCACUACAAGCGGACGUGACGAGCGACGCAGGGCCACCCACGACCGCUAGCAAUACGAGGUAAAGCGGCCAGAAAGCAUACCAUAGGAUGCGUCUUGAGGGCAUUCACAUAAACAUUCUUCGAAUUAUUCACAUUCGACGGGAUGUUCUUAGCCUUGUCUCCAGGUGAAUAAUUGAAUCGGCACCGGCGCGAUCGGACCUAUUGCAGCCUUCGGUUGACUGGUGGCAUUCGAUGGUAUGCUUUGAGGCCUUCCCAACCCGCUCCGUGUAAAAGAGGUAGAAGGAGGCUCAAAGAAUUAUCGAAGAGCGAGACGAAAGAAAAUAGCGACUUCCAGUCGGUGAUGGGAUAUCUCAAUGUUAUCGUAGAUUCAAAGGCGCAAAGAAUAUUGCAUUGAGGCUCGACUGAAAGGAGAGGCGAAUUUGAGAAGAAAGAACUAUAUCGGAUAAAUACUCAACUGCCUCAGACGUCACUGGGACAAGAGCCGGAGAUUCUGAAACCUCUCGCAGCUUCUUUGCUUCCUCUGGUCUCGAUAUUUGAACCGCCUCAAUAAACAACAAAUAAGGGUCCAAAAAAUCAAGGUCAUCUGAAACCCUUUUUUUGAUGCGCCUCAGUCCUAUCCAUUAGAACGCCGGCCCUCACCCUUUUUCUUCUUAGUGCGCACUUGAGCUUUAGUCUUCCGAGUUCUCAAAUUCUUUGACCCUCUGUCUCAGUAUUCGGCAGAGAUGUUGAUGUUAACAAGAAAUGCAGGCUGAAUGCUGUAUGGAAGGAUGAUCAUUUUGGCUUCUUGUAGCCAUUGAUGCUGUCUAAUACUCGGAGAGACAUUGUUAGUAAUGUGACUUUGGACAAGGUUACUGAAGAUAGAACUAUCUGGCCUCAGGUCAGUUUUCAGUUGCUAAGGCAGUGAAGCUCUUUCAUCUUCCUGGUAAUACUGUCCCUUGGUUCAAGCUUCUUUGGGGUAAGAAGCACAUCCCUAGUCAUGCUUUUCUUUCCUGGAUGGCUAUGAAUAAGAGUCUGAGAGUCAAAAUGGCUAUGAAUAAGAGUCUGAGAGUCAAAGCUAAACUGUACAAUCUUUAAGUGCUUCCGUCUGAUUUUGAGGUUUGGAAGCAAAGAAGCAGAGCGGAGUUUGAUUCCUUAUAUCAGGAAAAGAUAUAGGAAGACUCCCAAGAAGAAGAAAGCCUAGGAGAAAGCAAAGAAAGAGUAAGGAUCAGAAAGCUCCUAACCCCUAUUUAUUUAUGGAUGUGAAUUGAGCGAAGGCGCAAAGAAUAUUGCGAAGGUUCAAAGAAUAUUGACUUGAUAAACCUCUAUUUAGCUUCUUAUAUCUGAAGACGAUAAAGUCAGAUAAUCAGCCUUCGGCUGGGUCGGAUCGUCCAUACCUAGUUGAGUAUCUUUGUCCGUCAUAACGAAGUCACUCUUUGAAAAGGGUCGGGCUUUGUUGGAGUUGACUCGGUGAGUACACUUUCAUCUUGACGAGAAGAAGCGCGAACAACAACUAUAUUAUUCAGCCAGAGACCUGAUUUACCCGAUGAGUGGAACGGCUCGACAAAAGUCUUAGGACUCGCGGACAGACGCGCCUCCUUCCUGCUAGAACUCAUAGGUCUACGCGGGUUUUUUAGGUAGCGAGAAUAGUGGUCCCAAACGGAAUAGAAGUACUUUUGAUUCACUGAAUCGGAAUCUUUGAAAGAAUAAAGGGGGACGGAGGAUCAAUGAAAUUUGAUGAUGAUGAGUAAGCUCUCGGUUUUCUUGCUCCUCUUUCUCCUCUUUCUUCCAUAUGGAUAGUCCUACUUCUAAUGGUUAUCUUUAGUUUUACUAUUGUUCUUUUUUUAAUGUUUUCUUAGUUUUUAAUAAGUGUGACAAAAUAUGAAUUAAUUUUUUUCUUUGAACAAAUGUGGAAUUUAUUUUCUUUUAAUGUAGUUGUGUCCCCAAUAAAUUUAUUUUCGCGAUUUAACAAUCCAUCAUGUUCUUUUUCAUUUUUCUGUUGUAUUUUCUUUGGUUCUUUGUUGUGGUAUGUCUAUUUUUGAGACAUUCUUAAUUUAGUUUUAUUUCUUUUAGCUUCCUGCAUCAUUUUGUAUUAUGGAUUGUUAUGAAAUUUUGAGAUUAUGCUUUAUUUUGUUUUUUUGGUCCUUUGGUGUGAUGUCUUUUGAUUAUUUCUUUUGAGUGAACAGUUCAUGUAAGAUUUUCUGCAUGAGAAUAAAUUGAUUAUUUAAUUUGGCAUCCUAAGUUUGCUCUGGGUUCUGUUGGUGGCAUUCAUCAAUAUGUUAAUCUAUUAGGGAAUGUAUGGUUAUAACAAAGUAAGAAGAAUGGAAGUUCUGGGGGAGUAUUUGUGACAAGAGGGCAAGGAUGCUUCUGCAUCAAUUUAGUGUUAGUCAAUCAUGUCUAUGCUUUGGCCCUUCUCAUUCCACUUUCCACUACUACAAAAAUGUAUCUGCAAUUGAUCAUGUAAAAGUGUUUCAAUUUUCUGUCUUAGGUUCAUCUCAGUUAGUUAGUCUUAAGAGUAAGGGAGAUAAUUCAUUUUUCUUGUUUCAGCUAGAUAUUACCCUCCAUGUCCUGAUUUUUAAUUUGGCUUCCUAAGUGUGCUCUAGGUUCUGUUGGUAGCAUUCGUCAGUAUGUUAAUCUACAGGUGAAUCUAUAGUUAUAACAUAGUAAGAAGAAUGGAAGUUCUUGGGGAGUUUGUGUGACAAGAGGGCAAGGAUGCUUCUGCAUUAAUUUAGUAUCAGUGUCAACCAUGUUUAUGCUUUGGCCAUUCUCAUUUCCACUUUCCACUACUCCAAAAAUGUAUUAUCUGCAAUUGAUCAGGUAAAAGUGUUUCAAUUUUCUGUCUUUGGUUCAUCUCAGUUAGUUAGUCUUAAGAGUAAGGGAGAUAAUUCGUUUUUCUUGUUUCAGCUAGAUAUUACUCUCCAUGUCUUGAUUUUUAGUUUUUUAGGGGUGCUUGGUUGGUUUGAAUGCAGGAAACUUUUGCUGGUAAACGAUUCAAACAGCUUUCCAUGUCAGGUUUUUCUAUUAUUUUUCUUUAAUAUUUUGGAACAUGUGUAAUUUCUGUAUAUAUUUUCUUGCCGUUUUCCUUUUUCAUCAUUUAUUUUGAUUUUGGAGAGGGUCUCUUGGUAACUUGACUUUUCUUUUAGUUUUGACUUGGGAACAUGUGCAUUGUGGAUUGUUAUGAAAUUUUGAGUUUCUGCUUUCUUUUGAGUUUUGGUGAUGCCUUUUUACGAGACAUUUUUAAUUUAGGUUAAUUUUUUAGGUUGCUUGCAUUUAUGGAUUGUUCUGAAAUUUUGACUUUCUGCUUUUGUUUUUUAUGUCAUUUGUUGUGUGAUAUUCUCUUUAUAAGAUAGAGAUAUUUUUAAUUUAGGUUUACUAUUUUUUAGCCUGCUUGCAUUUGGUAUCAUAUAUGAAUUGUUCUGAAUUUUGAGUUUCUUCUUUUUCAGUCAUUUGUUGUGCGAUAACUUUUUAUAAGACAGACAUUAAGAUUUAUUAUUUUUGGACUUGUUUGUAUUUUGUAUCACGGAUUGUGGUUUUUUAAAUUCAGAGGAGGAACUAGAAAUUGUUCUUGUGAUAUGUUAAAAUCUAGUUUACUGCAAAGAAUGAAUUCUAAAACAGAGGGUAUGAAUGUCGUCAAUAAUUUUUCUCCAUUUCUGCGUUGAGUAAUGUUUAGCUGAUAUGUUUGUGUAUUCUUUACAUUAGUGCAGCACCACAUGCUAAUUUAGGUGUGAAAUGCUAAUUUAGAUGUGAAACAAUUCCAAAGAUGACGAGAAAUCAAAGAUUGUCGUAGUAAAAAACCUCACCAGUUUUUCAGUUUUUCUUUUCUUUUUCUUUAAUAGUUUGAGUUUUUCCUUUCAGGUUUUUCUUUUCUUUUUCUUUAAUGGUUUGGAAUUUUGCUGGUGUGAUUUCUGCUUUUCUCUUAUCAUUUAUUUUUGAUUUUGGAGAGCAACUUUGGUAAUGUUAAGGUGAUUUAAGAAAAGUUGGUUGUCCAAGAAUCAAUUUUUUUAUAUUACCUUAAAUCUUCCUAAGACAUGUUGGGUCUUUCUUUGGCCUUUGUUAGUGUCUUCUAUUAAGUCUGUUAGUUUCACUUUAGUUGGGUCUUUUUUUAAUUUUAUUUUAGCUUUUAAAUUCCAAAUCCUACUCAUUUGGUCAUGACGAUUGAAUAAUCAUUGUUAAAUUUAUUUCUUGUUGGGAGUGUAGAUUUUAUUUUCUUUUUGGCCUUUGUUAUUUGCAUCUAUACAGGGGUUCGAAAAAUUCAAACCCUUCCCUCUUUUAUUCGACAUUCUUUUAGUUUUAUUAGUACUAUUGGAUUGUUAAAAAUAAUUGUGUUACUAUUUCUUACAUUCCAUAAAGAACCCUUUCUGAUGGAUUAUUUCUUAUUGAACUGUUUUAAAAUUUUGAGUUUCUUCUUUUUCUUUUUUGGGUCCAUUGUUGGGGGAUGAUACAUCUUUAAUUUAGAUUUAUUAUCGUUAGCUUGUUUUGCAUUUUGUAUUAUGUUUUUUGAAAUUUUGAGUUUCUUCUUUUUCUUUCUUUGGUCAUGUGUUGUGCGAUGUUAUUUGCAUUAGGGGUGUUUGGUUGGUUGUUUUUUUAGGGGUGUUUUGGUUAGUUAGGCUUAAGAAGCAAGGGCUAGUGAAAGAGAAGCAUUUGAUUGUACUACAAGUAAUAAGCUUCUCCUCAAUCAUUCAACCAUUUUUUUAGUAAAGAAAGAGGCUUCUCCUCUGGCAACCAAAGUCCGUCCCUCGUUAACAGGUAAGUCUACCCCAUUACUUUUUAUGUCCUUUUAAUUAAGAUAUUUGGGUCAAUAUAUAUCAAAAUAAAUAAGAUCCAUCUUUGGUAAUUUUUAAAAAAAUUAAAUCUAUAAAUACUCAUUUCAUCUCUAAAAUUAUGUGAUUUGUACUUUCUAAAAUUCCCUCGAUGGUACUAAUACACUCUUAUAUUUGUAUUGUAAUUAUCAUGUCCUUUUUCUAUGGUUUUUUAAAGUUAAUUUAGAUCCUUAUUCGCUCUAGGUAUAAGUUGAAUGGAAGAGUUUUUUAGCCUUGAUAGAUCUUGAGUACCUGAAUCGCCGAUGAAACAGAGGUUAUUUUCUCGGAAAUUCCACGAAUUGUUCAGGUUUGGAUUCUGUAAUUCUGUUGUUCUUUUUUGAUUUUGGAGAGUGUCCUGGGUAAUUUUGAGGAUUAUUAUUUUUUUGUUUUUUUGGCUUGCAUUUAAUCACGCGCGUUGGGGAAUAGACAGGCUUCGGAGAAUGAAUCACCUUUUUAAGGUUUCGCUGGGGAGCGAAUUGGCCAUAAGGCAUCCCUUUCUGUUCAGUCUCUCUCUUGCCUUUUUCAUACUAUAUGGUUGUUGAUCUGGGGUUAUUAAAUGAUUGUUGCUUUUAUUUUCAUAAGAAGUGAUUUUAUAUUUUUGUUUCUCUCUGUGCAACUUUAAUAUGAGGUUAUUAAGGAAGGAGAUAAAGGAGGAAGAAGGGACGGAGAAAAGGAAGAAAUGACUGGAUUGUUGGGAUGGGUAUGAAGAUGCAGUAGAGCCACCACCUAGGGGCUGUAAGGUCUAAUGGGCAAAUUGAAAGUAAAAAAGAGUGCACAUCCAUUCAAGCUAAGAGAGCUUGGGUUCCUAAAUUACUAUUGCUCUGGGUUCUGUUGGUGGCAUUGAUUGGUAUUGUUAAUCUACAAGGGAAUUGAUGGUGUUAACAAAGUUAGAAGAAAGGAAGUUUUGGGCGUAUGUGUGACCAGAGGACAAAGAUGCUUCUGCAUCAAUUUACUGUCAGUGUUAAACUAUGUCCAUGCUUUGGUUAUUUUAUUUUCUACUUUCCACUCCUCUCGAAAUGUAUCAGCAAUUGUUCAUGUAAAUGUGUUUCGAUUUCCGUCUUUGAUACUUCUCAGUUAGUUAGGCUUAAAAGUAUGAGAGAUAAUUCAUUUCUCGUCUCAUAUAGAAAUUAUCUUGAUGUCUUGAUUUUUAGGGUUUUUUCAGCGGUUUUUGUUUUUGUUUUUUUUUUUUUUGUUGGAUUUUGGCUAGUUAGGCUUAGAGGUGUAAGGACUUGUGAAAGAGAAGCAUUUGAUUGACCAACGAGUAAUUCUCCUCAGGCAUCCCACCACUUUUCUAUUAAAGAAAUACAGGUACGUCUACGCUAUUACUUUUCAUGUCCUUUUACCUAAGAUAUUUAUAUAAAUAUAUAUAAAAAUAAAUAAGAUCCAUCUUUGGUAAUUUUUUAAAAAUCAAAUAUGUGAAUAUUCAUUUCAUCUCUAAAAUUUUGCGUUUUGUUACUUUUUAAAAUCCCCUCCAUGUUACUAUUACACUCUUAUAUUUGUGUUGUAAUUAUGAUGUCCUUUUUCUUUGGUCUUUUAAAGUUAACUUAAAUCCUUAUUUGCUCUUGGUUUAUGUUGAAGAAAUGGAAGAGUUUUUUAGCCUUAAUAGAUCUGGAGUACCUUAAUCGCUCUUGCAUUUUGUGAUUCUGUUGUUCUUUUUCUAUUUUGAAGAGUGUCCUUAGUAAUUUUUAGGAUUUUUAUUUUAUAGUUUUUGUCGCUUGCAUUUAAACACAGACUUGGUUGUUGAACUGGGGUUCUUGAAUAAUUGUUGGUUUUGUUUUCUGAAGAAGUGAUCUUAUAUUUGUGUAUCUCUAUGUGCAACUUUAAUAUGGGGUUAUUAAGGAUGGAGAUAAAGGAGGAAGAAUGGAGAGAGAAAAGGCAGAAAUGGACUUAAUUGUUGGGAUGAGUAUGACCCCAUGUCUAGUAGUUCCCAAGUAUGAUAUAGGAAGGCAGAGAGUCAAGGCCUUGUCUGACUCUAAUAGAAGUAAGUAGCUAACGCAACGCAAUAUUCUUUGCACCUUCAGUCUGUGAAUCUGAGGAGCAAGAGUUUGGCUAGGGGAGCUAGUCCCGUAACUGCAGGCGCAGUUCUAGUUCUUUACAAGACAGAUGGUAAUUGUAGCUAACAAGUGUGCCCUGAGUGGAAUCCUACCACUAUUUCUACUAUAUUGGCAGGACGGGUGCCAAGUUAUUAGGAGCUAGGCAGCUAAGCCAGUAGUAGUUCAGUUCAGGCGCUGUUCCCAAAUCUAGUUGACUACGUUGUAGCGUAGCGGUACGGGACAGGAAAAGAAUUGAUAGCGAUACACUGAACACAAAGGAAUUUGAUAGACAUAUGUUGAAAGUUCGACAAGUAGCACUGAAUCUACUAUCAGUAGUGAUUUAUAGAAGUUGACUCGCUUAAACGAAGAGAGUGAACAAAGCAUAGCGGAGUGAAGAGAGAAAUGGUUUCAUUUGAUAGCUCUCUCGAUGUCCUUGUUAUCUUUCCUAGGUAGAUUGUGACUUAUUCAUUCUUUCUCGCUGACUCUAGUUUCCCCGACGUGGAUCCUUUCUCGGUUAGGGCCUCCCCUAUCCGUAUUCAUUGAUCGCUCUCUUUGCCGCGAAUCUCGUCAUGGUGGUCCUUCGCCUUGCAAUAUUCUUUGUUCCUCCUUCCUAGGCUUGAUUGGUACAUCAAGCAUAUCGACAUCUUGCUUCUUCGGUUUGGUACACAUAUCUAUCAAUGAAUAGAAAGUAAUAGAAUUCAUUCCUGCGUACUCGCAUAUUGAAUUGUGCCUUCGGACCAUCAAAGAAAGGUCCAGGGUCCAGAGUCCGCAGGAUUUAUUCGGAGUCCGGAGGAUUUAUCCGUAGGACCAUCCAUAUAGAGGGAAGUAGUUCAGAGGAUUUAUUCGUAGGACCAUCCGUAAUUAACAGAAGUAGGACUAUCCAUUAUCCUCCGUCCGGAGUUCGCAUGAUUCUUACCCGUAGGACUAUCCAUAUGGAAGUAGGACUAUCCGUAAUUAACCGAAGUUUGCACCUCUUGAUUAUGAAUCAUAUAUAUUGAUUUUGACCGGAGCAAAGAUCAUUGCCCACAGAGCGACGCAAAGAAUAUUGCGACCUGUGGAUUCAUUGAGGCGGUGAAGAAUUGCCAUUUUAUGAGCUUGUAAGACCCCUCCGGAGGAGAAGGAUAGGGGAGCAAGGUUCAAAGUGGUUUUCAAAGUCAGGGCUAUCCCUUACUAUUGAGGGCUUUGACCACCUAGACACUCGCCUACUCAGUCGCAAGGAUCAAAGAAUUUGAUUGACAAAGAAUAUUGCGAUUUUACCGAGUCCUUCGUCUCGCAAUAUUCUUUGCGCCUUCGGUGAGUCAGGUGUUAAUAUGGAUAAGUCCCUUGGACUGAUAGCGUCCAAAAUAGGCGAGGGCGGACGGGCUAUAAGUAGGCCGUUUGCUAUUGCUAUAAGGGCUGCUUGCCUUUAUACAGCUUGGCUUCGCUAUCGCUCAUGACUUGUAUUGUGGUCGGCCUAAAAAGUAGUCUUCCUACCAUAAAAAAAUGCCUAUUAUCUGGUUCGUUAAGCUUCGCCAAAAGCAAGACGAGGGCGCUUUGCUUCGUAGACAAGGCUCGUCUAGUACUUGACUUACGAGUUCGUGUAGGAUUUCCCCUCUCUCUCUAAAGGGGCUUUUAUGCACGGAACUCCUUGUCUACUAAAGAAGCGUUCGAGCGAGCGAGUUCAGCCUGAAAUUGAGUGGUCUCCCUCCUUUUCCCUCACUGAAAUAUUAUGUCUUUCAUUUCCACUUAAGCUUCCCCGCUUUGAGGGAUUAAUUGAUUGGAUACCUGAGAACCAUAAUCUUUCCUAGGAACUGCUUCUACGACGAUAGGCGUAAAGGCAUGAUUAAUUCCACAAAUCUCACUGCACUGACCAUAGUAAACUCCUUCUCAUUGUACCAAAAUGGAGAUCUGAUUUAAACGGCCAGGUACAACAUCACAUUUGACACCUGAGGAUGGUACAACCCAACUAUGAGGUACAUCAGCAGGUGUUACAAUAAUACGUAGAUGAGUUUUGGCUGGUAGAACCAUUCUAUUGUCCACUUCUAAUAAACGUGAUUGACCCAAUUCUAAAUCAUCUUCUGGAAUCGUAUAACUGUCAAAAGUGAGUGACUGUUCAUCGGAACUAUUAUAGUCAGAAUACUCAUAAAUUCGAUACCAUUGAUGUCCUAUAGCUUUGAUAGUCAUGGCUGGAUCUACUACUACCUCGUCCAUUUAGUAUAAAGAGAGCAAAGGAUGAUAUAACAAUGAACACCGGAAUGAUACUAGGAAAAAUGGUCCAAAGAAUCUCGAUAGUAGUUCCAUGAACAAUCCUUUGCGGUAUUUUCUUUUGAGAAUAGUGGAAAUGCCAUAAAGCGCGAACCAAGAUCCGUGAUACGAAAACAAAAAUCAGAAUGAGGAAGAAAAAGAUAUCGUGAUGUAAGUCUAUUAUUCCUUGCAUCAUAGGUGUUGCUGCGUCUUGAGAUCCUAAUUGCCAUGGUUCCGCUACAUCACAAGGAGCAAUUGUGAGGAAUAGCCAUUUGAGCACAAUCAUUUUCCAUUGUUUAUUCUUUGACCCGUCUGUCCUUCGGUCUUAAUACUCCUAACGUCGAAUAAGAAGCUGGAGGCUGGGUCCAGGUGCAAAGAAUAUUGCGUCCAUUAGAUCCAUUGAAUUAGGCGGAGGACUUUAUCAAGCUUAGCUUUCUGGAUUCUUCCGCGGAGUGGGGCUUUCUCUAGUAGGUCUGGAGGCUCAAAGAAUGAUCGAAGGCUCCGGACCAUAAAGAAGAGAGACGGAGGACUUCCAUUGACUUUUUCUUCCUUUCACUUCUAACUUCAAACCUUUCAUAUGAAACCUUGAAAAUAAAGGAGGGAGCGGACUACGGAGGCCAUAAGUUUGAGUUCCUCAGAUGGAUAAAAACAAGUCCUCCGGACGCUACGUAGUCUUGUCUCCUUCCCCACGUAGUGGGCAUUGACUUCUUCAUUGAUUUUCUUCUAUCUCCCACGUAGCGGUUGAAUAUGAAAGGAAGCCCACGGAGCUGAAGACGGAGCGGGAUAAUAAAGAAGAAAGCUCAAAAGGAGGGAGCAGACCUCAAUGAACAAGGGGAGGACUCAUUUUCAUCCUUAUGGAAGAAAAAUCUCUUUUUUUAUCUAAAAGACGUAGAAGGAGGCUCAAUGUCUAAUCUUUCUCUCAAAUCAAUAUCCCCCGGUGCAAAUAUUCUAGCAAUAUUCUCAAUAUGAAAAGAGCCUUUCUUCUUUUCUUAGAUAAAUGCGCUUCGUAGAUUAUGCUGAAGGAGGAGUGGGCCAUGAUCUUUGCUCCUUAAUUUCCCUAAUGGAUAGUCAUCUGGACCUUUCUUUUUAGUUCUUUGCGCUCGUCAACGCAUAUUUCAUUGCGCCUUCGCCUUCAAUGAAAUCCAUAAAUAAAUAAGGGUAGAUUUCAGACUCAAGAGGAGGGUUCCUUAUCAAUAUCAAUGAGACGAAUGGGCUUUCUUUUACAUUCUACAGGUCCGAAGGACUAUCCAUAUUUAUUAACCUGUCUGUCCUUCGCCUAACUAGUUCAUAUAGACCUUUGUUUUUCUUCCGCGGUCACUAAUAUGGAUAGUCCGGAGGACCUCCUUCAGCAUAAUCUAUGAAUGAUCGGAGCAAAGAAUAUUGCGGAAAAGAAGAAAGGAGUGCAAGCGAAAACUAAUGGAUUGAAUAGUCCUUCGGACGGACUACCGCACCGUGGGGGAUAUUGUUGAGAAAGAAUAUUGAAAAAGAAUGAUCGAAGAAUAUUGAAAAAGGACGGAGGAUAGGCUUUCUUUGAACAAUGUGGAUGUAUCAAAGAUUCCACAGGUUAAUAUGGUAGAUUUCAGACUAGUCCUUUGCCUUGUAUCUGGAGACUAUUCGCUCUUCUAAUAGACAGAGGAGAGGUUCAAAGAAUAUUAAGAAUACUCGUGCAAGCGCAAUCAAUGAACAAGGUGAAAAGAAUAAAAAAAAGGUGGUCGAUGAUCAGGAAGAAAAAGCAAAAGUCUAUCCCCU
rnacentral:lncRNA from 1 species